rnacentral:lncRNA from 1 species
GGAAGCUUUCAAGCUAAAAUCUGUGGACCUUUGCAAUUCUCAAAAUCUCACUAGGAUGCCGGACCUAUCAGAAACCCCAAAUCUUGAGAGAAUUUAUCUUUUGAACUGCACAAACUUACCUUUCAUUUCUUCAUCAAUUGAAAAUUUAAACAAUCUCAGUAUGUUGCGUUUGGAGGGCUGCAAAAAUCUUAGGACCUUUCCCCGCAUUCAUUUCACUUGUUCUGUAACAAUUGAUUUCACCAGCUGUAUUAAUCUCGCAGAGUUCCCAAAGAUUUCAGGGAAUAUCAAAGUGUUAAAAUUAGCCAGAACCUGGAUAGAAGAAGUUCCCUCAUCAAUCGAGAGCCUAACUAAUCUUGAAGUGUUAGAUCUGGCGCAUUGCAAAAGGUUGAACAGGCUGUCGGCUAGCAUCUGUAAAUUGAAAUCUCUUAGUUGGCUUCGUCUUUAUAACUGCUCAAAGCUUAAGAGUUUCCCAGGAAUCUUGGAGAAUAUGGUACGUUUAGAAUAUAUUGAUUUAAGAUUGACAGCGAUUAAAGAGCUGCCAUCUUCAGUCGAACACCUAGAAGGGCUUAAAGAGUUGAGAAUGGAGUAUUGUUAUAAACUUGGUAAAUUGCCAGAUAACUUGGGUAGUUUAAGGUCUCUGAAGCAUCUCCAUGCAGGCAAGUCAGCCAUUAGUCAACUGCCAUCCUCGAUCGCAGAUCUCAAACAAGUUGAAGAACUUUCCUUUUAUGGGUGCAGGGGUUUAGUAUUGACUUCAGUCUUAUCAGGUUUAUCUUCUUUGCAACGACUGGAUUUGAGAGACUGCGAUAUAAUAGAAAUUCCACAAGAUAUUGGCAGUCUACUUUCAUUGGAAAAGUUAGAUAUAAGUGGAAAUAACUUUGAGAGUUUACCUGCAAGUAUCAAGCAACUUUCACAACUGAGAUGGCUUUACUUGAGAAAUUGCAAUAGGCUUAAGUCAUUACCAGAGCUUCCAUUUGGUCUAUGCUUUUUAGAUGCAAGGAAUUGCAAGCAGCUCCAGUCCUUGCCUGAGAUUCCAUCAUGUCUAGAAGAACUAGAAGAAAUAGACACAUCCAUACUGGAGACAUUAUCCAAUCACUCCCGAAUAUAUUUCAACUUUAUUGAUUGCUUGAAACUGAAUGACAAAGCAAACAAGAAGAUUUUGGCAGAUUCAAAACUAAGAAUUCAGCGUAUGGCAAUUGCAUCACUGAGACUAUCGAUGUAUGUAAAGGUAUUCUCUUUCACUCUCUCUCUUCUCUCCCCUCUCUCCCUCCUCAUUACAUCUAAAAUCAUGAUUUCGUGCUACAGGAAUAUCGUGAACCACCUGUAAUCAAAAUUUGUUUACCUGGAAAUGAAAUUCCUGACUGGUUCAGCCAUCAGUGUUUAGGGUCUUCAUUAACUGUUCAACUGCCACAACAUAGUUGUAAUGGGAGCUUCAUUGGAUUUGCCUUCUGUAUUGUCAUUGUACUGGAGAAAGAUCAUAAGGCUCGGGAUAGGAUUUACUACCAUUUUGAAAUAAAGACUCCCUCUGGAACCAAAACUGAUCACCCUUCAGUUUUUGAGCAGUCUUUUCACUCAGAUCAAGUCAUACUUGGAUUUUUUCCCUGUUGGAAUAUUGGGCUGGUUGAUAAUGACGGCAAUAUCUCAUUGCAGUUCUCCGUUCAGUAUCCUUGCUCUGAAAAAACCCCCAAAGUGCACAGAUGCGGGGUGUGCCCAGUAUAUGCACAUCCCAACGGGACUAAACCCAACACUUUCACUGUAAAUGUGCUGCCACCAAAUGAAGAGGAGUGCACUCAAAUCAGGAAAUUGCAUUAUGAUUUUCAUGAUAAUGUUGGAACAAGUGGGACUUCUGAAAGUAUUGACAGAUCUGGCGAGCUGGAAGUGGAAUCAAUUUGCAGAGAGCAAAUCAACGCUCCUCAACAACAAUGAAGUUCCUUGUUUUCCCAUAUAAUCGCAAAGGGAGGAGGCUUAUAUGCGUUUCUUGCGUAAGUGCUACCUACCUUCUAUUUAUUUUAUCACACAAUUUAUUUUCUAAGCAAACGAGGCAAGAACAUUGACUUUUUACUUUUUAUUUAAUAGAAAUAAAGUUUUGUUACUGUCUACUUGUUUAGUGAAUGCAGUUUGCGCAUAAGCAGGAUUUUCUGCCCCUGCUUUAUGCAGUCCCUCUGAUCAUGCAUCAAUACAAAUUCAGAGAAGGCAUAUGAGACUAAAGGUAUCACUUCUUGCCAGUAAGGUGUUUUAUGAUGGCUUUACAAUAUUUCUUUUAUAUGUUAUAUAUUGAGCACGAUGACAUUUGACAUCGUUUUGUCUUUUGAACUUCAUUUAGAUAUGUAAAUAUUACAUUUUUUAUUUCUGAAUUUCUUGGUUAUACAUGAACUAAGUUGUUCUGUUUUGAUUGAAUUUAAAAUGGAAAUCACUUUUGAGUUGUGCUUUUAUCAUAGCUCAGUCUCCUAGUAUGUUGAAGUUUUGCUAAUGAAUGUUGUUUUAUUUUGACUCAUUGUGUUUCAAUCCUUCGAUUGAUUCCUGGAUGUUGGAACUAGGUGCUUGAUGCAAAUGCAGAAGUGUUUGACAGAAUGCCUCAAUGAAAACGAUGCAGCAAGCAUGGCAAGCUAGCUCUGCUGAAGUGGCAGUGAUGCGUAAAAAAUGUGAUAACUUGGAAGGUUGAUUCAGCCAGCUCUCCAGAACUCUCUACAUCAGAUAAUAUAGAGCCAAAGCACUACGUAGAUAAUGGCCACGUGACCAGCUCAAGUACAACGAACGAGAGACAUUAGAAUAUUAGAUUGAGUUGUUGAUAGCCAUCAGAUCAACAUGAAAGCUGCAAGCAGUACUUGCGUAAGCUUUCGAAGCAAGGGAAACUGUUUUGUUUAAUCAAGUUGCGUGGAUUAUAACUUGGUAAAUAUUCUCUUCGCAUUUGUUACUUUUUUUAAGUUUGUUUAUGGAUUAUAACUUGGUAAAAAAAGAAAAAAAUAUUAACUAAACGCACUAGUCAUUCUCUAUUAAUUUUGGCUGUGGCAUUUCUCAUCUAUAGGUAAGAGCUUCAUUGGGGCCAUUUGAACAAACCAUAAACAUUAACCUCCAAAUGCUUAAGAUUCUCUGACUCAAAAAUCGUUUUGGGUUUCCAUUAACGGAAAGCCAAUCCACGUUUAAGAACUAUUGCAAAUGUAACUAAGUUUGAAUGCCGAGGAAAAUUAUAAAGGGAGGCUCAGCAUAUCUCUGAAUUGCUAAUUUGAGACAAUGCUCCAAAUGCCACUUUGAGAAUUAAUAAAAUUAUUAUUCCAACAGCAAAGGGGAUCUAAACACUGCAUAAGAACAGAGGAUCCUCUGACGCUCGAGCAUUUAUACGAUGGAAGUACAAGAUUGUAUAGAACAGUCAUGUUACAAUGAUCGCGGCGCUCAAUCUCACAGUAAUAGAGUAGAUCAAAUACUCAAAUGAUGCCCGAAAAUCAGCUUUUGAAACAAACUUGAUUAGCUAAAACGACCGCGCCAAAAAUAACCAACUGUUUUAACUGACUUUGACUAAUGCUGACUUUAUUAACCACGUGCGUCUCACGAGCGAUCGGCUUAGCAAACUCAAAUGGUCAAUGGAGUGGAACCAAAACAAAUAAAUAAAUGAGUGCUGAUGUUUGCCCCGGGUCAAACCCCGGGUCAAACCCCGAAAAUGCGUCAAACGACGCCGUUUUGGCUCGUAAUUUUUUUUGUUUUCAAGUGCUAUUGAACGACGACGUUUCUGCUUCAAUUUUUUAUUUAUUCUGAUUUGCUUUCAACGAAGUCAUUUUGGUCUACAAAUGGCAGCCUUCUUCUUCCUCUGUCUUUAACCCAGCUGAACCAUUUCUUCUUCAUUUUCUUCGUUCUCUUCUCGGUUUCUUAUUUGCGUCGUUUUCUUUAUUUUUUUCUUUUUUGUUUCUUCAUUUCUUUUUCGUUUCUUCCAUCCUUUCUUCAUUUCUUCCAUCCUCGACCUAGAUCUACAGCCCUUGAGUCGACAGCAGAACAGGAUCUACUAAUUAAAGCUCCAUCCUCUUCGUCUUAACCUGAACGAGAUCCACAGCCCUUGCAUUUAGUGAAGAACAAGACCAACAACAGCUGAGUUUCGGCUACUCAAGACCAACAGCAGUGGUCUAAAGUAUGAUGAAUUCCAUAACAUUUUCUUUUUUUCUUUUUUUGGCUUUAAAACCAGUGGUCGUGUAUUUUCCCGAAGUGGGUGGGUCUCCCAGCAAAAUCCACAGUAGCAAAUUGCAGAAUGAUAGAUAUUUAUUGGUCAAGCACAACCCACAAGUUUUUGUGUUAAUUGAGAUACAAACUAAACUAAGUAUAUAAUUUGAACAACUCUUUAAAGAAGAAAAAAGUGGAGGACUUUUACAUUUAUAGCUGCUGAGGUUCGCUUUCAAGUGAUAAUUUACCAUCAACGAAGUGUAAAGCUGUCUACAACUGUGAUUGACUUUCAGAACUCAUGUGUAUAAUUCAACUGCUUGUUGUAUAAAUUUGUUUGUGUCAAAUGACAAAAUCUACAAAUUCUCCAGAGGGAAACUGACGACAGGUUUUAUCUCUGAAGCCAUUGAGCGCAAGACCAAGUUGGGAUGUCUUCCCUCUGUUGCUCUGUUGCUUUCGCAGGUGAAACGAAGAAACGAAGAGGAAGAAAGAUUUUAUUCUUCUCAAAAUAUCAUCAGAAACGUCGUCGUUUUGGAGUAUUCCAAAAAGAAAAAAAAUAAUCAAAACGACACCGUUUACGUUAUUUUCGGGGUUUGACCCGGGAUUUGACCCGGGGCAAACAUCAUUUUCCUAAAUAAAUUGAUAAUUGGAGCAUUUUUUCUGUCUCUGUGAUGAAAUGAUUGAAUUUCCGGGUAAUUAAUUAUUUAUUUAUAUUUUAAAAUUGCACUUUUAUAAUUAAAAUUUUAUUUAUUAUUUUUUUCUUUGAAUAUGGAUUAUGAAAUUAACUCAUGGUGGUAAAUCAGUGAAGAAUUAUUAUUAUUAUUUUUUCCACACGGCAGCUUUGAAGAUAAAAUGGAUUGGUCUUUAUCAUUGCUAAAUUAGGAACCCAGAAUCCUUACAAGCCCUUAAUCUUGAGAGAGUAUACCUUUCCAGUCGCACAGGCUUACCUUUCAAUUCCUUAUCUAUCCAAAAUUUCAACAACAGUAGUAUCUUUUGUCUUCGGGGCUGUGACUUGGGCACUUUCCAAGCAGCAUUUAUUUCUCAAACCUACUGUUACUCUUGUUUGGGGUUUCCUUGCUUACAAGUACCAGUGACCAUAGUGUUGCGAACUUGUUAAUUUACUCAGAUCAUGCCUUGCUGAAAUUAAACAACACCAGCUGAACAUCAAAAUCCAAAUGUGUUAGAAAUAAUUUGAAAUCCAUGCCCAAGCAUGAGAAACUUCUAAAUUAAGUUGUGAUAAGCUACACCUACUCACCUAGUACGCAUUACAACAAUGACGUGCAAACUUGUGAAGCAAUAAGCUAUAUAAUUUUUUAAUGUGAGUGAAAAUAGUGGAGUGCAAACAAUAAGUUAUAUAGUUUUCUAAUGUGAGUGGACAAACUAUAUAAGGCAAUGUUGUAUAUGGUUGCAAUUUUUUCUUCGUUUUUUUAGUACGUGGCCUAAAAUGCAUUUGCCAAACUAUAAAUACCCCUUGUGCUAUGUUUGUAUAAUCAUCCGAGAAGAAAUAGAAUAAAUAAGACAAUUAGCCUUUGUGUCUUGGUUUGUUUUUGUUUUUUUUUUUGUUUUUUUCAAAGAGUGGUUUGUGAGUUCCCAUUAAAGUGUGUUUUUUAAUUCCUUUUUCUUUGGAUAAUUAGAGUUUCAUACUCUAUUUAUUCAACAUUUGAUAUUGGAGCGGGACAGUCAAGAAUCGUUCUUGGUGGAGCUAUCUUGAGUCGUGAGAAGUAUAGUACUCCACAAGGUUAUUAAUCAAGCUUAUUUAGUAUAGUCAAAGUCUUGUUGGCAUGAUAGGUGAUCUUCGAAGCAGUUGGAGGCAUUAUGAAGCUCAACAACCAAAAUUAUAACACGUUGUCAACAUGCAUAGAGUCCUACCUACAAGGUCAAGACCUUUGGGAAGUUGGCGGUGGUAGUGAAGCCACACAACCAACGGCCAAAGAUGCCAAUGGCUUUUUGCGAAAGUGGAAAAUUAAAUCAAGCAAAGCAAUGUUUGCUUUAAAGACCACAAUUGAAGAAGAAAUGCUGGAGCACGUUCAGGAUGCCAAAACACCGAAGGAAGCAUGGGACACUCUUGUUACAUUUUAUUCAAAGAAGAAUGAUACAAGGCUGCAACUUCUUAAGAAUAGACUCCAAUCGAUUGCGCAAUGUGAUAUGAGGAUUGCUCAGUACUUCCACAAGGUGAAGUCAAUACGCUGCAAAAUUUCAAAGUUAGAUCCAACAACUGCUCUUGGGGAUGCAAGGAAAAUUAAAGAGAAUAAUUAUACAUGGUUUAAGACCCCAAUACCGAGGGUUUGUUGCCACUGUACAGUGAUGGAGAACACUACCAUCACUUGUUGUUGAGUUUGAAAAUUUUCUUCUAAGUCAAGAAGCUAUGGCUAAGCAAAUAAGAGGAGUCUCACUGAAGGGUGAAGAGAAAGUGCUCUACACCAACAAAAGCAGAGGCAGUUUCAAACAGCACACCAAUCGUGGAUCUAAAAAGGAUGGUGAUAAGGUGAAAAGUCACCAAGGAAAGUAGGCUCUUGUCCAGGGGGAGCUUUGAGGAAUCGCGGUAAUAGUAGAAAGUUCGAUGGCGAGUGUUACAAUUGGGGGAAGAUGGGUCACAUGGUGAAAGAUUGUUGAUCUAAAAAAAAACCUGUUAAGAGUAAUGCUGCUACUUUAAGAAAAUAACGAGAUAGUUGGGAUGCCAAAGCGGCGUUCACUAUAGAGAAAGAAGAAUUAGCUCUCAUGAUAACAGCAUCAAAACAAAUUGACUAUAAGAAUGAUUGGAUUGUAGACUCGGGUUGCUCAAAUCGUAUGGCAGGUGAUAAAUAGAAGUUACAAAACCUGUCUGAAUACAAGAGAAGUCGUGUGGUGGUCACAACUUAUAACUCAAAGUUACCAAUAGAAAAAAUUGGGAAGACAAUUAAUUGUUAAACCUCAAUAUAAUUCUAGCCAGGUGCCACUUCAAGAUAUUUAUCGCGUCUCAAAAAUGAAGAAAAAUUUACUAUCUGUGGCUCAAUUGACAUCAUCAGGCCACCAUGUCUUGUUUGGUUCCUAAGAUGUGAAGGUGUAUUAUGAUAUCAAAAUCUUAGAAAAACCGACAAUUGAUGGGUAACGAUUAGAAUUAGUUUACAUAAUGUCAACAGAGUUUGCAUAUGUAGACAAGACACGGAAAAAUCAAACAAUAGAUCAAUGGCGUAUUCGGUUAGGUCAUGUUAGCUAUUCCAAGUUGAGUGUGAUGGUGAAAAAGUUGAUGCUUGAGGGCUUCUUCAACUUGACGUGCGAAUAGACACGGUUUGUGCGGGAUGCCAAUAUGAUAAAACACAUCAAUUGCCAUACAAGAAAUCGAAGUCUAAAGCAAAUAAACCAUUAGAGUUAGUUCAAUUUUAUGUAUUUGGGCGCGUUAGACAACCAUCAAUUAGCUGUAUGCGGUACCUGGCGACAUUCAUUGAAGGCUUCUUCAUCUAUGUGUGAAUUUUCUUUAUGAAAGAAAAAUCUAACACAUUCCUAAAGUUUAAAGAGUUUAGAAAGUCAGCUGAAGGAGAAGUAGGAAAGAAGAUCCGUUGCUUGCAUACAGAUAAUGGAGGAAAAUAUAGCUCAAGCGAGUUCUCUCAAAACCUAAGGGAAUGUCGAAUACGUCAUCAGUACACUUUAAUACAACAACACUUUCAUACUAAAAUUUAUUAAAUACAUGUAUUCUGCUUUUUAAAUUCAAAGCAACCACAAUGCAAUUUAUCAAACAUGAAACUACUUUUCUAAUUAAUAGAUUAUUUUAUCUACACAAUCAAAACAACUUAUUUUGUCAAUGACUUAAAUCCCAAACAAAUUAUUUCACUAUUGGCGUGUCGAUCCCAAACAAGUCGUUUCCCCAUUGAUGUAUCCUUGACUUUAUAGUUGUAAGUAUUUGUGAAAUACUUGAUAGUUGGGUCUUCAAAGUUGGGUUUACUGACGUCAUAACUGCACUCCGGAAACGAAACCAUCGACGAGCUCCAGUUGUCAGUAUUUUCACUUAGUCUUUAUUGCUUUUCAAUUAGUGGCGGUGGGAACAUUUUUAAAGUUCCCAUCACAAGCUUAAUACUUUAACAAAAUGAUAAUUAUAUCUAAUUUUGAAUAAAUCACAAUAUAUAAAUAAAAAACAAUUUAAACUUAUAAAUAUUUUAGUCAUUUAAUAAUACAACAACUUUCAUAAUAAAAUUUAUUAAACACAUGUAUUAUGCUUUUUAAAUUCAAAGCAACCACAACAACACAAUUUAUCAAACAUUGAACUACUUUUCUAAUUAAUAGAUUAUUUCAUCUACACAGUAGAAACAACUUAUUUUAUCAUCAUCUGCAAUCCAAGCAAAUUAUUUCUCUAUUGGCGUGUCAAUCCCAAACAAGUCGUUUCGCCAUUGAUGUAUACUUGACUUUAUAGCUGUAAGUAUUUGUCAAAUACUUGAUAUAUAGUUGGGUCUUCAACGUUGGGUUUACUGAAGUUGAACUGCACUCCGGAAACGAAGCUUCAGUUGUCAGUAUGGUAAACGGAGAAAUUCAUCCAAGCAAAGCCGUGCUGUAUGGUCUUUUCAUGUGACUCUUAGGCCGGGCUUUGCACGGAAUCAGUUCCCAAAGUCAUUUCAUGGAGUAUUUGUUGCAUUUCUUUACAUAUUUGACUUGUUGACUUGACUCCUUUCAAGUCUUGCGCUGGCUGCACCAUGCUCAUACUGAUUUUUCUUUUUUAAUAUUUGAAAUUUAUUUGUUACUUCAUAUAUAUAAAAUUUAAUGCAACGUUCUUUUUUUUUUUAAAUUUAAAUGGAUUUAAACAAUACUAAAGCCUGAAUAAGUCAGAAGGCAUAUAUAUAUGAAUGAUAUGUUUAUUCUUCAUUUUUUGAUGUUUGACUAACAAACUUGAUAAACUUUUGCACAUGUAUAUGUAUAGAAAUAUAGGUUAAGUUAGAAGGCAUAUAUAUAUGAAUGAUAUGUUUUUGCAUUCAACUCUUCAUAAACUUUUGUCACAUAUAUAUGUAUAGCAAUAUAGGUUAAGAUUUUAAUUAGUUUCAUAUUCUUAUCUAAUAAUAAUCAAUUAUAUUUUUAAAAAAAUUAGUAAAAAGUUCAGCUCAACAUUGAAUCUUAAUCCCUGACUAUAAGUCGUAAGUUCUUUAUUUUUAUAAAUUAUCUUAAAUCUAAUAUUUUUAUGCUUACCUUGAAAGUAUUAUAUAAAUUUGGAAGUAUAGUAUUAUGAUACUUAAAAAAUGUAUAUAAAAAUUUAUAAGUAUUAUGUGUAUUUAAAAUAAAUAUAUCCUACUUGAUAUUCUUAUUCUCCUGCCGAUAUUCAUAUAAUAAAACUUUAUCUGCUUCGGUAUAGUAUUUAAUUACAAUGUUGUAUGUUAUAAAUGUUUAUAAGGUAAGCAUUUGAAAUAUAGAUAUAAUGAAAUUUUAAUUUUGAUUAAAAAUCACCUAGGUCUAACAAGAAUUUAAUAUAAUAUUUGUACAUCUUUAAUCUAAGAAUAAAUGAAUUUGCAUAAAAUUGAAAUUGAACAUAUGUCAGUUAUUUAAUCUUUCAUUGGACCAAGUAAAAGUCAAGAGUAGGAGAAUUUCUAAUACGACAUAUAAAUUACAUCCUAGUUAAUUAAUUAUAAAAAUAUUUUUUUAGUUAGAAAGAAAUAGGAGGGUGGACUUUUUGUUUCUUCAUGAUAGGGAGCAAGUACAUUAAUGAGAGUAUUUGUGAGGGAAAAAAAAGUAAUUUUUCAUUCGGACAUAUGAUCAUGUAGAUGAAAGUAAGAACACUUUACUUUUUCCAUUAAAAUAAAAACGUCUUAUAAUAAGACUAGACACAAAAAUAAACAAGUUAAAAUAUCAAAAUAUCUCAAAAUAAGCCAAAUUAAAACUUCAAAUAUAAAAGAAAACAAACAACUCAAAGAAGUGACUAAAUAUAUCAGAAUUAUGGCAAAUAAAUUAUUUUAGAAACUCUAUUCAACAUCUCUAGAAAAUAAAUAAAUAAAUAAAACUCUAUGAUUCUAAUUAAUACUUUUUGUUUUUUUUUUUUUAUUUGGUCCAAAUAGCAGUGCUCUUAUUUCUUUCUUGAAUAUUGCACUAAAUUUUUGGCUUUGGAAAAAUGGAUGUAGAAUUAAUUAAAUAAGAAAACUCCUAGAAUUUCCUGAAAACCUAGACAUCGUACGAAAUUUAACGUGUUGUUCAGAAAAGUUUGGUGACCAAAAAAAAAAAAAAACUGCAAGCAUACAUAUAUAUAUAUAUAUAUAUAUAUAUAUAUAUAUAUAUAUAUUUACAAGUUUUUCAUUUCAUUCUUACAUCUACUCUCCUAACUCUCAAGAUCCUCCAUUUCUGUCACUAAAUUUCCAAAUAUUUGUUCAUGGCUUCUUCUUUUUAUUCUUCUUAUAAUUAUGAUGUCUUCCUCAGUUUCAGAGGGGAAGAUACCCAUGAGAAUUUUACCAGUCAUCUUGAUGAUUUUCUAAAUAAAUCAUGCAAUUUAUUUUGUUAAACCAAAUCCAUACUUUAUUGGUUGAUGCGGAAACGAAUCGGUACAAAUCUGCAAGAAUAAAGAAUAAGCUCCCUCCAAUCUCUAAAAGCAAAUUGUCAGGAACUAGCACGAGCAGAUCGCAACGAACAAGAAUUGAUUGCUAGGAACCUUCACGAGCAAAUCUCCUUCAUGAAUGAAUCGUCACAAGUUUAUGUCACUGAUGAUCAGAGGACAACCACUUAUUUGGAAAAUUCCUUCAAUUCAAGAAGCAAGAACCCAUUGCCUUUUUCCCUUUUCUCUCACUCUCUUUUGAUAUUACUCUGAUUCUUAUGAUUAUUAUUGUACGUGUUAUCACUCACCCAUGUAGUGUUUAUAUAGUACAAUAAGUGCUGUAUAUGUAGUUUAAUUCAAAUCAACUUCCUAGAGUUAUUUGAUAAGCUAUAUCUUAUGUGAUUAGGAUUAAGAUAAAAUACUAAUUUUAUCUUAUAAAAAUCCUAGACAAACUCUAAGUUCAUCUUAUCACUUACGUUAGAUUAAUUCAUCCCAUCAUGGGAGCUAAAUCUAACAUCUCCCACUCGCACAUGAUGGGACGACUGAGAAACCAGAGCAACAAGAGUAGGGUUUUUGGGCAUAAAGCCACAACCACAGUAUCAUAAAGGUGAAUGCAACGUACGACCCAUGAACAACAUAAACUGGAGCUUAGAGAGCAAAAGAUCUCAAUUGCACUUUUCGCAAGAGAUUCAAAUAACUUGUUCAGUAUAUUUCGUAGAUUUCAUUAUCCUUUACAUCGGUACAAACAUAUUUAAUCCCUCAGCAAAAAAUUAUGUUUGACACUGUGCACUCUAUGUAUUCAUAAUUGCAUUCAUCCCUAGGCAGAUUAUACAACUGGUCGACCGGUGAUGUGGCAGCAUUCGACUGGACGAAUAAUGAGGCAUUGACUGCUUAUUUGGCGUUGACCGAUGAUGUGUCGCGAUCUUAUUGGACUAAAAUGAUUAUGUAGAACUGACCGGUGACAUGGCAGUAUGUUAGUGGACCAAAAAACAUGCAUACGAUACAUGCAUUACACGGAAUGACAGCCCUGAUGAUGUGUUCUAUCUAAUCAUAACUUGCCACGUGGCGCAAUCCUGAACGUCUAAAUUAUUUUAAUCUGAUGGCCAUGAUUUAUUCAUUGUAUCUAUAAAAAGGGGUCCCCCCUAAUUUGACACCCCUGAAUUCAUUUGAGCUCCAUUUUUUGUAAUUCCUUUUCUAUAUUGUAUUUUCUACGUAUUUUAAAAAAAUCUCAUUUUACCCCUAGUUCAAUUAUGAGUAGCUAAUUUUCUUUCAAGCUUAGGUUGAAGGUGAAGUCUCAACAUGUGCCAUGGGCUUUAUUUGGUAAAUUUACUUUCUCUUCCCCUUUGACUUAUGUGGAUAUUUUUACUUUUAGUCUACAUAUAAUAAUAAUCUUGUCUAGAUACCGCACUGGUAUAACCAGCUCCCUUGUGCAAGGUUAUUACUAUUUGGCAUGAUAAGCCCUUAACACCAUAUUGAUUAGAGUGGGGUUCAUGAGAAGUCGCCUCAUGAUUUAAUUGACACUAAUAAGGAAUAUUGAGCCUAUGGUGCAUGUUGAUGCAGAUCCAGAUACCAAAAUGACUCAUUUUAAUAGAUUUCACUUCAAUUUAUUCCCGCCAUUUUAAUUUAAAUGUUAGGAUAAUCUAAAUCACUUCCACCAUAAAUCCAAUCACCCACUUAGAAAAUUAACUCUAUACACAAUUAAAAUCCACCUCCUCGUGGGAUUGACACUCGUCACCAUUGAUCUAUUCUAUAAUAGAUUCGUGCAUUUGCGAGUUCAAUAAAAUUUGCACAACAAGUUUUUGGCGCCAUUGUCGGGGAGGUAAGUUAUUUUAAUUCAUAGAAUUAAUUUUUGUAAAUAACUUCUUUUAAUUAUUUUCUUCUAAUUUUUUUAUUUAAAACAAAGACAAAAAAGUAAAUUUGUAUUUUAAGGUAAGAAUUUCUUUUCUUUUUCUAAACUGUGUUGAUGUGGACGAUUAGUGACUUUCUAGCUUUUGGAAACAAACUUUGUGUUUGAUGCAUAUAGGAAACAAACUUUUAUUUUAUGAGCUAUAUUAAUGUGGACAAUUAGUGACUUUCCAGCUUAUGGAAACCUGUCUUGGUGUACUAUUAAGGGGUACUAUGGUUGUCCAGUUUGUAGGAUAAACACACGUGCAUGUUGGCUACCUCAUAGUCAAAAAAUGUCAUAUAUGGGCCAUAGGCUGUUUAUUGAAAAUCUCCUAGGCCUUUUUCUAGUACAGAGAUCUUAAACUUAGUGCUGACAUUGAUACCAAGUUUGGGAAAAAAAGUCUAAAAAAAGCAAAAACGGGGUGAGGGUAAGGGUAACAGUAAGGGUAAAGGUGAGGGUGAGGCUGAAGGGGAUGGUAAGGGUAAAGGUAAAGGUGAGGUUGAGGUCAAGUUGAAGUUGAGGGCGAGGGUGAGGGCAAUAGAGAUGUAGCUCAGCUGUUGUACAAAAAGAGAUAAAUCUUAUUUGAUUUAGAAUAUUAGGAAAACUUAUUGGUUCGCCAUCAGUUAGAUGUGAUGCAUACUGAGAAAAAUGUAUGUGAGAGCAUCUAUGGCACAUUACUCCAUCAAUCAAGGAAAAUAAAAGAUAUAACUAAUGCUAGAAAAGAUCUUACACAUCCAGAGCUUAGAGAGAAAAUUAACAAAGCAUUUAUUGCAUUAGCUUCUGAUGAACAAAACAAAGUCCUGCCCCUUGCCCUAUACACUUUAAGUAAGAAAGAAAAACAAAUUUUAUGUGAAACCUUGCAAGGUGUCAAAGUUCCUGAUGCCUAUUGUUCUAAUUUUAGAAAUCUUGUUUUAAUGGAUGAUUGUCAUCUUCACGGGCUUAAGUCUCAUGAUUGUCAUACCUUGAUGCAAAACCUACAACCAUUAGCAAUUCAGAAUUGUUUGCCUCACAAUGUCAAAUCUGUUAUAAUCAGGUUGCGUCUCUUCUUUAAUUCUUUGUGUUCUAAGGUAGUAGAGCCUGAUUCUCUAAACCAAUUGCAAAAGUAACUUAAAAUCACCUUAUACAAUUUAGAACAAUACUUCGUACCUGCCUUCUUUGAUAUAAUGGUCCAUUUAACAGUCCAUUUAGUGGAAGAAGUUAGAUUAUGUGGCCCGGUUUACCUUUGAUGGAUGUAUCCAUUUGAGAGAGAAAUGAAACCUAUAAAGGGUUAUGUUCACAACCGAAAUUGUCCUGAAGGUUGCACAGCAGAAUGCUAUAUUGCUGCGGAAGCACUUGAAUUUUGUGCUGAAUACCUUUCAAAUUGUUAAUUAAUCAGACUACCUACUGGUUGUCUAAUUGAUUUUACAAUUGAAAGGUCACUCGGAGGUGCAAGUAUUAAGGUGGUUGAUGCCCCUAUAUUGGCGCAAGCGCACCGAUGUGUUUUGGUAAACACCCCCGAGAUUCAACCAUACAUAGAAGGUACUUUUCAAGUGCGAUUGGGUAGAUGAUAGACGGGUUAAUGUUGAUGAGUUAGGGUUCACUAUAGUUAAUUUAGAUCGGAUAAGUUACAAAUCUGAUUGUUUCAUUUUACCUGGUCAUGCAAAGCAAGUGUUUUCUGUGAAAGAUCAGUUAGAUAAUAGUAAAUCAAUUAUUUGUUCAGUGAGUGAAAAAUGUAAUUAUUCAAAUAGGGUUAUGUGUGAUGGCAUGGAUGAGUAUGAGCCAUUAUCCAAUAAAUUUCCACAAUGUAAGUUUGAUUUAGGUGAUGAGGAAUUUGUGUAAGAUCAGUUGUUGAUGUUUUCAUGUAAAUAUUGAUGUGGAAAAUGAAUAAUUCAACCACUGUGCCUUAUUAGCACUAUAUCCCGUAAGUUAGUAACUAAUUUGUUUUUAUUUUUUUAUUAUUACAUUGGGAUAUUACAUUGGUAUCUGGUGCACUCAUCCAUUUUUAUGUAUUUACAGGUUUGUUGGAGACAUGGCAGAAAAUGAGGAGCUGACAUAUGAUCUAGAUUUGGAAGAAAAAUUAAGACGAAACUUUACAAAGAAGAAAGAAUUGCAAAGAAGAGUUAGUGACGAGACUAAGGUUAUGUGCAAUUUGUAUGAAAUUCUAGUUGAAAAAAAGAGAAGUGAUCUGAUGAACUACAUUGGGGUGAUUGUAAGAGAAAGAGACCCAAUUAUAUGUGAUAAUUAGAGGAAAGUGCACUAGACAUCAAGGAGACGUUGUGGACUCAUUUUUAGGAAAAGUUCAAGUUGAGUUUUAAGGCGAAAACCCAAGUGUUCAAGUGGAUGGGAGUUGCAUUAAGAGGCUUUAAAUGUAAGUUGGCCAAUAAAUAUAUUCUACCCAAUGCAAACAACUUGAAUUCACUGAAAAAAGUCUCCUCUUGAGUGUGAACUAGAAGAGCUUUGUUGAUAAAUUUUGUUCGAAGACUUUCAGGUAUUUUUAAAAUUCUGUUAGUUAGAUAAUAAUAUUAAGUUCUUGUUAACCAUUUUAAUCAAUAUCCACUUUGCGAAGGAAAAAAGUAAGGCAUCAAAUGAAAAAAGAGUAAAGAAUGUGUACAAUCAUCACUUGGGCAACACAUGAUAUGCUGGGCUGUUGCAUAAAAAAGUAAGUACAAUAACCACUCUAUACAAACUUAUGACAUUUUCAAUACAAAUAAUAGGAUGAUUUAUAGCAAUUUUGAAUUUACUUUUUAUCGAAUUAUUGCAGAAGUUGGACCUCAGAGUUUCUAAGCACGAGAUUGACCGCAGUGAAGCCUGGUUAUUGGCUCAUAGGAAAAAAAAAUGAAAGUUAUACACCUGAAGUGCAGCAAGUGGCUGAGAGAAUUGUUAGUUUCCACCACCAUUGAAAAAUACCAAUGUAAAUAAUUUGAAACUGAAAGCUGCCUGAAUUAUUUUAUAAUCCAAGAUCAUGUAAAUUAACAAAUUAGGUUGCUUUGUUUAUUUUGAAAAAUACUGGUAAUGCGAUAUAUGUUUCAGCUGUCAUUAUUUAACUUAGGUGCUUUUUUAUUCCUAAUUUUCAUCAAAUCUUUUUUUAUUUAUUUUGUAGAGUGAGCUAAGAAGCCACGUUCCAAUCCCAAGGAUCGAAUGAUAUCCUAGGUGAAGCCCUUCAUAAGAAGCCUAAUGGAAGUCGGGUGCAAGGAUUGGGUCAAUUCAUCAACCCAUCUAUGUAUUUUAAUAUUCCUGACCCUACUGAGUUGGUGCGAGAACAGAGAAUGUAUCAAGAGAGUUUUCAGUUUAUGCAAGCUCAGUUAGAUCAAAUGAAUGCAGUUUUCAGUUUAUGCAAGCUCGUUAGACACUGAAGUUGGCAGUUACAACUUUCCUAACUCCAAAGGUUGUUGCAGUGUUAAGAUGGAGAUAUAUUGUCAAUCACCCAGCAAAGUUACUCCAAAGUCAGUGACUAACAACCCUAAAGCUAUUCCAAAAUCAGUGUCUAACAACCCCAAAGCUACUCUAAAGUUAGUGACCAAAGUUACUCCAAAGCCAGUGACCAAUGACCUCACUGUUUGUCUAAAAUCUGAAAAAAAAAAAAAAAACAUCAAUAAACCUCCACUGCCAUCCUCUGCACAGAAUCCGCCCCAAGUAGAUUGUGAAGCCACUUCAAAAAUCACCCCAAGAAGAUCUUCAAGAUUAACUCCUUUGAAGAGAAAAGUCGAUGGCCGAAAGUCUCUUGUAAAUGGCGUGGUAUAUCUGUAUAAACAGAAAGAAGCAACAAAAGAACUCGUUGUUGUAAAACCAGUGAUAGUAAGGAAACUUGUUAUGAGAAAGAAUACAUGUUGAGUUGUGAAAGCAAGAAAGGAGAACAAGAGUUCACAUAUGAACAUCUUUUUUUUUAUGAUUGAGAGCUCCCUGCCACGGUCGAUUAUGAUUGCACAUGAUCUGAAAACUUUUGGUGUCUAUUGGGGGAGCAAAUUAGACAACCAGAUUUGCAAUAAAGUCAUUGAGUUUACAGAGCUCUCAAAUUUUAUUUUGUAGAUAUGGAUCAAGUAAGAAAUAAAAAACUUGAAUCAUGUUUUUAUUAUGUUUUCUGAUUUUGCAAAUUGUCAUUAAUUUAUUUGUUAUAUUCAUAUGUCAUACAAGUUUCUUUUUUUAAUAGACACUUGUAUGAGGAGAUGGAUAAUGACGGUGAUGUUAUUCCAAUUCAAUUUAGAUGUAUAGCUAAGUUACAUUCAACUCAAGCAAGCUACCCAAAUAAGUGUUCUUAUAUUUCGGACCUUUUGGACAAGAUACAAAUAGGGCAAAUAAUUGUGCUCCCAUAUAACUCAGGUAUAGUUUAUUUAUUUUUUGUCCUUUUUUUAACAUUAAUGAUUUAAAUUUAUCCUGUAAUAUGUUUGUUUUUUUUUUAUUGUUGGUUUAAUGGCUAUUGGGUGCUUGUAGCAAUUGAUAUGACAAGGCGAAAAAUAUAUUAUCUUGAUCCAUUAGGUGAUAGUUCUGAUGAUGAGUUGAAGCAGAUGGUGAAUGAGUCAAUUUAAUUGGUUUACUUAAUUCUUUUUUAAUUUUUUAUAUUGUGGAUUAAUUUGCUACAUCCGCUAUUUAUUACUUAUAGUGGGAUAACAAUGCAUCAAGUGAAAACUAAUAAAAAGAAGGUUGUGCAAUGGGUCUUUGUGAAGGUAUUAAUGAAACAAAGUUAUGACUUCUAUUGUUACUUUCACCAGUAUAUUUGAAACUAUAUUUUUUACUUUUUAGCAUCCGAAACAACCUGGAACCUUGAAAAUAAUGUACAUCCAAGAUAUUGUUCGAGAUUUGUUCAUUCUUGAAAAUAAUGUAAGUUCCUCUAUAACGUUUUUAAUAUUUUAUUGAAGAAUGCAUUGUGGAUUGAAUUUUCUUAAGAACAGUGUUUAAUCGAUCAAUUGCCACUUUGUCAAUAAUUGUGAAGAUGUUUAAUGGGUGAACAGUUUGCUGCUUUAAGCUUUAAACUAGCAAUAUAAUCAUAUCUUCUGCUGGGGAUGAAACUAGCGAGUUGUACAUGUUUAGGAUAAUCACAUACACUUUAUUUGGCAUGUUUAUUAUAGAUAAAAGAUAUAACACUAUGUAUACCUACAUUUUAUCCUAUCGUAUUUUCAAAUAGAGUGGGCAGAUUCAUUAGUUGAGCACAACCAAUCAAUAUUUUGCUGAAUGCAUUCAAGAUGUUUGGAAAAUUAAUGCCAAUUUUUAGUGUAAUCUACUAUGUUCUUAAGGCACUUUAGUGCAAACCAAAAUGAUUGGAGCUAUUGCAUGUAGAAAUAGAAGGCAUAUGAAUCCCAAUGUUGAUUGUUAAAGUAAUAUUGAGUAAAGCAAAAUAAUAUAUUAUAAAUUAUCAGCUUCUUAGACAGCUUUGGUAACCAUUGUUUGAUGUAUAUGGUGAUACAAUUUAUUUGCAUGUUCUUCAUUUUUUAUAUUAAUCAUAACAAAUUUAAAAGUAUAUGUAUUUAUUUUGUUGUUUUAUUUUAGGAUAGAUUUUAAAAUAUAUGAAUAUAUUUUGUUGCUUUAUUUUUUAAGUUCAAGGGCUGUGAUGAGUACCCUACAGACGAUCUUUCGCAACUUCCCGAUAAGUGGGCCAUGUAUGUUGCAAAGUUAAUUAUAGCAUAAUAUAAUCAGGUUAAUUAUAUUUUUGCUUGUAAAUAUCAGAGAAUUGAUUUUUGUAGCAUAGUAGCUAAUUGGUUCUACAUACUGCACUUAUAGGGGGAAAAGGCGAAGGGAAAGGCGAAGGUCAAGGAGUAGAUGUACUGAGGAUAAUUGCUUGUUUUCCACAAACUGUCAUUAUCUUGUUUCCAAACUAUACUGAAGAUAUUUUCAAACAAUAUUUCAUAUAUUUGUAUUAGUGUUUUAUUUGAUACCUAUUUAAAUUUUAGUGGGAAUGUUAUAUACUUAUAUUUAAUUAUUCAGUUAGUACUUUAGUUUAAUUUUAAUAAUUUCUUCAAAUACCAUCAUUUGAUUGGCAAAACUAAAAGAACAAUGAAAAUAGUAGAGUAACAACAGAAACGUCAAAAUAUAAAUUUAAUUAGAAGCCAUUGACACUAAAAAAAUGUAUCAGGAAGUAAGAGCUUUAUUGUGUCAUAAAACUAGUGAUGCUAUAGUAAUGCAAAUUGCUGACACUAAAGUAUUAGUAUCUAUUGAUUCUAUCAUGUCAUCUCCCCGGUGUAAAACAAACUAUUAACGUGUAAUAAUUGUUAGUAAACACUAUCACCAUAGGGUUAUCAUAUUCGUGAUACUAUAGUGAUAAGUAACUUUUAGCAAGCGAUCAUCAUCAGUAACUACUAAUACCAUAGUGUCAUAAAGCUUGUAAUACUAUAGUAAUAGUAAUCACUGACACCACAAACAAGUGUCACUAUUUUUUUUUACUGUCAGAUUACUGACACAAUUAGCAAGUGUCAGUAAAAAUAAUUACUGACACAAUUUUAAUGUCAGUAAAGACCAUUUUUCUAGUAGUGAAAGUUUGAAAAUAACCAUUCCUUGAUGGUUUAAACAAACUCUAUAUUAUUUCCAGCCAACAAUAUAUCGUCCACAUAGAUAAGAUGACAAAGUUACCCUCUGACCUUUUAACAAAUACACAAUGAUCUUCUUCGAUUAUCGAGAAUCCAUAAGUCAUCACAGAUUCAUGAAACCUAAGAUAUCAUUGUUUGGAGGAUUGUUUUAGCCUAUAUAUAGAUUUUUUGAGCUUGCAAACUUUGCGCUCUUGGUCAUUGGUUAUAUAACCCUUUAGCUGUUCCGUAUAAAUUUCUUCCUCUAGCUCUCCAUUGAGAAAAGCUAUUUUAACAUCCAUUUGAUGUAAUUCCAAGUCCAUAUGUGCAACGAUGGCUAGAAUUAAUCUAUAUUCUCUUCUUAGGUAUAUCCUUUCGCUACUAAGCGUGCCUUGUAUCUUUCAAUUGCACCAUCCGCCUUUCGUUUAACAUGUAAAACCCAUUUGUUUCCAAUGGCCUUACAAUUGGGUGGUAGAUCAACCAAGUCCCAGACGUGGUUUGAUCUCAUUGACUCCAUUUCUUCAUCCAUUGCUUUAGUCUACAAUCUCUUAGUUGAUGAUGCGAUAGCCUCAUUAUAAGUUCUUGGCUCAUCACCAUUAUGUGAAGCAACCAUAAAUGCCUCCUUCUCAAUCUCAAAACGACGACGUGGGAUGGGUAUACGAUUACUUCUUUAAAUUGAGUUGUCAUGUGGAGUAAACCCAUUUUGUGGUUGACUCCCACUAAAAUCAUAAUUCUCAAACAUAUCUAGGUUUCUCUCGCUUUGUAAAUUGAAGUUUUAUUAAUCUCUGGAUCAUUCAACUCAUAAACAUAAGUGUCUUUAUCAAUCUCUGAAAUGCUAAGGAAUUCAUUUUCAAAAAAUGUGACAUCUCGUGAUUCUAUCUCAGUUAUAAUUUCAUCAUUAUGUUCACCUAUGAACACAUAUCCUUUGGAGUGUUCUAGGUAUCUUAUAAAGAUACAUUUCUUUCCUCUUGGACCCAAUUUCCCAUGUUUAUGAGAUGGGUUGUGAACGUACGCUGCAGAAUCCCAAGGACACAAAUGAGUAAGAUUAGGUUUUCUAUAUGUCCAUAGCUCAUAUGGAGUGGAACUUACUGACUUACUCGAAACUCGAUUAAGUACAUAAGUGGCAAUCAAUAAUGCAUCCCCCUAGCAAGAAACUGGAAGAUUUGCUUGCGCCAUCAUAGACCUAACCAUCUCAAGUAAUGUUUUAUUCCUUCUUUCCACAACACCAUUUUGUUGUGGAGUCCUUAGAAUAAUUAAUUGUCUCUCAAUACCUUUAUCAUUACAUAGUUCAUUGACCUGCUCUGAAAGGUAUUCACGUCCAUGGUUCGUUCUUAGGACUUUUAUCCUUUUGGCUAAUUGAUUCUCUAUUAAAUUCAAGUAUGAUUUAAAGCAAUCUAAUACCUCAAAUUUAUGAGAACUCAAAUAAAUAUAAUCAAUACAUGAGUAGUCAUCAAUGAAUAUGAUAAAGUACAUGACUCCAUGUCUAGCCCUUACACUCAUUGACCCACAGAUGUCAGAAUGGACUAUUUGCAAUAGACUUUCAUCUCUAGUAACUUUACCAAAUGGCUUUCUAAUUGUUUUUUCAACUAGACAACUUUCACAAAUGGGCAAGUCAAUAUUAGCGAGUAAGCCUAAUAGGCCUUCUUUAGUUAAUCUAUUCAUUAUUUCUUGCCCUAUAUGUCCUAGUCUAGCAUGCCAAGUAUUCACAUUCACAUUGGAAGAAACAUUUAUUGAAAAAUAACUAUUAUUGGAAUAAUUAUAAUUAGUAUCCAAAACAAUAAAACCUUUCAACAAAUAACCAGUAGCAACUAGAGUUGAAUUAAGAACGAUCUUUAAACUAACACCAUAAAAUUGUAAUUAAUAUCCUAUCUUAAGAAGAACAGUAACAGAGUCUAAGUUUCGUUGGAUGUCUGGAGCAUAAAGAACAUAGUGGAGAUAAGUGUUCGGCCACCACACAACUCUAACUUGCAAGUGCCAAUUCCUUUAGUUUCAACCCUUGAAUUGUUACCCACGUAUAUCCAUUUUGUUCCUUGACUAAUCCAACGAUACUCCACAAACGCUCCACGCUCUCUAUCUAUGUCAUCUCUUACUCUUGAGUCUACAGUCCACAAAGGACGAGAUUCGGUUAGAAAAACAGAACUUGUCACAUAGUUACAACAUAAAUUUGUGGAGAUGAGUUGUACCUUUUUCGGCUCAGUGCAUUCACGAGCGAAGUAACCCAAUUACCACAAUUGUAAAAAUUCAUUUUAGUCUUGUCUUUCAUCUGUUUAGCGCGCUUUCUCUCAUGGCUUUCCAUUAUUAGGCUUCCCUUGAGCUGGCAAAUUUCUCUUUUCCCUUUGGAAAGUAUUGCUUCCUCUUUUGUGCUUAAAGCCCGAAGUUUUUUGCUGCUUAGAGUUAGCCAUAUAGAGUUGACUAGAAGUUUUAGCAGCCUCUAGGCGAUCAUCUUCUAGUUUCAAAUGACGCUUGAUAUCAUUAGAUGUCUUAAUGUUAUCAUUAUGGGUCAUAUUAACUCUCAUAUGUUCCCAAUUAUCAAGAAGGGAUCCUAUGACUACCUGACCCUAUUACUCAUCAGUCAAUACAUGUCCAGCAUUUUUUAACUCACGUAUCAUGUUCGACAUCUCACUUAAAUGCUACCUUAUGCUCUUUUCAAGACGCUUUAUGAAAGAGUCAAACUUGAUAUUGACCUCUCUUAGUUUAGUGGUCGAAAUACCACCAAACUUUUCUUUCAAGGCAAGCCACAUUUCAUGAGCUAUAUGGUACUCUUCGAACUCACACAUAAGGUCAUCUUGCAUACAACUCAGCAUCGUAAUGUGAGCAUUACUGUUUUUCUUUUUCUAGGACUGAUAAGCUUUAAGAUCCUUAUGGUAUUGUUCAGUAGGACUGCUUUCAGGCUCCUCAAGCUCAAUUAUGGUGUUUUGGAGAGUCUCAAGAGUCUCUUGCUCCUCGAGAACAUAUUGAACUUUUUGGUGCCAAAUGUCAUAAUUGUCACCAUUCAAUUUUUCUCCUUUGUUCAAUUCGGCCACGAUAUUCUUUGAAGAUGUCAUUUCUUAUAGCCACAACAAAAAAAAGUUAAUUAGCAUGGUUCUUACAUAUAUUUAAUUUUUUCGCAAACACAAGAACCAAACAUGAUUAUUUAACAUAAGGAUUAGAAUCGAAAAGUUGUCGAAGCUCCUAAUCAUCAUAUUCUCCAAAUAAUUAAAUUAUCAUCAUUUAGUCCUUUUGUGCAAAAAUCUUAAUUUUAUUAUUAUUUAAUUUUUUUAGUAUUUUAAUAAUAAAAUGCUUAUUUUAGUUUUAAGGGAUAAAAAAGCUUUCAUGCAUCUGUUCACAUGAAUAAGUACUAGGAAAAUUCCCAAGAAAGAGGUGGGGACCGAAUAGUCCCAUUUAAGUACCUUUUAGACUCUUAUGAUCUUUUUGAUAGAAUUUUCCUAGACAUGCAUAAAUUUAUAUUACAAUGCCAGACUUUAAUAAUCCCCAUAACAUUUUCUCCUAUUGGAAUAUGACAUUCUUACAUGUAAGAUGCAUAUUAUGUGAAUUUAAUUGCUAUAAAACCAUUUUAUUUAUAAAAUCCAAGCAUGCUUAAAAAAUAAAAAAUAAAUUAAAAUUAAAACAGAGGCAAAAAAAUAAGUUUUUAAAUUAUAGAAAAAUAAGAAAUUAAAUUCUGGUUCAGUUGCCGCAAACAGUGCCCAAUUGGAGGUUGGGAAGACGACAUGUGCGUUACAUGCACCAUUGUCGUGUGUAGGUCAACGCGGCUAUGCUUGGCGCGCUGACUUGUGCUAAUGCACCGUCCAGCUGGGUUCCGUUCGCGCGGUUCACGCGACCUAGUUUGGUUUGCGCGGUUUGGUCCGGUUUAGAAUCAAGCCGUUUUUGGUCUCACUCUCCUUAUCACACGCGUCGGAUUCUGGCCUUUUUUUAUCUUACAUUUCUGACCUUCUACCCUUUUUUCGUGUCCUGAAUUCAAAUCUGGUCUUGGAUUUUUGUUUUAUUAAAGAGGUGAAAUUUACAUGCCAUACCCGAGAUUGGGACAGCACAUGUAACAUUGUUCAUCUUCUUCAAUUUGAACAAAAAUUCCAAAUUUCGAACCCGAACUUCAAACGCUUCGUUCUCUCAAUUUACAAGUCCAAAUCAAGUAUAUGAUAUACCGUUGCAAAGAUAAUUAAAAGCUUUUUCCAAUGAUAUCAAUUUUCUAGAUAAAUAAUGAACAUACAAAAAGUUAUAAGCAAAAUAAGCAUACUGGUUUAUAACUUAGGGUUUCAAUUUGUUCAUUCUUCAAUAGCAUAUUACAUCAAACAAGGUUCCAGAUAUACUCCUUGUAUGUUCACAUAAUUAUGUUCCGAAUUUCAUGCUUUAACAUUAUGUAUAUUAUCAUAUACAAUUAAUGUGUGAUUUUAUCAAAUUUUCAUGGAAAAACAUGGCAUAUUAGCAUACAUAAUGCACCGAAGAUCAGGGCAUAAACUACACAAGCUCUAAUACCAAUGAUGAUUUUCUAAAUAAAUCAUGCAAUUUAUUUUGUUCAACCAAAUCCAUACCUUAUUGGUUGAUGCGGAAACAAAUCAUCAUGAAUCUACAAGAAUAAAGAAUAAGCUCCCUCUAAUCUCCAAAAGCGGAUUGUCAGGAACUAGCACGAGCAGAUCACAACGAAUAGGAAUUGAUUGCUAGGAACCUUCACUCCUUCACAAACAGAUCGUCACCAGUUUAUGUCACUGAUGAUCGGAGGACAAUCACAUAUUUGGAAAAUCCCCUCAAUUCAUGAAGUAAGAACCCAUUGCCUUUUUCCCUUUUCUCUCACUCUCUUUUGAUGUUACUCUUAUUCUUAUGAUUACUAUUGUACGUGCUAUCACUCACCCAUAUAGUGUUUAUAUAGUACAAAAAGUGUAGUAUGUGUAGUUUAAUUCAAAUUAACUUCCUCGAGUUAUUUGAUAAGCUACAUCUUAUGUAAUUAGGAUUAAGAUAAAAUACUAAUUUUAUCUUAUAAGAAUCCUAGACAAAAUCUAAGUUUAUCUUAUCACUUAUGUUAGAUUAAUCCAUCCCAUCAUAGGUGCUAAAUCUAACACAUCUCUAUGCCACUUUGUGUGGAAAGAAAAUAAAACCUUCAUUGAUGAAGAUCUCAACAGAGGAGAUGAGAUUUCGCCUGCCCUUUUGAAUGUAAUCGAAGGUUCAAAGAUUUCGGUAAUCAUUUUCUCAAAGGACUACGCUUUUUCAAAAUGGUGCCUGAAUGAAGUUGUCAACAUUCUUAAAUACAAGAACUUGAACAACAAUUCAAAGAGAAGACAGAAACGGUUCAGAAGUGGAGGGAUAUAAUGACCCAAUUAUCCUAUCUAUCUGGACAUGAAUCUACGAAGAUAAGGUAACUCUCAUCAUUCAUCACUUAUAUCUUCACUUUUUUUUUCCUAAUUCUUUCUUUGUUUCAUUUUCACUCAUUGUUUUUCAAUUUCAUGCAUGAUUCUUGCCAGGCUUGAGGCGAACCUUGUAGAAGUGAUUGUCAAAGAUAUUUUAAAGAAAUUGGAAUAACCUUGUAGAAGUGAUUGUCAAAGAUAUUUUAAAGAAAUUGGAAUGUACAUCACUGUCUAGUGAUUCAUCAAAGAGUCUAGUUGGCCUCAGUUCACGAAUUGAGUGCAUUAAAUCGCUGCUAUGUACAGGCUUGUCAGAUGUUCGAAUUGUAAGAAUUUUGUUAGGAAAUUGGUGGGUGAAGCAGGACCGCAGUUAAAAUAAAAUUAGAAGAAAAAUAAAGAACAAGCACAAAGAGGACACCAGAAAAUACGUGGUUCGGCUUUUAGCCUACGUCCACGGGUGAAGGCAGAAGGAAAAUAUUAUACUAGUGAUAUGAGGAUUACAAGUAUUGUAAUCAUUUGGCUCACUACCCAGAACCCCAAUACACCCAAUCUCUCACUCACUAAUUACACAAGAAUAAUAAAACCAUUAAUCUCUCACACAACUCUUUCUCUUUUACAAAACAGAGAAGAGAAACUUAAAGAAAAAUGGAAUGAAUAAAAUGAGGAGGGAGCCUCUCUAUUUAUAGCCAAAGUUUUGGCUACUGUUCAUUUAAUAUUUAAUUAUUAUUAUUAUUUUAUUAAUUUUUCUUUUCUUUUCCUUCUUUGGCCCGGCAUCUCUUUUUUUCUUUUCUCUUUUUUUUUUCUCUUCUUUGGGCGGCACCAAAUCCUUCUUUUUUCAAUAACGGUGGGCACCACCUUCUAGAAAAGGUGGUGCUUGGCUAUCAUUUUUCCACAAAUUUGGGGCAUGGGCGGUAUCAGUAAAAUAACCCUUGCUAAAGCUCUUUUUAACCAGAUUUCUAAUGAGUUCGAUGGGAAGUACUUUAUAGAAAAUGUCAGAGAAGAAAUAGAAAAUGUUGUUGGAUUAGUACGUCUACAUAAACAAGUUGUGUCUCUAUUAUUAGGAGAAAGGCUUGAAAUGGGAGGCCCUAACAUACUAGCGUACACUCUAGAGAGGCUCCGGCGUACCGAGGACAAUCCAUGAGCACUUGAGGUCUUGGGUUCCUUCCUUCAUAAAAAAAGCAAACAAGACUAGUAAAAUGUAUUGGAUAACUUAAAAUAAAUUUCUGGCGCCAAUCGCAUUUAUAAGUUGCUGCAAAUUAGUUAUGAGGAACUUACUUUCGAGGAGAAAAGUAUAUUUUUGGAUAUUGCAUGUUUCUUCAAAGGAGAAUGUAAAGAUCGUGUGCUAAUGUUACUACAUGAUCGUCAGUAUAAUGUGACUCAAGCACUGAGUGUCCUCAUCGAUAAGUCACUCAUUACAAAAAGCUUAAUAAUCAGCCUUUUGGGCAGUUUUCACAUUAGUUGCUCUUUUUUUCCCCCUACCCCUCCCCUUAAAAAAAGGAAAAGGCGCGUAACUGUAAUGCCAAGAAGACUUCAAAGACAGCUAUUGUGAGAUUAAUACUUAAAAUUCAAAAUAUUAUAAUUUCUCUUGAUGGCUUUUUCAACUUAUUAAUUCCCUUAAACAAAAUUAUAUAUAAUGUUCUAGAUGGUCCGCCCAUUUAUUAAAAUGAAAGUUGUUUUGGAAUUUUUCGUUAUCUAACUGUUCAAGAAAAUGACUCCUUAGUUUAUUUAAUGGUUUAUUGAAAGUUACUCCAUGAAAACCCUAACAAAUGAAACUGGAAAGUCAUGGGAAAAUCAAUGGGUACAAAGCAGAUUGAUAAAAGGAAAGCUUCAACCACAUAAUAUAUUAUUCUUACUUAGUGAUUUUCAUCAGUAUUUAUGUUGCGUAAAUUAGCAAGUACACUAGUCGGCAUAAGUAAUAUAAUGAAGAGUAAAGUAUCGUCCCACAGAGAUUAUAUAUCCUAUUAGCUACCAAAAUUAUUCUAACCUUAAUUUUACUUGAACAAUCGAAUAGGCGGAUUUAGAUUAAAAUAAAAAUAAAAUAACUAAAAAUUAAAUAAAUAUGCAAGCAGAAAUAGAAAUCACCAAGAGAUUAAGACACUAGAACAUCCGAUUUCACCAUAACCAAUCCAAUUUAAUCCUCCAUCUAUGCUAUUAAAGUUUAUUACUUAUGUUGACAGUGAAUUUUCCUAAUCUAUUCAAUAUCCUCUCUCAAGUAAUAUCAAAAAUACCUUCACAUAUUAACCCACUAUAUCUCUAUGUGAAUUUAAAUAUACAAAGAUUUAUUAAGGUCUAUGGAAAUUCUAGAUAAACUGCACGAAUCACGUGGCACAUCUAUGUCUUUUGUUCAAUUCAUGGCAUCCAUUACAUAGAGCAAAAAUGCAUAAAUCGCCUCUCAGUCUCAUUAUGUAUCCUCAAAUCAUUCAAAUAUUGGCCAGAUAUUUAAAAGCAUUAAGCACAAUAACGAACACUCAACUGUUAAAUAAUAAACUAAAAAUAAUAUAGAUUUAUGGACUUAAACUUUCAUCAUGAGGCUGCAUUGUAGCCCUAAUAAAAUAAAUUAGUUCAUGAGAAUACAAAGAGAAUCCAUUAAUAUUGUAGAAAACAUUCAAACAAGACAAUAGAGAAAAGAAAAAGAAAAACUCAAGAAUUAAUCCUAGCCUCCCUCUGAAUCUCGUACAGCUGCUUCGGCUUCUCCUUUUUUUUUUUUUCCCCUUCUUCUUAGCCACUAAUUCUUGCGGCUGCUCUUCUCUUCUCCCUCGGCUAAGUGGCUCUUGCCUCCCAUUUAUAAUACUUUCAAUUUUUGCGCCCUAAAUCCUUGCAUGGAAAGAAUUAAAUCCAAAGCCAAGCCGCCUCUUGCAUGCAUGCACAUAACUUAUACAAUUAAUUGGCCAAUGAAUAUUGUUAAAGCCAAAGCCCAUCACGUGCUUGCCAUUUAAACCCAUGCCAAAAUAUUUGCUUCCUCAAUUAAUCACAAUAUAUGUUCUCCACGUGAUUGCACGCAUGUUUAUUAAUCAAAUUAAAUAUUUCUUGAUUUGUUCCAAUUAAAUAUCUUUAUUUCUUUCUCUUUUAGAUUCCUUCCAAGUUGAUUUCUUCUAGAAUGUUUUGAUUUAAUUCCUCUUUAAUCCCAUAUUGUAUUUAAAAUAAUAAAAUAUAAAAAUUAAAAUAAAAAUUAACAUAAUAAAAUAUAAUUUAAUAUAAAAUUAAGUCAGAAAAAUAUAAAAAUAAUAUAUAAAUUACUAUCACAUCAAUUUACUUGGGCAUUUUGAAUGUGAUUUGUGGAUUUUAGAUUCGUUUAAUUUUGAGAUUACCUUGUACAAAUUUCAGCUGUCAUAUUAGACUGAAGAAUUUAUUUUAAAAUAUUCAAAAAGGGAUAAACUAUUCCAAUUUAAAUUUUUAAUUUCGAAUAUUGAUGUAAAUUCGCAUCCAUUGAUCUUGUAUAAUUCAAUGGCCGAUAUUCAAAAUAAAAAAGUAGAUAAUCUGUGUCAAAAGUAUUUUAUAAAAAGUUGAAGUUAAAUUAAUUAGUCUCACCCGAAAAAACAAAAAAGAUAUUGCAUAAUACAAUGUUUGGUUGAUAUUGUAUUUCUUAUGGGUUGAAAGUUCUCCUCCGUGGAAACCCGAUAUAAAGGAAACAAGAAAGCCGUAAGCACUUGACAUGUAUAUAUUACUAUUUCCAUAUCUAUCAAUUUCAUUCUUACAUCUACUUUUCCAAACUCUCAAGAUUAAUUAAUUCUCUGUUUUAUGAUUUCAUCCUCUUCUUCUUGCAAUUUUAAUGUCUUGCAUAGCAUCAAUAUAGCAUUAGAAUGGCCACAGACUAAAUUCUUUUCAGCUUCAUGUCUUAUUGGGAAAAUUUGAUGCCUGAAGGAUAUUUUAGUCUUUUCGACAUUGGUAAGGAGAUUGAAAAAACUUGAAUUUAGUUUUGUUCAAAUUAAAUUGUAUAUAUUUAAAUUUUAUUUUCAUUUCUUUUAGAUAAACUAAAAUAAAAAAAAAAUUAAAUCUUUUUCUCGGUGGAUCGACCUCAAACUCACUGAGCUAUAGUAUAACUAGGCACUCUUAUCCUUGGAGUAAAUUAAACACUUUUAAGUCGUGUCAACUAUCUAUUAAGGUUUUCGGCAUUAUGGGCUUUAAUGUAUCUAAUAGGGUGUUGGCCUUUAAUGUGUAGAGACCCAAUUGUAUUCUAAUUCUAUGAUGGACAGAAUUAGGAAUACUCAAUGACAACAGGAAAAAAUUGUCUAUAUAAGUGAUAAUGGUCCCCAGGUCACACGUAUCUUUCUAUUCUCUACUGACAUCCCAUCAUCAGAGAGAGCACUGAGAAACUUAAAGGAUUCUCUAGGAGAACGUGUGCAUCUAAAAGGCCAACCACACAACCCUAGAGAGCAAUUUAGCGUUAUGAAUUCAGGUACGAUUCUGCAUAAUUUUGUUAUUGAUUCUUAGUGAUGCAACAUGAAUGUUACUAGGUUAUAGGUGAUGGUUCUCACCAAAGGUUUUCUUGUCCUAACACUCUUUUGUUCUUAGAUAUGUCCAAAAUGUUCUAAUUCUAGAUUGUGAUUUGUUUAAGAUUGAUGUUUUAUCUAUGCAUUCCUUAUCACUUUUGAAAAUACCUUUUUUUUAUUUAACUUGUUGCAGAAUUAAUAAGUCAAAGCAUCAGUUAAUAAUACAUUGCAAUCUGUCAAUAAGUCAAAGCAUUGGUUAACCCUCUGUUGCUGUUUUCAUUGUUAACAUUAGACAAAAACAAGUGGGCUGUGUCUAUAUGUGGAAUUCAACUCUUCAGUCUCUACUAAGUUGUGGUAAUUUGUGGAAGUGUUCUUAUGAUAUAUGGUGUUGAAAGUUACAUUUUUUGCAAUCUUUUUAUUUUUUUUCAAAUUUGUAAUUUUGUUAUGUCAGAGACAUUACUUUUCUUUCUUCUUUGAUUUUAAUCUUGCUGAGGAACCAUAUAAGAAACCUCCAAAAUGCUUAGGGAGUCAAGAUAUAUGUGAGGGCUGUUUCAAAUUAAUUAACUUUUUUUUUUUAGUCUGAGAAAAUAAGCAUUUUGAAAAUACACAAAAUUGAAAACAUUUUCUUGGCCAGUGCACAGCUUGUACGGUAUACACAGGUCAGUAUGAAGAGCAGAAAAAUCAAGCCAGACUCUUGACGCAAGCAUUUCAUAGAAGGCUUUUUUAUAUGUUCAUUUCGGGUAGUCUAUCUCUCUACAUUGAUGUUUUGUGUGGGAAUGUUGCUUUAUUUUGAAUCCUCGUAAUGGUGUUGUGAACUUGUAAUCCUCCGUUUGCUUCCUGGGCUAUAAGUUGUUUAACUGAAUGCACAAGGCUUUUGCUACUAUAUUUUAAUUUGGAUGGAAGGACUUUCAAGAAAUGAGAAAUGCUGGAUGUACAAAUAAAAUCAAACAGACAACUUCAUCUUCUUAGACGAUUCUUUUUCUGGUUUGACAAUGUAAUGGGGAAUACAAGAUUCUUAAUUACUCCUCUUUGUGCUUCAAACUUUAAUGUCUUGGUGAAUCAUUUGAUGACCCAAAAGUUUUUACUUUUUAAGAUUUUAUAGCUGAGUUCAUUUGUCAUCUAACAAACUUUUUUGACCUCAGUCACGUGACUUAUACACGUGGGACGUAAGCAAUGAAACCAAAAACUAACAGCUAAGACGCAGCGUUUUGAAGCUGCCUUUAAUUCACUUUCAACAAUUCAUACACAGAUAUACUCUGGUCAUGGCUCACGAAGACCGCCGAUUAUUACAACAAAAGAUUAACGCAGCUCCAAAUUAUGAAUCAAUGGUAAUUUAAGCCAUUGAGCAGUUAGACAUCUGACAUUGUUUAGUAUUAAAUGUUUAUCAGUUUGGAGAAACUAUCUAAAUGCAGUGGCAAAUAGGACAAAUGAGAGCUAUUAUAUGAAAGGACAUUGAGCAGUAGCCUGUAGCUGUUGGAUUAAUUUGCUUGUAGCCAUAGGAUUAGUUUGACAGCAAUGCAAAUGUACUGAACACAUCUCGCCGAGCAAGAAACAAUGGAUAUAUAUAUUAUUAUGAAUGAUUGAAAGAGUAGUGUUGUUCUCAGAAAUUCUUUGUGUGCAGUAUUAGUCUAAUUCAAAGUUUCAAUCUUUAUAUAUGUCGACUGCCACUGAUUUUAUUAUUCUAUUCCUAUUUAAAUUUUAAGCCCUCAUCAUCCAAUCACAUUUCUAAUAGUUUCUCUCGAUUCCUUUUUCAACUAUUGAGCGGUGCUCAAAUGCAGACUUUUGGAUGAAUUUAACAUGCUAACAGAGUUUAAAAAAAAACGAAAAAAAAAAAGGAAAAACAGGUAUUCUAUAUUUUUUACUUUUUAGUGUAUUGGAGUUCUCUUUUCCUCUUUUAACUGUAUGUCGAUGCAAUUUUUAUGUCAAUAUCUACACCUGAUAACGAUUCUUUAACUAUUAAUUAAACAAAAUGAUAUUAUAUAGGGGCAACUUGUAGUUGAUAUUUUGAAAUAUCGUCAUCUAACUGUUUGAUAAAAUGACCCAUUAACUUUUAUGAUUUAUUGAAAGUUACUCAAUGGAAACACCAAGCAAAAAGGAAACCGAAAAGUCAUAGGAACAUUAAUGGGUAGAAAGUAGAAGCGAGAGGGUUAGUAGAGUGAGGGAGGGGUCGUCGAUGCAAUUGAGAUAGUGCUCCACUGUUCAUCUAUUUCUCUCUCUACAAGCGAAACGGAAGCCAAGCUUGAAUAAGAGAGGAAAAUCUGUUACUCAUUAGGAAACCGAAAAGUCAUAGGAAAAUUAAUGGGUAGAAAGUAGACUAACAAAAUGAAAGAAAAUUUUAUUUAAAUAAUAUUAAAAAAAGGGGAUAAAUUUUUCUAAUUAAAGUUAAAUUAUUCUCACCCAAAACAAUUGUAUAAUAUUCUAAAUAAAAAUUUCCUAGAAAUUUCCAAAAACACAAAAAAAGGAGUCAGCUACGGGAAAGUCAUAGGUAAUUCAUAAAGAAAUUUGGUGAGAAAAUUAAAUGCUGUUAGCACUUGAAAUGUAUAUAUGUGUAUUUUCAUGUCUAAUUAUUAAUAUUAUCAUUUUAUGUAAUAAACUACAUUAUAAUUAAAAAUAUAUACCCCAUAUUAAUAUUUAAAUUAAUAUCCAAACAUUUCAUUUAAUUUUAUUUAUUUGCUAAAUAGCUGAAUAAUAACAGUAGCUGUUUGGUCGCCACACUAAAACUAAAUCAUGGGAUUGGUCCACAGUAGGCCCAAAUAAUGCCUCAUCUUAUCCUGUAGGGGCCCACGGGAUAAGUUGGAAUAAAGUGAUUAGUUUAUAAUUAUUUAAUUAUUUAAUUGUCUUAAUCGUAAACUAAAUAAUUUAAUUAUUAAAAUUAAAAGAAAAGUAUUUUAAUAAACAAAAAUUAGUUAUUUUAUUAAUAAUAUUCAUUUUUAAUAUUAAAAAUUAAUUAAAAAAACUUAAUUUUGAUAUUGUGUUUUAGUUGAUAAUGACAUAUAAAGAUCUUCUGUAGGUAAAGAAAACUGUUCUGUUCUGAUUUUGGUUCAGCCGAAAACAAGAUAAGAGCUUCCCUUCUAGAGGUUGUUUUCUGGAGAAGAUGGUGACUGGGGCUGUAUGGGGGUAGUUCGCUGGGGAUGGUGACGGCUGAGAUAAACAUGAAAUCAUAAUAUUAUAAUUUCUCUUAAUGGGUUUUUCAACUUAUUAAUUCCCUUAAAGAAAAUUAUAUAUACUGUUCUAGAUGGUCCGCCCAUUUGUUAAAAUCAAAGCUGUUUUUGAAUUUUUCAUUAUCUAACUGUGCGAGAAAAAGACUCCCUAGUUUAUUUAAUGGUUUAUUGAAAGUUACUCCAUGAAAACCCCCAAGAAAUGAAACUGGAAAGUAAUGGGAAAAUCAAUGGGUAAAAAGCAGAUUGAUAAAAGGAAAGCUUCAACCACAUAAUAUAUUAUUCUUAAUCAGUGAUUUUCAUCAGUAUUUACUUGGACAUUUUGAAUUGAUUUGUGGAUUUUAGAUUCGUUUAAUUUUGAGAUUACCUUGUACAUAUUUCAGCUUUCAUAUUAGAUUGAAGAAUUUAUUUAAAAAUAUUCAAAAAGGGAUAAACUAUUCCAAUUUAAAUUUUUAAUUUCAGAUAUUGAGAUAAAUUCUCAUCCAUUGAUCUUGUAUAAUUCAAUGGUAGAUAUUCAAAAUAAAAAAAGUAGAUAAUCUGUGUCAAAAGUAUUUUAUAAAAAGUUGAAGUUAAAUUAAUUAGUCUCACCCGAAAAAACAAAAAAGAUAUUGCAUAAUACAAUGUUUGGUUGAUAUUGUAUUUCUUAUGUUUGGUUGAUAUUGAAUUUCUUAUGGUUUGUUGAAAGUUCCCCUCAAUGGAAACCCGAAGUAAAGGAAACAAGAAAGCCUUAAGCACUUGACAUGUAUAUAUUACUAUUUCCAUGUCUAUCAAUUUCAUUCUUACAUCGACUUUUCCAAACUCUUCUUCCUGCAAUUGUAACGUCUUGCAUAGCAUCAAUAUAGCAUUAGAAUCAUCAUAGACUAAAUUCUUUUCAUCUUCAUGUCUUAUUGGGAAAAUUUGAUGCCUGAAGGAUAUUUUAGUCUUUUCGACAUUGGUAAGGAGACUGAAAAAACUUGAAUUUAGUUGAAGGAUCGAAGCUGUCUAGUAAGGUUAAAAGGGCUAAAAAGUUUCCAAUUUACAAUUAAGGGAAGUUGCAGUUAAAAAGACUAUGUCAAGCACAUAUCAAUUUGUUGUUAAUUCAUAGUUGCAUUUUCAACUUCUAAUUUUAUAAUAAAUAAAUGCUAUUCUAGAAGUUCCGUCGACAUAUAAAGUAAGAGCUAAUAGAGUAUAAAUUAGCUGGCAAACUAGUGGUGGUUUGUGGUUUGUGGUUUGCAGAAAUGAGAAGAAAGGAAAGGAGAUGAAUUGAGAGAAAUAGAGAGGAAAAAAGAGAAGAGAAAGAACGGUUCCAGUUCUUUUAUUUGGUUUGGCAUGGAAUUCUAAUAAAAGAAAAGCAUUAUUAUUUUUUACUUUGACAAUUUUAUUCUUUAGUGUUAAACUAUCAAUAUUUAUUAUUAAAUAUAUUAUAUUAAUUUUUAAUUUUUAUUCUUUUACUAUCUACCUGCUACUACAUUGUAUGAAUUACACACACACAUAUAGGAAAUUUUCCAAUCCGAAAUUAAAUUCCGAGACGGAUUUACGGUAUUAAUUCUGAAUUUUAAUCCCGAAUCCGAGCACUCUAUAUAUAUAUAACCAAUAUAAUUAUGAAAUCAAUUUUUUUAACAUUAUGCAUAAAAUUAAAUGUCUUCACAUUAAAAUGAAUUAGGAAACACCUUGAAUAUGAAUUAAAAGGUAUUUUCAGAUCAAUUCGUAAAUUUUUACUAUUUUUUUAAUUAAUAAAUGUAUGUACUGCAUUAAUUGUAAGUAUUGAAAUAGAAUAGAAACUAGUAAGUAAGACCGUAGAAGUAUUUAAGUUUUAUGCAGGCCCACCUCCUAAGUGUAAGUAUUGAAUUUGUUAUUAUCUAACUGUUCGAGAAAAUGACUCCUUAGUUGAUUUUAUGGUUUAUUGAAAGUUACUCCAUGGAAACCUCAAGAAUUGAAUCGGAAAAGUCGUAGGAAAAUUAAUGGGUAGAAAGUAGAUUGAUAAAAAGAAAGCUUCAGCCACAUAAUAUAUUAUUCUUAAUCAGUGAUUUUCAUCCGUAUUUACUUAUUUUGAAAGUGAUUUGUAGAUUUCAGAUUCCUUUAAUUUUGAGAUUACCUUGUACAAAUUUCAAUGGUCAUAUUAGAUUGAAGAAUUUAUUUAAAAGUAUUAAAAAAAGGACAAACUAUUCUAAUUUAAAUUUUUAAUUUCAAAUAUUGACAUAAAGUCUCAUCCAUUAAUCUUGUAUAAUUCAAUGGUAGAUAUUCAAAACAAAAAAGGUAGAUAAUCUUUGUCAAAAGUUUUUUAUAAAAUGUUGAAGUUAAAUUAAUUAGUGUUACCGGAUAAAAGCAAAAAAGGUAUUGCAUAAUACAAUGUUCAGCUGAUAAGUUGGGGUCAAAAUUGGUAAUUCAUACCUUUAAAAAUAACGGAAGUUGAAUUCCGCUAUUGUAAACUCAACUCCUUAAUCAACCGGAAGAUGAAUUACAUCUGAGAGAAAUUUCGGUCUAGUAAUGCUAACCAAACAAAGGAAAUGACAAAAAAGUUUGAAUUCUUAUCCUUUCAUCCAUCCUCUCCGUCCAACCAAACAUCACCUAAAAGAAGAUUAGUUGGCAUUUUAUAAUUGUUUAAAUGAAUAGGAAAGCCCCAUGGAUAUCACAGGAAACCAAGAGGAAAUGAGACAGGAAAUGAUCGACAAUAUGAAUAAGCAAAAGGGGUUAGGAUUGUCUUCUUUCCUAUUCUUUCAAAUCUAGUGAAAAAUAAAGUAAAAAAACUGGUUUGAUUGUCAACAUCAAAAUUUAAAAUUUAAUCUUUGCCACUUAUUUCACUAGGAGAGAGCAUGUUCUUCCUCCAUAAGGAAUUGUUCCAAUAAUUCCGAACCUAAUCUUUUUUAAAAAAGCACAUACAAUACUUUAUACGAACCAAACUUUUAACACAAGAAAGCCGAAGUAUAUAUUUUACUGAGAUUAUGAGAGAAAAAACAACAGGAGAAAAUUUUUGCCAAGCAAAAGAUGUAUCUUAUUAAUAGGCAAGAAGUGGUCAAAUAGACCCCAAUAGCUUCAUAAAUGGUUACACAUAUCGUCUUUGUAUGACUAUUAUACGCUUUGAUUAUAGACAUAAUAAAUAAAAAAUAGUAAUAAGAUAAAAAUAACAAAUACAACAUCAGAUAAUACAAAUAAAAUAUUAUAAUAAGUAUAAUUGAUAAAGUAACACACACACACAUAUAUAUAUAUAACUAUAUUUAAUAUUAAGCUAUUAUUAGUAUAUCCCAACUGAUUUUAUUAAUUUUAAAAUCCAUCGAUCCAAAAAUUGAAUUUACAAUUUAUACUAAUAUUGACAUAAUUAAUAAAAUAAUAUAAAUUUUUAAAAUUAUUUUGAAUGUUAAGUACAAUUAUUUUAAUAUUUACAAUUUGUCAAAUAGAUUUUAUUAUUAUUAAAAAGUAUGAUAGAUUAACAAUAUUAAAAUAACCUUUUGAUCAUUCAAAAUAAUUUUAAGUUUUAUCUUAUUUUAUAUAUUAUAUGAUUUUAAUUUUUUUCAUUUGUGUUUAUUAUAUAAAUUCAUUUUAAAGUCAAUUUUUAGGUUGUUAAAAUCAAAGGUUAUAAUAGUAAAAAUAGAAUAUGCAUGAAUAUGCAUGACUAUUUAUGAAACCAAGAGGAUCUAUAUGAAUAUUUAAGCCAACCUUAGGGAUGUAGGUGACUUUUCCCCCAGUCAAAAUAAUGUCAUGAAUGAUUACUGAGUAAAGAAACCAUAAAAUUAUUACGUAUUUAAGAUAUAUAUCUAUCAAGAUAACUUAGAAUCAAUACUCAUCUCUAGCAAAAUAUGCUACAACUGGUAUCAAAUUAAACCAGUUGAUUCAAUUUAUUCGAGCUCUCGCACGCUCAAAUCAUUCAAAGUUAUUCAAGAGCUAAAAGUGACUUGAUUAACAUUUAUAUAAUAUUUUGAUAGCUUAAAAUUUGAAAGUACAUUCAAGGCUUAAAAUUAAAAAGUAUUUGAAAGAAAAAAUGAAAAAAAAAAGUGGUGAUAUUUGACCCCUUCAUUAUAUCUCAUAAGCUCCCACUAGUCACUUUUAUGCUAAUGCCUAUUUUAUCCUCAUAUGAAAUGUUUAAGAGUAAUAGCUUUUAAGUGUAUCUACAUGAUAAUUUCUAUUAUUAUCUAAUUUAGCUAAUCUAAUUUCUUAAACCCUAAUUUUUUAAAUUUUUUAAAUUAUUAUCUCCUCACAAAUAUUGUAUACUCUACUUUUGUAAUCAUGAAAGAAAUUAGCUUGCAGUACUCAAUAGAAGAUUGAAAGGAAUUUAGAUAUAUUGUAAAUAGAUGUAGGUAGUUAAAACCCUAGAAUUAACAACUUAAUUAAUUUUUGAAAAUAUUGUACACCGUUACUAUUCACUGAAACUAUUCACAGUUAUUGUUCAUUCGCAUAAAAACUAUUAAUUCUCCAAAACACAAUAAAUUGCAGAAAUUAAACGACACGGAGAUUUUUACGUGGUUCGGAUUAAUCAAUCCUACAUCCACGAGGGCACGCCCAAAUGAAAAGCAAUUCACUAAGUUGAGAUGUUAAAACCUAUGAAUUUACCAAACUUAAAACUCUUACUUAUAGUUUAUCACCAUACAGUUUACUCAACCUUAGACUGAAUCUACUUCUCUUGAAUAAUUGUUACCCCUCUUGAUCCACAAUCCUCAAGGCACUUCUCAAAGUGAUCGAUAGCAAUUCUUCAAUUCUUCAAUAUCUAGUAAUACAAGAUCCAUAAAGAUGAAAAGAAAUAGUCUCGCUACAAAACUUUAAAUGAAGAAGAUACGAAAACAAAUCAACACAAUAUUAUGUGCCAAAUCCGGAUUCUCUAGAGAAGAGGCCAAAUUUUGCUUCUUAGCUUUAUGCUCUGUGUUGUACUAAUUCAAUUGUGAAAUACCUCUCUUUAUAUAGGCACUAGGGUUUCACAAAAAUUUCAAGUCUUAAAAGACUUGAAUUAUUUCUAAAAUAAGAGUUUCUUUCCUCUUAUAAUUCCUACAAAUCUGAAUAGGAAUAAAUAUGAUCUUCUUGCCUUGUUUGUCUCCAAAGAAAUAUCUAGAUCAUUUAAUAAACUUAAUGUUUGAACCAACUUCUUACUCUAAAUAUAUCUUAUGUGCCAAUUAAAGAAUCACAACAUUAAUUGACUUGCUAAAUUAGACAUCUAAUUAAAUUAGGAAACAAAUAUUCUUAAUAAAUUUGAAUCUCACUAAAUUAGGGACUUAAUAAAUUAAUCUCUAUUACAAAAUAUGCAAUAAAUAAAAUUCUAAUUUAACUAGAUUUGUCAUAAGAUGCCAACUCUAUAAAUAAUGGACUCAACAAUGAUGAAAUUUAAAGUUCUUUUCCCUUUAAUUUUGUACUCUAUUUAUCUUCAACACCCCAAUAACUUCAUAUUUCUGACAAAUUUUAGGAUGAAAAACCUACUAAUCAUGGAAAUAAUGUUAGAAAAGAAUCGGUCAUGGUAGAUGGUCGUGCUUGUGUUUUUACUACUGAUAUGGUAUAUAGGUAACUUUCACUUUUUAAUUUUUUUAAUUAUUAACUAAUAUUAUUUUGAAUUAAUUAGUUUGAAGAACCAGAAAAAGCUAAAUAAGUCAUUCCAUUCAAAAUAUUGAAGAACAAUAUAACAUUUCAUACUACAAUGUCAACCAAAUUGAACACCUUUGAUGUUUCAAAGCAAAUAAUUUUAUUCAUUCGAUAAAAAUAACAAACACUUGGAAGAUUGUUUACAACUAUUUCUCAUUCCAUAACAAUUUCAUACUACGAUAUUAACCAAAUUGAACAGCUUUGAUGUUUAAAAAAAAAAAAACACACUUAAAAGACUGUUUAUAACCAUGCCUCAGUCCAUAAAUUUGAAAGUAAUUGAAAGUAUUUGAAAGAACAAAUUAAAAAUACGAAUUUGCAGUUUGAGGUAUAAUAAAUGUGAAGCAGAUCCUGGUCAAUAAAAACUAUAAUUGAAGAGAGAGAAAAUUAAGACCAAUGACAUUGACGUUCCUUUCGAAAAGCUCCAAGAAAUUUCUAAAGAAAGGAGAAAGCAAAAGCGAAGAAAGCUCACGGCAGGAAAGUCAUAUAUUUCACUUACUCUCUGUUUCAUUCACAAAAUUUGCUUCAUCCAUGGCUUCAUCAUCUAGCCUUACUGUUCAAAGCAAAUAUGAGGUAUUCCUCAGUUUCCGAGGGGAGGACACCCGUAAUGGCUUUACUAGCCAUCUGGCUGCGGCUUUACAUCGGAAACAAAUACAAUUCUUCAUUGACGAUGAAGAACUUAAGAAAGGAGAUGAGAUUUAGCCUGCCAUUUCAAAUGCAAUCGAAACAUCAGAUAUUUCGAUAAUCAUCUUCUCAAAAGACUAUGCUUCUUCCAAAUGGUGCCUCAAUGAAGUUGUCAAGAUUCUUGACUGCAAGAAAAUGAAUGGCCAAAUUGUGAUACCGGUUUUCUACCAAGUAGAUCCAUCUGAUGUGCGCAAACAGAGGGGAACUUUUGAAAAAGCUUUUGUUCAUAAUGAAAACAAUUUUCCAGAUAAGGUUCAGAAAUGGAGGGAUGUAUUGACCGAAGCAUCAAAUUUUUCUGGAUAUGAUUCCACUGAAUCCAGGUAACUCUUAACUCUUCCUUUACAACCUUUUUCUAUCCAUAAUCAUUUACCGUCUUAUAAAAAAACAUUUAAACUUUCUUUAUAGCCCAACUUGGUCAGUUAUAUAACUCAUCAUUGCUUAUUAUAUCCUUAAAAACACUUAUUGCUAGGAAAGAGGCAGAACUUGCGGAAAAAAUUGUUGAGGAUAUUUCCAAGAAAUUGGAAGACCUUUGCCCGACUAGAUCUUUACACCAACGUUUAUGUUAUCAACAGUGAGGAUAUCAAUUUCUUCUUGCUUCAACGAUUGCUCUAGUCACUGAAGUUGGAAUUAUCCUUCCUUCUCCCACUAUGCCUGCAUUCACAAAAAAUGGAUCAGAGACGCCGGUGGUUUUGCCGGCGUAAACCCUCCGAUGCCUAAGUUAGCACAAGGUGUUUACGGGAAAACGGCGCAAUUAAGAUUUGGUAAAUUGCUUAUAAUGGGCUCACAAUUUGUAUUGAAAAAUGGUUUGGUUUCAAUUUGGCAGAGUUUUCCCUUCUCUCAAUUUUUCUCUCCUUUUCUUCAUCGAUUUCCUCCCCUUUUAUAGCCGUUGUCCUACGUUUUCAUUCACCCUUCAUCCCCCCUUUUUCGGGUAGUGGCAACCCCUCAUGGGACUCUAACUGCUACAUUGUGGGCAAACGUGGGAUCUCGCGUCUCCCUCAACAGUUCUGGGAAUAGCGCAACUAUCGUGAUUCCAUGAGAUCGUGUGCCCGCUCUUUGGGGGAUGGGUAUCGGCUCGGUAUAUGUCUCUGGUUGGUAUACUCUUCUGGCUGGUACUCGUCUCUGGUCGGCUCAUGUUUGUAGAAGGCUCAUUAUCAGUGUUCUGCUCGUACCACUCGGCUGAGGUGGUCCACCCUGGCGUGGGGAUGAUGGCAUGGCUGAGUUGGUGCUCUUAUUUAUCUAACAGAUAUGUAUGACACAACUGAUUCGGAUGGCUUCAUUGGAUUAAAUUCACGAAUUGAGGACAUGAAAUCACAGCUACGUCUCGAAUCUCAUGAUGUUCGAAUUGUAGGAAUUUGGGGCAUGGGCGGUAUCGGUAAAACAACCAUUGCUAGUGUUGUUUUCCACCAAAUUUCUAGAGACUUUCAAGGCAAGUGCUUCAUGGCAAACGUCAGAGAACAAUCAAACAAAAUGGGGGUAAUACAUGUUCGAGAUGAGGUUAUUUCUCAAGUGCUAGGAGAAAAUCUCAAAAUAGGAACUCUCACUAUUCCCCAAAAUGUCAGGAAAAGGUUGUGGCGGAUGAAAGUGUUGAUUGUUCUUGAUGACGUUCAUGAUGAAUUCACACAAUUAGAAAGUUUAGCAAAUGGGGUAGGUGGAUUUAGUCCUGGAAGUAGAAUCAUUAUAACUACUAGAGAUAAACGAGUACUUGAUAAAUGUGGAGUGAAUAGUGUAUAUGAGGUCGAGCAGUUGACAUACAACCAUGCUCUUGAGCUCUUUUGUAGAAAAGCCUUUAGACAAAUCAAUCGCUCUCGUGAUCUUCUUGAGCUCUCACAGGAAGUUGUGUGCUAUGCUGAUGGCAAUCCAUUAGCUCUUGAAGUUUUGGGCUCUUCCCUUUAUCAUAAGAGUAAACAACAAUGGAAAGAUAAAUUGAACAACUUGAAAUUGAUUUCUGAACCUAGUAUUUAUAAGGUGUUGAAAAUAAGUUAUGAUGAGCUAAAUUCAGAAGUGAAGGAAAUAUUUAUAGACAUUGCAUGUUUCUUCAAAGGAGAAGAUAUAGACUUCAUGACAAGGAUACAUGAUGAUCCAAUGUCUAUACAUGAUGGAUUGAACAUUCUUGUUAGUAAGUCACUCAUUACAAUAUCAGAUGAGAACGAGCUACAAAUGCAUGAUUUAUUGCAAGAAAUGGGUCAGACAAUUGUUCGUCAAGAAUCUGCCAAAGAACCAGGCAAACGUAGUAGGUUGUGGGAUCACAAUGAUGUCUGUUAUGUGCUAAAGAAAAAUAAGGUAAAUAUCUAUUUAUUUGACUUUUAACUUAUGAGGCUAUAUGCACCAUUAAUUUCCUUCUCCAAAUUCAUGUUUACUAUAUGUAUAUAUAUAAAACUUCUCAGAUGUGGACGCUAAAUGCAAAUUUUAUGAGGAAUUGUGCUAACAAAUAUAUAUAUAUAUAAAUAGAGAGAGAGAAUUAGCUUUCAAAUUCUGUUUUAUUAAAAUAUGAGAUGAGUUUACAAUAACAUCAUAGUAGUACGUUUACAACAUUGUAAACUCGUCAUGCAUUUUAAUGAAGUACAGGAUUCCGUAUUGAAAAUUCUUUUUUUGUGUGCGUGUGUAUUGAGCAAAUAAUAAAAUUAAACAAUUCACAUUUUAUAUUUAAUUUGGAAGCCCUUAGUCAAUUUUUCAGUAGUUACAUUUAUGCUGACUCCUUUCCUUUUGUUUAUAAGGGGACCGAUAAAGUUGAAGGCAUUUUUCUUGAUUUGUCCAAGAUAAAUGACAUACAUCUAAAUUCUCAAGCCUUUGCAAAUAUGUCCAAUCUGAGAUUGCUUAAAUUCUAUAUGCCCAAGCAUAAUGAUAUUCCAAUUAUGAGCUCUAAACUGCAUCUUGACCAAGGUCUGGAAUAUCUUCCUGAAGAAUUGAGAUAUCUUCAUUGGCACGAAUAUUCUUUGAAAAUGCUGCCAUUUGAUUUUGAACCAGAAAAUCUUAUUGAGCUCAAUUUACCUUACAGUAAAGUUGAGCAAAUUUGGAAAGGAGAAAAGUUAUGGUGUUCUCUAUGGUACCAAAACAUUAAUUAAUUUUUCUUUCUUCAACUGUAUAGAACAAAAUGUGAAAUUUGGUGGAACUAAUUUAAUAUAGUCUUUGUUUAUCUUUUAUUGCAGAAAGCUUUCAAGUUAAAAUAUAUUGACAUCAGCCAUUCCCAACAACUUGUUAGGAUGUUAAACCUAUCAGAAACCCCAAAUCUUGAGAGAACAAAUCUUUUGAAUUGUAGAGACUUGGCUUAUGUUGGCUCAUCAAUCGAGAAUUUCAACAAUCUUAGUAUGUUGUGUUUUAAGGGUUGUGAAAGUCUUAGGUCCUUUCCAAGAGGCAUUCAUUUCGUUUCCCCAAUAACUAUUGAUUUCUCAUUUUGUGUUAAUCUCACAGAGUUUCCACAGAUUUCUGGGAAUAUAAUAGAGCUAAAAUUGUGGUAUACUGCAAUAGAAGAAGUUCCCUCGUCAAUAGAGUGUCUAACUAAUCUUAAAAAUUUUAGUUUGUUUAGUUGCACAAGGCUGAAGAGGGUUUCAGCUAAUCUUUAUAAAUUGAAAUCUCUUCUUAAGCUUUAUCUUAACGGCUGUUUAAGCCUUGAGAAUUUCUCAGAAAUCUUGGAGAAAAUGGAACAUUUAGAUUACAUUGUUUUGGAGGGUUGCUCUGAACGAGGGCAUGAAACGCAGGGCUUGGAGGGUUGCUCUGAACGAGAUAAUUUGCCAGAUAACAUUUUCAAUUUAAAAUCUUUUGAGUACAUCGGUGCACAUGGAUCAGCCAUUAGUCAACUACCUGUUAGGAAAUUGGUGGGUGAAGCAGACACGCAGCUAAAGUAAAAUUGGAAGAAAAUAAAGAACAAGCACAAUAGAGGACACCAGAAAUUACGUGGUUCGGCUUUUAGCCUACGUCCACGGGCGAAGAUAGAAGGAAAUAUUUUACUAGUGAAAAGGAGUUACAAGUAUUGUAGUAUUUUAGCUCACUUCCCAAAACCCCAAUACACCCAAACUCUCUAACUCACUAGACACUCAAGAGUUUAUUAAACUCUUAAAACUCUCAACACUCAAGAAAGCAAUGCUUCUCUCUUGAUGGAAUUGAAUGAUAUACAAAUGAAGGGAGCCAGUGUUUUUAUAGCCAAAAUUAGCUACUGUUCAUUUAAUAUUUAAUUAUUAUUAUUAUUUUAUUAAUUUUUCUUUUUCUUUUCCUUCUUCGGCCCGGCAUCUCUUUUUCUUCUUUCUCUUUCGUUUCUUUCCUUGGGCGGCAUCUACUUGGCCUUCAAAGCCGUGUGCCACCAAUGAAGCUUAUUCAAAGCUUCUAGAUGCAGCUUCUAGAUGCUGCAGCCAAAGUAUUUUGACAUUCUCCCACUUGGAGAUUAGAUUGAAAAUCAAUCAAUCUCCACAUCAUCCUUUCUGCUUCGCCAUAAUCAUGUUGCCUACGUUUCUGCUAGGCCACAAGAGGAUCUACUCCAGAUAAACUUGUCAGCAUUUAUCGGCUUGGUCAAAACAUCUGCUAGGUUCUCCUUCGUAUGGAUUUUCUGUAAAUCCACACUUCCAUCUUCCACUACUUCACGAACGAAGUGAUACUGGACUCCUAUGUGUUUUGUCCUGGAAUGAAAGGCUGGAUUCCUUGCAAUGUGCAAGGCACUCUGACUGUCACAAAACACAGGAAUUUUCUGUUGUUUGUGCCUGAGCUCCUCCAAUAACCUUUGUAUCCAAAUAGCUUCCUUGCAAGCUUGUGUAGCUGCCAUGUACUCUGCUUCUGUUGUAGAUAAAGCCACAACGGUCUGCAGUUUCGAAACCCAGCUUAUAGCUGCUCCCGCAAGUGCAAACACAUAACCAGUAGUGGAUUUCCUUUUAUCAAGGUCUCCUGCAAAAUCUGAAUCCACAUAGCCCCUGACAGUAAACUUUGAUCCUCCAUAACAUAAUGCAACAUCUGAGGUUCCUCUGAUGUAUCUCAGAAUCCUCUUCACAGUUAUCCAAUGCUCUCCACCAGGAUUCGCCAUGUAUCGACUGACUGCUCCCACUGCUUGUGCAAUGUCCGGUCUAGUACAUAUCAUAGCGAACAUCAAACUUCCCACUGCUGAUGCAUACGGAACUCGAGACAUCUCCUUCCUCUCUGCUUCAUUGCUAGGACACAUACUUGAGGAUAAUUUGAAAUUAACAGGAAGUGGGGUAGAAAUUGACUUACAAUCUUGCAUGUUGAAGCGUCACAAGAUUUUCUUCAAGUAAUUCUUCUGCGAAAGCCAAAUCUUCUUGUUAUUUCUGUCUCGGUGAAUUUGCAUCCCUAGAAUCUUGUUUGCUGGUCCCAAGUCCUUCAUUUCAAACUCCCUAGCCAACUGUGCCUUCAAUUCUUGGACUCGAUCUUUGUUGGGACCUGCUACCAACAUGUCAUCCACAUACAACAGCAAAAUGAUGAAAUCAUUAUCUUCAAACCUCUUGUAAUAUGCACAAUGGUCUGAACUGAGUCUGUUGUACCCAAGGCUCAGAAUGAAGGAAUCAAAUCUCUUAUACCAACACCUCGGCGCCUAUUUGAGACCGUAUAGAGAUUUGUUCAACCUGCAAACCAAGUUCUCCUUUCCUGUUUCUGCAAAACCUUCUGGUUGGAGCAUAUAUAUUUCUUCUUCAAGUUCUCCAUGAAGAAAUGCAGUUUUCACAUCUAACUGCUCUAGAUGUAGGUCAAAUGUAGCACACAUUGCCAAUACUAUUCUGACUGUUGUGAGUCGAACCACCGGAGAAAAUAUCUCGUUAAAGUCAAUACCUUCUUUCUGAGCAUAUCCUUUCACCACCAGUCUUACACGAUACCGCUCCACUUGGUCAUUACCAUCACGUUUGAUCUUGUAGACCCAUUUGUUUCCAAUGGCUUUUCUUCCACGUGGUAGUGGUACAAGUUCCCAUGUCUUGUUCUUGUGUAGAGCUUCAAUUUCUUCCUGCAUUGCUGUCAUCCACAAAGCAACAUCUAAGCUGUUUAAAGCUUCAUGGAAAGUUGAAGGCUCUUUAUCCUCUGUUAGAAGACAGUAUGCAACGUUGAUCUCUGUGACAUACUCCGAGUGCCACGUUGGCGGUCGUCUCUCACGAGUUGACCGACGAACUUCUGGAGCCUCGGACUCGACUGGUUCUUGUUCCUCGUGCUCUGGUGCUGCUUCAGAAGAAUCUGAAUCUUCUAGAUUAUUUUCCACAUAUACUGGCACGAUCUCUGACUUUUCUUUUGUAGUGCCAUCAUCAUUAUCUCUCCUUUGCAGUUGAUCUUCUACAAAAAUAACAUCUCUGCUGAUGACGAUCUUGUGGGCAGUGGGGUCCCACAGACGAUACCCCUUUACUCCAUCAGCAUACCCCAAGAAAAUACAUCUUCUAGAUUUUGCAUCCAGCUUUGUUCUUUCUUGGGCAUUGUACAUCACGUACACAGGACAUCCAAAUGCAUGUAGGUAGGAAUAAUCAGCUGGCUUUCCAGUCCACAUCUCCAUCGCCGUCUUCAACCCAAUUGCUGUAGAUGGCGACCGAUUUACUAUAUAACAGGCAGUUUUGGCUGCUUCUGCCCAGAAUAAAUUGGGUAGACCAGCAGUCUUCAACAUAGCUCUUAUUCUUUCUGUAAGAGUUCUGUUCAUCCGCUCCGCCACUCCAUUUUGUUGAGGAGUGUAUGCCACCGUGAACUGCCUCUGAAUACCUUCUUGCUUACAGAAAGCAAGAAACUCGCCGUCUAUAUAUUCUCCACCAUUAUCUGUCCUCAAGCACUUGAUCUUUUUACCAGAUUCAAGUUCCACCCGCGCUUUGUAUUCUUUAAACACAGGAAAUACAUCUGACUUUUUCUUAAUUGGAUACACCCAACAUCUUCUGGAAUAAUCAUCAAUGAAAGUCACCAUGUACUUUGCACCUCCCAUGGAUAUAUCCGGUGAUUCCCAAACAUCAGAAUGAAUCAAGUCUAGCAUGCAUUUACUUCUAACAAUAGAUCUACUGAAUUUUAAUCUAUGCUGCUUACUUGUAACACAAUGCUCGCAAAAUGGUAAACUUACCGAUUUGAGCCCCGGAAGCAAUUUUCGCUCAGAGAGAAUCUUCAAGCCUUGUUCUGACAUGUGGCCAAGUUUGAGAUGCCACAUCAUCGUUGAUUCUUCUCCAUUUGAUGCGACACACGCAUCAGCCUCCUGUAGUGUUUCUCCUUUAAGCAUGAAUAAAUUAGCACCGAUCUUUUCUGCCUUCAUCAAUACAAGCGCACCUUUAACGAUCUUCAUUAUUCCAUUCUCCACAUGAGUUUUGAACCCAUGACUAUCCAUUUGUCCCAAAGACAAUAGAUUUUUCUUCAGGCCAUUGACAUGUCGUACCUCCCCAAUUGUGCGAAUUGUACCAUCAAACAUUUUUAUUUUGAUAGUACCAAUACCAGCGAUCUCCAAGGCAUGAUCAUCUCCCAUAUAUACAGAUCCUCCUGAGAUAGGUUCAUAUGUGUGGAACCAUUCUCUCUUAGAGGUCAUGUGCCAGGUAGCUCCUGAGUCUAUAAGCCAGACAUCAGAUAGUCGUUUUCUGCCUUCUGAAACAGUUGUUGCCUCGCUGUAGAGAAUUUCACCAUCAUCUGAGGUACUUGCUACACAACCAUGAGCAUUUGAUGACUCAGGUUCUUUGCCCUCUUUUCUCUUCUGGUUACUCCAACACUCUUUCUUGACGUGCCCUUUCUUACCACAGUUGUAGCAUUUAACAUUCUUCUUACUUCUGGAUUUUGAUCUACCAUGACUUUGACUCCCACUGGGGCCACGUUCUGUUGAUCUCCCUCUCGUCACCGAUAGCACCUCCGCUUGCUGCGAACUUGCUUGUCUGUUUUCUUUAUUUUUCCGCCUGCUCUCCUCAUUUAAUACGGAGGCUGCAACAUCGUCGAAAACUAGACUCUCCACUGGAUUGUUGUUCGUCAGGUUGAUGAUGAGUUGAUCAUACGAAUCUGGUAGACUUUGAAGUAGAAGCUCUGCACGUUCAUUUUCCUCUAUAUUAUGACCCAACGUUGUGAGUUGUGAAAAUAGAGUCUUCAAUGUGUUGAUGUGGUCGGUCACCAUUGUAGAUUCCGCCAUUCGAAGAGUAUAGAGUUUUCUCUUCAAGAAGAUUUUGUUGUGUAGUGACUUGGCCUCAUACAAUUUUGUGAGAGUAUCCCAUAUUUCCUUCGCCGUAUUUUUCUCUGCAACACUAGAUAAUACUCCGUCUGCAAGUGCCAAGUGUAGAUCAGAAAUGGCGUUGCCGUCUACCUCGUUCCACUUGUCAUCAGUUAUCUCCAUGGGCCUUUCUCCAAUUGCUGCCAAGCAAUUAUUUUUCCUCAAUACAGCUUUCAUCUUCAUUUUCCACAACGAAAAAUUAUUUCCGUUAAAUUUCUCAAUUUCAUACUUUGCCGCCAUUUUGUUGAUAAAUACUGCACACAAGCUAGUAUACCACCUUGAAUAGUUGUGAGUAUGUGUGAGAAUGCACACCAAGAAAGUUCCCAGGAAAGACUGGAGGGGUCACAAUGGUCCCACUUAAAACCCAGACUCCUUAAGCUCUUAUCGCCUUUGUGACAGAACUUUCCUAGACAUGUACAGAACCACACAGUUGCUUUACUCACACCACUAUUCCCUGCUUUGCACCGCAAAAUUCUUGGAUUGCUUCCACCGUUUCACGUGAAUAGUACCGUAUACGUGAAUAGUACCGUAUACCGUAUACGUGAAUAGUACCGUAUACCGUAUACGUGAAUAGUACCGUAUACCGUAUAUGUGAAUAGUGUCGUACGCCGUAUACGUGAAUACGUGAACAAUUCCUGACUCCAAAAAUACAACCAAUAGCUCUGAUACCACUGUUAGGAAAUUGGUGGGUGAAGCAGACACGCAGCUAAAGUAAAAUUGGAAGAAAAUAAAGAACAAGCACAAUAGAGGACACCAGAAAUUACGUGGUUCGGCUUUUAGCCUACGUCCACGGGCGAAGACAGAAGGAAAUAUUUUACUAGUGAAAAGGAGUUACAAGUAUUGUAGUAUUUUAGCUCACUUCCCAAAACCCCAAUACACCCAAACUCUCUAACUCACUAGACACUCAAGAGUUUAUUAAACUCUUAAAACUCUCAACACUCAAGAAAGCAAUGCUUCUCUCUUGAUGGAAUUGAAUGAUAUACAAAUGAAGGGAGCCAGUGUUUUAUAGCCAAAAUUAGCUACUGUUCAUUUAAUAUUUAAUUAUUAUUAUUAUUUUAUUAAUUUUUCUUUUUCUUUUCCUUCUUCGGCCCGGCAUCUCUUUUUCUUCUUUCUCUUUCGUUUCUUUCCUUGGGCGGCAUCUACUUGGCCUUCAAAGCCGUGUGCCACCAAUGAAGCUUAUUCAAAGCUUCUAGAUGCAGCUUCUAGAUGCUGCAGCCAAAGUAUUUUGACACUACCAUCCUCUGUUUCAGGUUCAAACCCACUUCAAGUACUUUCGUUCAGUGGAUGCAGAAGUUUGGUGACAAUUCCUGCAUCAAUAUUAUCAUCGGGUUUAUCUUCUUUGGACAGGCUAGAUUUAAGAGGAUGUGGUUUAACAGCUAUCCCGCAAGAGAUAGGCUGUCUAUCCUCAUUGAAAGAAUUAGAUAUAUGUGAAAACAACUCUGAGAGUUUACCAGCAAGUAUCAUGCAACUUUCACGGUUGACAUAUCUUUACUUGAGUAAAUGCAAUAUGCUUCUGUCAUUACCAGAGCUCUCACUAAGUUUGAAAUGGUUAGACGCAAGUAAUUGCAAGCGACUCCAAUCUUUGCCAGAGAUUCCGUCAUCUCUGGAAGAAGUAGAUGCAUCCGUAUUUGAAAAGCUAUUGAAACACUCACAUUAUGAUGAAAAUGAAAGGGCAUAUGUCAGUUCGUCCAUUGAGUUCUGGUUUACUAAUUCAAUGAAACUAGAUGACGAAGCAAACAACAAGAAUUUGGCAGAUUCACAACUUAGGAUUCAGCAUAUGGCAAUUGCAUCAUUGAGGCUAUUUUCUGAAUUGACUGUACGCAAUUCUUUCUCAUUUGCUAGCUCUAUCUCUCUGAUCCUCUCUCCCUCUUUGUUACAUCUGAAAUCAUUAUUUUCAUUUUUCAGGAACCUUGUAUACUCAAGGGUCCCAUCAUAGUUUUACCUGGGAGCGAAAUUCCAGAGUGUUUCAGCAAUCAAAGUUCAGGAUCUCAAAUAACUCUUCAACUGCCUCAGCAUUGUUGUCAAAACUUAGUCGGGUUUGCUCUUUGUGCUGUUCUUGAACGGUCUGAUUCGGAAUGGGCUGAGUUUGACGUCGGCUGUCGAUACAGCUUUGAAAUGAAGACUCUCUCUGGAAGGAAACAUGUUCGUCGCUGUUGCGUUAUGGCAAGUUAUCAGAUAACUAAAAUAGAUCAUGUCAUGCUUGGAUUUCGUCCCUGCGGGAAUGUUGGGUUUCCUGAUGAUAACCUCCAUACAACUGUCUCAUUUAAUUUCUUCUCAAAUUCCGACAACGCGGUGACUUGUUGUGGGGUGUGUGCGGUAUAUGCAAAUCCCAACGAGAACAAACCCAACACUUUUACUCUCAAUUUUGCUACCGAAAGUUGGAAAUUGGAUGAUAUGGCCAGCGCAAGUGGAACCUCUGAUGAAGAGGAGUUGGAACCAAGUCCCAAGAGAAUUUGCAGAGAUCAAAUCAACAGUCCGUAACAACUGAGUCACUUUUUUACUUAUAUUCCAUUUUCUUCAGUAAGUCCAAUGCUUCGAUUAAUUUCUAAUUCUUUAUCUUUUUAUUAUUACUCUUAAUAAUCUCUCUCUGGCUCUCUCUCUAAAGAAAUAAAACAAAGAAAAUCUUACACUUGCUGCAAUUAUGCUAUUCAAAUUUGUAUUUCCUCUAUUCAUUCAUGCUGAUAAAUUGUUAACCCCCAUACGAUUUUUCUCUACUGUUGGUACUGGUAAUCCUUUAUGGUACUUGAAUUAAUUUGUCAACUGAGAGAUCUUAUGUCUUCUAUUUCUCUUUUUGGGAUGACUUAAUACUACAUUUUUUUCUUAUAAAAAAUUACAUGUUUUGAAAUAAUGUGCUCUUACAAUUUUUCGUCAAUUUUUAAUUAUAUAUAUAUAUUUUUUAAAUAAUGUGCUCUUUAUCCUAGGCUUUGCAUAUGUUUAACAUCGAUUUCGUACGAUCCUGUGCCUAUUCUAUAAGUAGAUAUUUUAUUAAAAACAACUGAACUGUGUUUAUAAGUGGGAUUCAACUCUUCAACCUCUACUGCAUGAAAUUGUAGUAAUUUGGGGAAGUGUUCUUACUUAUAUGCUUCUGAAAGUUACAUGUUUUAUCAAUAUUUUAUUCUGAAGAGAAUGAGCGUGUAGGAACAAACUAAAUUGAAAACAUUUUCUUGAACAUUUUCAAACAAAUUUUAUGGUCUGCGAGUGAAGUCAUUACGAGUAAGUGGCCGUAGUCAAAGACAUGUCAAGCCCAUAUUUUGCAGAUUUUUUUUUUUUUGUACUUUUAAAUGUUGUUUAUUUGAUUUUGUAGUGCCAAAAGUAGAUUUGGAUUUAUGCGGGCGACCAGAUGAUACAGUCAUACAGACUACAGAGGUUUGUUUCUUUUGAAUUUCUUUGAUAUGAUAGUUAGCGGCUCACAAAAUGGUUAUUUAGCUAUUUGUUUGGUUGGUUAUGUCUUUAUUACCUGCCCUGGCAUGGCCUGUGCUUGAUUUUAUAGCUUGAUCACGAAUGCAUGUAGGCUAAUCGCUAAUGGACAACAUUCAUUGUCUAAAAAUGACGGUAAAUUCUUUGAUUCCCUUCCUUUUAUUAUAAUUGUUUUAGUUGAUAUUUUAUCCACAAAUUCUUUUAAUUUUUCUUUCUUUCUAAACUUUAAUUUUCUUUUAAAUUGACUCACGGUCAAACAGGAAACAUAUGCAAUUGGGAUUCCUUGGAUUCCUCUACAAAAACCUGCACACUCAUCUGUGCUGCUUCUUUGGAUUGAUAUAUAUAUGAAAGAAAAAUUAGCUUAGCGAGCCAAGUUAUGAGGUCAACAUUUUUUUCUUUUAAUUUUUCUUGAAUUCACAGGAAUUAAGCCUUAUAAAAGUUUUCAAUUUAUGGGGUGGCAUUCAUUUUUGCCUGCACUUGAUUUUCUGUGUUGUAUAUAUAAACGUGAAGACUGUCACUUAUUAGAUAAUUAAUACUUAGAUAUUUAGAAUAUCAUCGUAUGUUUCCGACAAUCAAAUUUUAUUUCUCUAGAAUUUCUUUAAGGAUUGUCGUCUAAUUGUUCAAAGAAAUGACUCAUUAGCAAAACUGGUUUUAAAGCAGAAUCAUUUUUAUGGUCUUCAAUUUGCUCGACUAAUUUUUUUUUUUUUUUUUAAUGAAAAAUUUAGUACAAAUCCAAUGGGAGAUUGAUGUUCCUCUUUGAAAAAAAUAAGGUUGAAAGUAUCUAAUGAGAAGACCUCAAGAGAAUACGUGAAUACAGGUUUGCAAGUUAAAUACCAAGUUCAAAUUGGUUUGAUUUUACAUCUAAUUUUUAAGAAACCGAGUAGUUGAUGGUGCACUUUCAAAAGUUGUAUGUCAUCAAUUGAUCUAGUAUAGAGACAGACUUCAAAUAAUUUACUAUAUGGUACUGCGAUAAUAAAAUAAGCAACCACUGAACAUUUUGUAAUUUGUAGUAAUGUCACUGACAUUUAGCAUACAAAUUUAAAUUUUGUAAGUAGCAUAUAGAACAUUAGAACCAUCACAGAUAAUCAUUUCUUCUUGAUUUUUAAUCGUACUAAUCAUCUGCUUAUAUAUAUAUAAACUAUUUUGCAAAUUCAUUUUCUAAAAUGCGGAUUUGGGAUUUCAAAGACUUUUACAAUAAUGUAAAUUGCUGAAAAAUCAUUUUACAACAUUGUGAAAUCUAUUGUUUUCAUUUUUGUUUUCAUAAUACAAACAUAAUAUAUGUUCGGUGAGAUGGAUUCAAAAAACAAAUCACAAAAUAACAAAUUCAGAUCCAGUGUUAUAACUACAAACAUGAAAACGUGUUUAACAUGUUUCCUAAAUAUUACAAACUAAACUCAAAAAUAGAGUAAGAAACAAAACCCAUUCUCUUCGGCAGCAACCCUCUCCCCCCUCUCAUCGUUCUCGAUCUGGUCACGGCAGCAGUGCUUUCUCCUUUUCUUACUCCAACAACACUUUCUCUCUCCUUAUCUCCUCAUCAUUUUCUUCGGUAGCAGUCUUCUCUCUCCCCCUCAUCUUUCUCGAUGUGGUCAUGGCAGCAGCUCUCUCUCUCCUUUUCUCCCUCCAACAACACUUUCUCUGCCGCCGCUGCAACUUCGUCUCUACCGUGGCUGUCCUUUGGUGUGUCAUUCUCUCUCCUUCGUGGCCGUUGCUGCUCCGUUUGAGCAUAGCCACUGGUGUCCAUGUCCGUGUAGCCACCGCCGCUCCUACUUGAUCGACUGAACUGCUCCAUCUCUCUCGGCUUGCUGGUAAUUUUUUUUUAUUUCAGGAAAUUUUUUUUAUUUCAGUAAUUGUUUGAAUAAUUUUCAGAGAUUUUUUUAAAGCAUGUUAAUUGUGUAUUCCCUCUAUUCAUGCCAAAAUAAUUUUGAGUAAUUGUUUUAGAUUAUGAGUAAUUGUGUUGAUUUGAAAGCAAAACCGUGUAAAUAUAGUUUUGGUACACUUUGAUUUUGUUUGUGGAAUGAAAAAAAAGGGAGCGAUGAACUGGAAUUGGGGGAUUUGUCUUAUGCUGCUGCUUUAAUUGUUGCUAUGCUGCUGCUUUGUGUGCUUGGUCAUUAUGAGUUUUAAUAUUUUCUCUCUCUGUCAUUGAAUCGAAAUGCAACCUGGAAAUUGUAAUUUCAGAUAAAUAUAUUUGGGGAAAAUGAUGAUUGCCGAAUAGCAUUGUAUUUGUGUUUUAAGGAUGAAGAAUACAUAUAUCUGUUUUUGUUUAUGCCAUGAAAUUCUUUAUGCCAUGAUUUUGAAUUGGUGAAGUUGUAUUGGAAUAUUUUUUAUUUUGGACUGUUCAAUUUUUAAUCUAUGACAUAUUGGUAAAAUGGCUUUCAUGCUAUGUUGAAUUUGAUUAAUUUCAAAAGUUUGAGCUAUGUAUGUUUAGAAGUAGUUUCUUUAAUUUCAUUAAUAUUUGAUAUAUGUUAUUUUUUCUAAUUUUCUAGUAACAAGAUAUGGAUCCACAUGAUGUUGAUGGUGAGGAUAGCAAGAUUUGGUUACCAACGAAGAAGGAGAUACUAGUAGGCCACUUACUAAUAUUGAUUUAUGUCCAGCGAGUGUCGCAGAGAUGAAUGCUAUAAGAGAUGGGAUUGCAGCUUCUAUGUGGCACGAUUACACACGUAAUGCAUAAUGUAUACCAUAUAAUUUUUUAUAAUUAUUUUGUUUAUAUCAUGUGUUGUAAUAUAUAUCUUAAUUAUAGUGUAAAAACAAUGACAAUGUAAAACUUUUUUUUAAUUAAUGGUAAUUAUAAAACUUUAUCAUCAUUUAAUUUUUUAUAAUAAUUUUGCUUAAAUUAUUAUGGUAUAUUUGUGUAUGUAAUAUUGUCACAAUUAUUUUCUGACUAUAAUUAUAAGUUAAAAUGCUUAGUAAAAACUGUUUUUGAAAAAGGUAUUACCGAACGCAUAUUAUCUGUUUUUACCAUUUUCAACUAUAUCUACCGAACGCAUAUUACUGUUUUCAAUUUGGAAAUACACGAUACAGAAAAUUAUACCAAACGCAUAUUUAAAUUUGAAAUACAGCAACUGCAAAACACCAUUUUCAUUUUCAUUUUUAUUCUUAGAAAAUAUAAAUUUAGAAACAAUACCAAACGAUACACUUUUAUAACAACUGUUUUUGUUUUUGUUUCCAAGUACAAGUGCAAUAACUAAUCGGUAGCUUAUAUCAUAAAAACAAAUUACAAAACACAGAAAACAAACUUUGGUUCACCGUUAUAAGUUGUAAAACAUGUUUGACAUGUUCUCAAUAUUUUAUAAAAUAAAUUACAGAGCAAAUAAUAAAAUAGUUAUAUCGCACUUUCCAAAAAUUCUACUCCACUUUUCUUAUCUUAACCCUAUCUCUUUAUCCUGUUAUUCAUUACGGUGAACUUCUCUGUUAGAUUUCAUCCUCUCUCACCUUCAACUUUUGAUAUUUUUUUCCUCUUUCAAUUUUCUUCAAACACCGAUUCUUCAUCUUUCCACCCACGGCAAAAUCAGGUAAUUUUUCAUACAAUUUUUUUUCUCUACCGAAAAUUCUCUCUCAUCUAACUAUGUACAUUUGAUGGUUGUCGAAGCCAACAAAAAUAAAUACCUACUCUAAAUAAAUUGUGUAUAGUGAUUGAGCAGGGUCGUGUCCACAGAGAUCGGUAAUUAUUUAAAUCCUUUUAAAAUGUAAAAUGCAAAAUGGGGGGAUUGUUGACAAUAAUAAAAAUCAAAUUAAAAUAAAAAGAAUGCAAUUUCAAAAUUGUAAUUCAAAUUGGGGAAAGCUCUGGUUGAAGGAAUUAACUCAGCUUGAUUCGACUACUGAUCAUUGAUUCAAAUAUAAAUCAUUACUACUUAUGAAUAGACCGGUUAUAGCUACUGAGACCUUCUAAUAGCCAAUCUCUCCUUAACUAGUCGAUAACCAAGGUACGACCGUUGGUUAUUUCCCUAAUCAAUAGACAACCCUAGAUACGAUCAUAGGAUUUAAUCAAUUGACAGCUUGAAAAACCAGAGAGACCCAAAUCCUAAUCAACAAACACAUACGAUGGUUCAUUUAAAUUAGAUUGUUUAUUCUCAUAACACAACGCACUGCUAGUUAUUUGUCACAAACAUUAAAAUCUUCAUAUGAUGAAUCUUUUAAUUGACAAUAGAUUAAGUUGAUAAUUAAAUAGUGGCCAAUUAUCUAAUUAACAAACAUAAUCAUGACAAUAAUUCAGAGAAUAAACAAAUACCCAAAAAGCAAUAAAACAAUUAAAGCAUAAGAAAGAUCUCACAGUAGUGAUGAAUCAAAGCUUCAUUAACCUUCAACCAGAAUAAUAGGUUUAGUUCUUUAUAGAGAGAAGAGAAAAAUUUAGAUCUAAGGUUUCUUUUUUUUCCUCAAAAUCCCCAAUAGAUUCCUCCCUUAAAUUCUCCUCUCUCUCUUCUCCUCUAGAGUUCUUUUUAAAUAAAAUACUAAUAUCUAAAAUAUUAUCUAAAUAUUAAAUUCGUAAUUACAAAAAUAACCAAAAAGACAAAACAUGUUAAACUAAAAACUACAGGUCCGUAGUUGACAGCACGCGCCCACGCCUUAUCAACAAAGUUCUUUUGAAGCUCAUAAUUUCUCUAGGAAAACAAUCAUCCUCAAACAUCAUCUUGUAGCUCAAUUUUAGCACCAAUCAAUAGAAUUGCACCUACAAAAAUAAAACACAAGUAAAUCACUAUUAUUAAGUGCAAAACAUCGAUAUUAAAGGAAGUAAACAAUGCAAAACUAGUGCAUAAAUUGUACUCUAACAACAUUUUUUAUUUUACUCUUGUUUUAUUUGUCAUACAAUUUUUUUCUUAUCUUUAUGUGCAAGAAUUGCAACCUUGCAGAGUUACAGGUGAGUUUUUUUCUUCUUUUCUUUUUUAUUGCCAUUUUUUAAAUCUUUUUGUAUCUAUUUUUGUUCUUCACACACAAUAUAUGAUUUUAUCUCUGAUAUUUAGAAAAAUUAUAUGAAAACACAACAUAUUUAUGUGGAUCUGUACUAAUAUUUAUAGAUCUACAUAUAUAAGAAUUGAUAUAAAGUUAUUUUAAUUUAUUUUGUUUAUUAUUUCCUUUUAAUUGAAUUAGAACUUUUUCAUUUUGUUUUUUAUACUGAUAUUGAUGAUCCAAUGGGUCUAUUUGUACUGUUGAGCUAGCAUUUGUUGAUGAGCCAAGUGGCUGCUUCUUUUGUUUGGCUAAUUGUUGAAUUAAAAACUAGACUACACUUGUCACCAUGUAUGCAAUUCAUGGCCAAAUGUUUUGUUUGCUAGCAGGUUUGGUAUGUUAUGUUUGCUAAGCAAGAUAAUGCACUAGCUUUAUUCUUUUUUCCCUAAUAAGAUUAGUAAGUAAAAAAGUGCUCAUUAUGAAUACUUAGGGCCAUAGUCUCUACAGAGUACCAAUUUCUUAAAAAAGUGUUUUCUUACUUUUAUAUAUAUAUUGGGUUUUUACUUUAUCUUGUUUUUGUGUGCAUAUUGUGCAUGUUAGUUUGUUUAAGCUAAGUAUGUUUAGGAGCAAUUUUUUUUUAUAUUGAUUAAUAUUAAGAUAUGGAUCCUCAUGAAGUUGAUGGUGAGGAUAAGGCUGAUUGGUUUGGUGUAUAGUGCAUGACCAUGUUAAAAUAGGUGAUUGACAAACAUCAACUUUCACAAAGAAAAUUUGUCUCUUGCAAGUGUCGCAAAGAUAAAUGCUACAAGAGAUAGACUUGCAAUUUGUAUGUGGCAUGAUUAAACACGUAAUGCAUGACGUCUACCAUGUAAUUUUUUGUAAUUGUUUUGUUUAAAUCAUAUGUGUUGUAAUAUAUAUAUUAUUUAUAGUGUAAAAACAAUGACAAUGUAAAACCUUUUUUUAUUAAUGCUAAUACUCAAACUUUAUCCUCAUGUAAUGUUUUAUAGUUAUUUUGUUUAAAUUAUUUAUGGUAUGUUUGUGUAUGUAUUAGUUAAACAAUUAUUUUCUAACAAUCAGUAUGACUUAAAUGUUUAGUAAAAAUUGUUUUUGAAAAUGGUACUAUUGAAUACAUAUUCUCUGUUUUUAAUUAUUUUCAAUUGUGUCUAUCAAACACAUAUUACUGUUUUCAGUUUUCAAAUGUAGGAUAUAGAAAAUGAUACUAGACACAUACUUAAAUUCAAAAUACAAAAAUUAUAAAACACCAUUUUCAUUCUCAUUUUUGUUUUCAGAGAAUAAAAAUUCAAAAACGAUACCGAACAAGCCCUAAAAUUUAUAUUUUUAAAAAUACGGACAUUCGUACUAGAGAAAACUACAUAUGGAUAGAUAGAUACAUAUAAAAUCUUCCACUAUAUUUUUUAUUUUGGUAUCAGAGCCAGCACUUCCAGAAGGAGUUUUUCGUAGUUUUCUAUAACAGAGUGUGCUCUGUUGUUGUCGAUUCAAUCAGAUCCUCCACAUUAGAUAUAUUAUAGGAAAUCAAAGGAAGCUCGUUUGCAGAUUAGGUUAUUUGGCCAAGAGGUACAUAAAAGAUACAUAUAUAUACAAAUACAUACAGAUAUACAUACAUACAUACAUGUAUGUAUGUAUGUAUGUAUGUAUCCAAUCUGGGAUCCCUGAAAUUAUUAAAGUCAGGAAUAAGCUAAAAGAAAAAAAAAUCAAUGCAUUGUAUUUUGUCUUGUAGUAUAUUGCAAUUAUUAUUUUUUUUAUCUUUUAACUUAUCCUUGAUUUUAAUAAAGUUAGGGAUCCCUGACUGAAAAUAUUCUCUGUGUGUGUGUGUGUUAGAGGGUUUAGAUCUUGUUGCUCAUCUUGGUUUUUUUUUUUUUUUUAUCUUAAGGUGGAAUUUGAUUCAGCCACUAUGGUUUCUUGGGCUAUUUCAAGUGGAUUCGUGUUACAUUUUCACGAAAAAGAAUGUUACAUUUUCCCUUUACUAGUACUUUUGAAUCAUUUCCAAAAGCGACAUCACCAUUCACUGAUUCAUUAGUUCCACGAACAUGCUUUUGUUUCAUGUGAUUGCUAGCACUUGUGUUAAGAUACUAUUAUUUUCUUGACAUUCACAGGUGUCAUUGUGUGCUAGUAAAAGUGUAUCAUCUUCACCAUUUUUUUCUUCAACAUGAUUCACUCUCUCAUCAAUUCUGGUAUUUGGAUCUCUACAUUCUAAAGCAUAAUGCCCAAACUUUUGACAAUCAUAGCACUGUACUUGGGAUUUGUCGUACCUUGAUCUUGAAUUGCCUUUGCCUUGUCUUUUGGUUGAGCUUUCUCCUUUUUCAUAAUUGGAGUUGUUGUUGUUAAAAUUUCAACCUCGUCUAUGACCAUGACCCCUACCUCUACCUCGACCUCUUCCUUAGAUAUAAUGCCUUCUCUUGUUGUUAGAGUUUUCUUCUCUCUUUUUUGGAUUGAUUUCCAUCUUAAGGAGUUGUUCUUCGAUCUUAUGCUUCUUCUUCAUUUUUUCUUAGUAGGCUUGCAACCUUCUUUGAAGUUGUUCGAUCAUUAUAGCCUCUAAAUCUUUGAUUACAUCAAUUGUCACAACAAUAUGGUCAAACUUCGAAUCCAUCGAACGAGGUAUCUUUUUAAUAAUCCUUACUUCGUUUAGCUCUUCACCAUUUCUUGUUAAUUCAUUAGCAACAAUCACAACUUGAGUGAAAUAAUCUAAAAUAUAUUCAGAUACCUUCUAUGUAAGGAUUCAAAUUCUCCUCUUAAUAUUUGGAGACAAACCUUUUUAACUUAUUCCACUCCUUUGUAAGAGGUUCCUAGCUUCUGCCAUGCUUCCUUUGAGGAGAUUGCGCUGGAAUACUUUGCUUUAUUCUCUUUCUUCUUCAAGUCUUUUAAAAUCUUUUUUUGUGCCGUGGUUAAAUUUGCUUCAUUUUCUAGCACUGUAAAGCCUUUUUCCACAACUUCCCAUACAUCAUGUGCACUUAAUGGAGUCUUCAUUUUGAUACUCCAGUUGUCAAACUUGCUUCCCUUCAAUUGUGAAACUUGGAAUAACGUCAUGCCACCGUUUGCCAUAAUUUACAAGUUGAUCAAGAAUUUGGAGAUUCUGAAUGCACGAAUAAAUCUGGAACGUCGAAAAACCUUGGGAAGAACUGGGUCCACUUUUGGUAAGCUGUCAAUGGUGGUCAAUAGUUCGGUUCGGAUUAGCUGACUUGACUCAUUUCCAACUCCGUUCAAUUCAGCUCGGUUUGGUUCGUCUUGAAACAGUGUGGUUUAACUCAGUUCACAUGGUUCAACUCGGUGAGUCGACUCAGUUGUAGGGCAGAAACUUCUGGCAAAGAUUGAGGGCACGUUCAGCCUCUGAUCGAGCUGAUUUUUGCGACGUUGCCUUCACCUCAUCGAGCUCUUUGAUUUGAUAUGCUACAUUGCUAUGUGUAGCACCGUUUACUAGCUCUGAUACCACUUUAUUGGAAAAUUUGAAGAAUAAAAAAUAAAUUUUAUUAAAGAAAGCUCAAAAACAUUAUAAGAACAAUCCACACACUGUUCACAAAUCACUCUUAGAAGCUAUUUUUCUUCUUAUGCUUUAUUCUUCUUACACUUGAUGCGUACAACACAAAUGGCAUAAGUAUUUAUAGUGAAUGAAACACAAAUAUAAUCAUAACAAUACACAUCACCUAACAUGUUCCACCAAGCUUUCAUCAUAGCACCAAGCAUAGUCCACUCCCCUAACAUGCUCUAAAGGAAUCCUUUAAUGGCAUCCAAAGUGUAAAGCUAAUCUCCACUCAAUUAAACACUUCAUGGGCAUAAUAUUGGAGCCAUGAUGAUGGAGCAUUAUGAAGGGCCUUGUGCAACUCAACACCUCAUUCCACUUAAAUGAAUUAUUUGUGUCAAACAAGUUUAUUGCUUUCAACAGUGUCAAUCCCAAACAAGUCAUUUAAUCAUUAGUGUGUCCUUGAUUUUAUAGUUGUAAGUAUUUGUCAAAUGAGCAAGACUAUUAGCACCCCUCCAAAAUCUUCUUGAAACCUUUUUUUCAAUUAUAAUCUAUUUAAUGGCGAAAAUACCUUUUUUCUAAAUAAACACUCUUUUCAUUUAUAAAUCUUGCAAUUUCUAGUAACUUUCUUACUCUUUUAGUUUUAAUAAUUGCAUUCCUCUAUUCAAACUUUCUUUAUUAUUUAAUUUCUAAAGAAAAAUAUCUAAAACAAAAAGUAAAAAAAAAUUAGAAAAUAAUGAAUAUUUUAUGGAUCUAAUAUAAUUUUAUCAUACUUAUAAACUUGGGGUGCAACAAUUAGUUUGAGAAUCGUUAAAAAAUUAUUUGUAGCGAGGUAAAAUUUAUUUUCCCACUAUGUUGUAUCCUAAUUUUGUUGCUAUGUAUAUUGCAAGAAUAUGAUUUUGGCUUAGAGGAGGUUUACUUUUUAAAUUCAGAAUAUUUUAAUGAUAAUAAAAGAAAUUUCUAUUGUGCAAGUAAAAUAAAUUUGAAGAGGGAAAGAAAAUAUAAAUGAAGUUAAUUUUAUUUAUAUUUGUUCUUAAAUGUAAUUUUAAUAUAACAAGAUUAUAUAAAAUUAAUGAGGGGCGGCAAUAGUCCAACUGUUGUCAAAUACUUUAUAGCUGCGUCUUGAAAGUUGGGUUUACUGAAGUUGAACAGCAGUCCGGAAACGAAACCAUCAAUAAGCUCCAGUUGUCAGUAUUUUCACUUAGGUGGCAUUUGUUUUUUAACUUAAUGACUUAAAGUGACUUAACUUAAUUAAUUAAGUUAAUUAGAGGUGUUUGUUUUUAUAACUUAAUGAGAUUUUUUAGAUAAUUUUGACUUAAUAAAAUAAGCUAAUUUUUUGGCUUUUUACUUAAUGGAGAAAUCUGAAUUAAGUCAAUUACUUGCUAAUGUCAAAAAUAUCCAUGUUUUAUAAUUUAUUUUUCAUGUCUAUCCCAAAACUCACCUAUAGAUAUUUACCCCACAUAAAAAUAUCCAUGUUUUUUCUUUCUUAUAUUAUAUACGAUAAAAUUUGAAAUUUAUGGUAUUUUAUAUAUUAAAAUUCUAAAAUAAUUAUGUAUUCACUUGAAUAUAGUUUUACUUAUAAAUGUUAAAAUAUUGUGGUAUUUAAUAUAUUAUUUAUUUGACAUUCAAAUUUAAUAAGGAUACAAAUGUAAAAGUAUAUAUUUUCAGUUUUUUAAGUUGAAAAAAACAAACAACUUAAUACUUAUUUUCUGAGAUUCAGACAAAAAAAUAAAUAUAUUAUUCAAAUUCAGAUAUUCGGACCUAUUCAAAAUUCAGACUAAUUCAGGUCUAUUCAGAUUUCAGACAAAAAAACAAACGCCACCUUAGUCUUUGUUGCUUUUCAAAUUAGUAGCAGUGAAAACAGAGAAAUUCGUCAAACCGAAGCCAGUCUUUGUUGCUUUUCAAAUUAGCAGCAGUGAAAACAGAGAAAUUCGUCUAACCGAAGCCGUGUUGUAGCCUGUACGGUCUUAUCAUAAGACUCUUAUGCCGGGCUUUGCACGGAAUCAGUUCCCAAAGUCAUUCCAUGUAGUCUUUGUUGCUUUUCUUUGUAUAUUUGACUUGUUGACUUGUUGACUUGACUCCUCCAAGUCUUGCGCUGGCGGGACCAUGCUCAUUGCUGAUUUUUUUUUCAAUAUUUGAAAUUUAUUUGUUACUUCAUAUAUAUAUAAUUUAACGCAACGUUUUUUUUAUAAAUUUAAAUAGGUUUAAAUGCUACUCAAGACUGAAUAAGUUGAAAUGCAUAUAUAUAAAUGAUAUGUUUAUUUUUCAUUUUUAAUGUCUGACUAACAGACUUGAGCAUACAGGUAUUCAACUUUUCGUAUCUUUUGUCACAUGUACAUGUACACUAAUAUAGAUUAAAAUUUUAAUUAGUGUCAUAUUCUUAUUCAACAACAAUCAAUUGUAUCUUUCUAAACAAUUAGAAAAAAGAUCAAGUCAACAUUGAAUCACAAUCUCUUACUAUAAGUGGUAAGUUCUUUAUUUUUAUAAAUGAUCUUAAAUCUAAUAUUUUUAUGCUUACCUUGAAAGUAUUUUAUAAUUUUUAGAAGUAUAGUAUUUAUGCUACUUAAAAAAAAAAAGGUAUUUAUAAGUAUUAUAUGUAUUUAAAAUAAAUAUAUCCUACUUGAAAUUCUUAUUCUCCCACCGAUAUUCAUAUAAUAAAUCUUUUUCUGCUUUAGUAUAGUAUUUAUUUACCAUGUUAUAUGUUAUAAUGUUUAUAAGGUAAGCAUUUGAAAUAUAGAUGUAAUGAAAAAUUAAUUUUACUAACAAAUCACCUUGGUCCAGCAAGAAUUUUACAUAGUAUUUGUACACAUUUUUAUCUAAUAAUAAAUGAAUUUGCAUAAAAUUGAAAUUUAUUUAGUCUUUCAUUAAUUGGACCAAGUAAAAGUCAAGAGCUGGAAAAAUUCUAAUACGACCAAGUAACAUGAAUUUGCAUAAAAUUGAAAUUUACUUAAUCUUUCAUUGGACCAAGUCAAAAUCCUCGUUAAUUAAUUAUAAAAAAAAAAUUAGUUAGAAAAAAAUAGUGGAUUUUUUGUUUCAUGAUAGGAAGCAAGUACGUUAAUGAGAGUAUUUGUGGGGGAAAAAAAUUAUUUUUUCAUUCGGACAUAUGAUCAUUCAGAUAAAAGUAAGGACAUUUUACUUUUCCCAUAAAAAUGAAAAUGUCUUACAAUAUGACUGGAUACAAAAAUAAACAAGUUAAAAUAUCAAAAUAUCUCAAAAUAAGCCAAAUUAAAACUUCAAAUAUAAAACAAACAACUCAAAGAAGUGAUUAAAUAUAUCAGAAUUAUGGCUUCUAAUUAAUUAUUUGAGAAACUCUGUUCAACAUUUCUGGAAAAUAAAUAAAUAAAAUAAAACUCUGUGAUUCUAAUUAAUAUUUUUGUCUAAUUUUUCUUUUUUUGGUUCCAAAUGGCUGUGCUCUUAUUUCUUUCUUGAAUAUUGCACCAAAUUUAUGGCCAUUUUGUUUGCAAUAAACUAUAUAUGGCCCCAUAACCGUUGGAAAAAUGUAUUUAGAAUUUAUUAAAUAGGAAAACCCCUAGAAUUUCCUGGAAACCCAAAAAAGAGUCAAUAACUGAAAAUCGUAAGAUAUUUUGUGCAUGUUUGGUAUAACUUAUUUAAUAGGCAUAAGUGCUUAUUUAAUCUCAUAAACUCUUAUUUUAAUUUUUUUUAGUUGUUUGGUUGUUUUUCUAAUAGAACUUUUAAAGCUUAAAUAAGCUAUUUUGUCUCUACUAGUAAAAGCUCAAAUUUUGAGCUUUUGAGAGUAGAGGUUGAAAAAAUUUUUUAAAUGUUAAAAUAUCUAAAAUAUCCUCUAUUUAUUCGACAAUCUUUAAAAAACAUAAUUUUAAAAAACUUGUCUACUAAAGUAAUUUCAUAAAUUUUUAAUAAAAAAUCUUAUUGAUAACCAAACAACUAAAUUUUUUUUUAGUAAAAGCUCUAUUUAUAAAACCUCUAUUAAUAAAAGCUCUACUUAAAAAAAUGUACCACACAGAGCCUUAAUGUGUAAUGUGUUGUUCAAGAGAGUUUGGUGACCCAAAAAAAGAACAAAGAAAAAAAAAAACUGCAAUCACUCAACAUAUAUAUAUAUAUAUAUAUAUAUUACAAGUUUUUCAUUUCAUUCUUACAUCUACUCUCUCAACUCUCAAGAUCCUCCGUUUCUGUUCCUAAAUUUCCAAAUAUCUGUUCAUGGCUUCAUCUUCUUCUUCUUGCAAUUAUGAUGUCUUCCUCAGUUUCAGAGGGGAGGAUACCCGUGAGAAUUUUACUAGUCAUCUCUAUGCUGCUUUGUGUGGAAAGAAAAUAAAAACCUUCAUUGAUGAAGAUCUCAACAGAGGAGAUGAGAUUUCGCCUGCCCUUAUGAAAGCAAUCGAAGGUUCAAAGAUUUCGGUAAUCAUUUUCUCAAAGGACUAUGCUUCUUCAAAAUGGUGCCUGAAUGAACUUGUCAAGAUUCUUAAAUGCAAGAACUUGAACGGCCAAACUGUUAUUCCAAUUUACUAUCAUGUAAGUCCAUCCGAUGUGCGGAAGCAAACUGGAACUUUUGGGGAAGGUUUUGUUAAGCUCAAACAACAGUUCAAAGAGAAGGCAGAAACGGUUCGGAAGUGGAGAGAUGUAAUGAUCAAAACAUCCUAUCUAUCUGGACAUGAAUCUACGAAAAUAAGGUAACUCUCAUCAUUCAUCACAUAUGUCUUCAUUUUUCCAUUUUUUUCUUAAUUCUUUUUUUGGAUCAUUUUCACUCGUUGUUUUUCAAUUUCAUGCACGAUACUUGCUAGGCCCGAGGCAAAGCUUGUAGAAGUGAUUGUCAACGAUAUUUUGAAGAAAUUGGAAUGUAAAUCAAUUUCUAGUGAUUCAUCAAAGGGUCUUGUUGGUCUCAAUUCACGAAUUGAGUGCAUUAAAUCACUGCUAUGCGUAGGUUUUCCGGAUGUUCGAAUUGUGGGAAUUUGGGGCAUGGGCGGUAUCGGUAAAACAACCCUUGCUAAAGCUCUUUUUAACCAGGUUUCCAAUGAGUUUGAAGGGAAUUGCUUCAUAGAAAAUGUCAGAGAAGAAAUAGAAAAUGGUGUUGGAUUAGUGCAUCUACAUAAACAAGUUGUGUCUCUAUUAUUAGGAGAAAGAAUUGAAAUGGGAGGCCCUAACAUACCAGCGUACACUCUAGAGAGGCUCCGGCGUACCAAGGUGUUCUUUGUUCUUGAUGAUGUCAGUAAAUUCGAACAACUAAAAUAUUUCGUUGGAUGGCUUCAUGGAUUUUGUCCUGGAAGUAGAAUUGUUGUCACCACUAGAGACAAACAAGUACUUCGUAAACACGGAGUGAACGACGAAUAUGUAUAUGAGGUUGAGAGACUUAACGAGGAUGAAGGGCUUGAGCUCUUUUAUAAAUAUGCCUUUAGACAAAGUCAUUGCCCUGAACAUCUUACGGCGCUGUCGAAGAAGGCAGUACGAUAUGCCGAGGGCAAUCCGUUGGCUCUUGAAGUCUUGGGAUCCUCCCUUCAUCAAAAAAGCAAACUAGACUGGGAAAAUGUAUUGGAUAACUUAAAACAAAUUUCUGGCGUCAGUCGCAUUUAUAAUGUGCUGAGAAUUAGUUAUGAGGAACUUAGUUUCGAGGAGAAAAGUACAUUUUUGGAUAUUGCAUGUUUCUUCAAAGGAGAAUGUAAAGAUCGUGUGCUAAUGCUACUGCAUGGUCGUCAAUACAAUGUGACUCAUGUACUGAGUAUCCUCAUCGAUAAGUCACUCAUUACAGAACACAACAACAGAUUGCACAUGCAUGAAUUAUUACAAGAAAUGGGACAAGAGAUUGUUCGUCAAGAAGAUAUCAAAGAACCAGGCAAACGUAGCAGGUUAUGGCAUCAUAAGGAUGUUCGCCAUGUACUGAAGCACAAUGAGGUAAGAUUCUGUAACUCUUCAAUUGGAGUAAGUAUAUUAGUUUAACCGAAUUUGAAAUCAAGUCAAAGAAAUUCGGAUCAUAGAACUUGUGCCAUGCAAUAUUCGUUGAAAUAUACUUUUGAAUGAUAAAAUUAGAUUUCAUGUUGAGAAAAAGCGUUUUAGACAGUAGAUAUAUGAAUGGAUGUGUCGUACAUAGGUGUUAAAAUUAACUGUGCUGUUAUCCUUAUUGAAUUGUUGUUAAGAGUAUAUUGGUCAUUUUUUUUUUUGGUCACAAAACAAUUAAAAGAAAUGAGCUAUCGAGGUAUAUUUUCGAAAAUUGUAUCUGAAUUUGACUUUGAAUACAAUUAGGUAGAAAAGAAAAAAAAAUCAAUUUACAUUGUUUUUUUUUUUAAGGUUUUGAGCUAAUAUUUAGGAUUCUAUAAACUUAAAAGAAAAAAAAAAACCACAUCCAAAUCUUAUCUCAAACAAAUAGGCCCAAUCUUCUCAACCUCUAUAUUUAGCUAUUCAAUAUAUAUCUGAGGGUGUCAGGAUAACGUGUUGGUAAUUUAUAGAAAAUUCCAAAAUUAUCAAUUUAUCAAUUUUCAACGGUGUUCAGGGUUCAUUUUUUUUUCUUUCAAUUUUGCAAAUAGUCCCAAAUUUUCUUUUUCUCUCAUAUAGGCAUUCAAUAUAAAAUAAAGAAAAAAAGGAAAAAAAAUCAAAUUAAGAUUGCAAAAGUUGUUUUCAUCCAAGGACCUUUUCAUUAAUGAACCUUACAAAUGUUUCAUUUGGUUUGGGUUUGAGGCUAACUCAUUAUUUGUUUUUCUUUAUAAGGGGACCAAUGCAAUUGAAGGCAUAUUUCUGAAUUUGACCAAAAUAAAAGCCAUCAAUCUAGACUCAAGAGUCUUCACAAAUAUGUCUAGUCUGAGAGUGCUUAAAUUUUAUAUACCUGAGGGUUUAGAUAUGAGCUUCGAAGAGCAGCAUUCAGAUUCUAAAGUGCAAUUUCCAGACGGGUUAGAUUAUCUUCCUGAGAAACUGAAAUAUCUUCACUUGCACAAAUAUCCAUUGAGAACACUACCAGAGAAUUUCAAGCCUAAGAAUCUUAUUGAACUAAACUUACCUUUUAGUAAAAUUGUGCAAAUUUGGGAAGAAAAAAAGGUAUGUUGUACUAUUACCAAAAUAUUCAUUUUUUUAAAUAUAAAUAUAAUUAAUUGUCAAAUUCAUUAUUACUUUUUUAAGUAAUGUAGUCUUUGUAUAUCUUUUGUCACAGAAAGCUUUCAAGUUAAAAUCUAUUAACCUCAGCCAUUCCCAAUAUCUCAUUAGGAUACCUGACCCAUCAGAAACACCAAGUCUUGAAAGAAUAAAUCUUUGGAAUUGUACAAACUUAGCUUGGGUUCCCUCAUCAAUCCAGAAUUUCAACCACCUCAGUUUGUUGUGUUUUCAAGGCUGCAAAAAUCUUAGGUCCUUUCCAAGCAACCUUCAUUUUGUUUCUCCUGUAACUAUUGAUUGCUCCUUUUGCGUUAAUCUCACAGAGUUUCCACAGAUUUCUGGGAAUAUAACAAAGCUAAACUUGUGCGAUACUGCAAUAGAAGAAGUUCCUUCAUCAGUAGAGUGCCUAACUAAUCUUGAAUACUUGUACAUAAAUAGGUGCAAAAGGCUGAAGAGGGUUUCAACUAGCAUUUGUAAAUUGAAAUCUCUGAUUUGGCUUUGUCUUAAUGAAUGCUUAAACCUCGAGAGUUUCCCAGAAAGCUUGGAGAAAAUCAAUUUAGGCAGAACUACAGUUACAGAGUUGCCAUCUUCAUUUGAAAAUCUAGAGGGGCUUGGAACGCUGGGCUUAGAGAGUUGGUCUGAACUACGUAAUUUAAAAUCUUUUCAGUACAUUGGUGCGUAUGGAUCAACCAUAAGUCAAUUACCACACUUAUUAUCACAUUUGGUGUCAUUGCAUGCAUCCUUAUUAUCCGGUUUAUCUUCCUUGAAUUGGUUAAAUUUAAAUAACUGUGCCUUAACGGCUAUUCCGGAAGAGAUUGGCUGUCUACCCUCAUUGGAAUGGUUAGAGCUAAGAGGAAAUAACUUUGAGAGUUUACCUGUAAGUAUCAAGCAACUUUCACGACUGAAAAGGCUUGACUUGAGCAAUUGCAGUAUGCUUCAGUCAAUACCAGAGCUCCCACCAAGUUUGAAAUGGUUACAAGCAAGUAAUUGCAAGCGACUCCAAUUUUUGCCAGAGAUUCCAUCACGUCCAGAAGAACUAGAUGCAUCCCUUCUCCAAAAGCUAUCCAAAUACUCCUAUGACGAUGAGGUGGAAGAUGUAAAUGUCAGUUCGUCCAUUAAGUUCUUGUUUGUUGAUUGCAUCAAAAUGUAUGAAGAAGAAAGCAAAAAGAAUUUGGCAGAUUCACAACUAAGGAUUCAGCAUAUGGCAGUUACAUCAUUGGGACUAUUUUAUGAGUUGCAAGUGAUACGCAAUUCUCUUUCUUUUGCCCCUCUCUCUCGCUCUCUUCGUUUCGUUACAUCUCAAAUCAUGAUUUUCAUUUUGCAGGAACGCUAUAAACUAAGGGGUACUGUUCUAAUUUUACCUGGGAGCGAAAUUCCAGAAUGGUUCAGCAAUCAAAACUCAGGAUCCGAAAUAACUCUUCAACUGCCGCAGCAUUGUUGUCAAAACUUAAUCGGGUUUGCUCUCUGUGUUGUCCUUGUAUGGUGUGAUCCUGAAUGGAGUGGGUUUAACAUCGACUUUCGAUACAGCUUUGAAAUGACGACUCUCUCUGGAAGGAAACAUGUUCGUCGCCGGUGCUUUAAGACAUUAUGGUUUGUUUAUCCGAUGACUAAAAUAGAUCAUGUCGUGCUUGGAUUUAAUCCUUGCGGGAAUGUUGGGUUUCCUGAUGACAACCACCUUACAACUGUCUCAUUUGACUUCUUCUCGAUAUUCAACAAGGUGUCACGUUGUGGGGUGUGUCCGGUAUAUGCAAAACCCAACGGGACCAAUCCCAACACUUUUACUCUCAAUUUUGCUACCGAAGUUUGGAAAUUGGAUGAUAUGGAAAGCGCAAGAGGAACUUCUGAUGAAGAGGAAUUGGAACCGAGUCCCAAAAGAAUUUGCAGAGACGACCAAAUCAACACUCCUUAACAAGUCAGUCACUCCUUUUCACGUAUCCUUUUCCUUAGGUAUGUCCAAAAUGCUCCAAUUCUAGAUUAUGAUUUGUUUAAGAUUGAUAUUUUAUCUAUGCAUUACUUAUCACUUUUUGAAAUACCUUUUUUUAAAUUUAACUUGUUGCAGAAUUGAUAAGUCAAAGCAUCAGCUAAUAAUACACUAAGUCAAAGCAUCGGUUAAUCCUCUGUUGUUGUUUUCGUUGUUAACAUUAGACAAAAACAAGUGGGCCGUGUCUAUAAGUGGAAUUCAACUCUUCAGUCUCUACUAAGUUGUAGUGAUAUCUGGAAGUGUUCUUAUGCUAUAUGGUUCUGAAAGUUGUAUUUUUUACUAUAUUUUUUUUCCCAAAUUUGUAAUUUUGGUAUGUCAGAGACAUUACUUUCCUUUCUUUUUUUAUUUUAAUCUUGCUGAUGAACCAUAUAAGAAACCUCCAAAAUGCUUAGGGAGCCAAGACAUACGUGAGGGCUAUUUCAAAUUAAUUAAUUGUUUUUUCUAUGCUGAGAAAAUAAGCAUUUUGAAAGUACACAAAAUUGAAAACAUUUUCUCGGGCAGUGCGCAGCUUGUACAGUACAUAGCAUUGGGUAAGCUAUACACAGGUAAGUUUGAAGAGAAGAAAAUCAAGCCAGACUCUUGACUCAAGAAAUCCAUUAAAGACUUUUUCAUAUGUCCAUUUCGGGUAGUUUAUCUCUCUGCGUUGAUGUUUUGUGUGGGAAUGUUGUUUUAUUUUAAAUCCCUGUAACGGUGUUGUGAAUUUCUAAUCCUUUGUUUGCUUCCUAGACUAUAAGUUAUUUAACGAAUGCACUAGGAUUUUGCUACUAAUAUUUUAAUUUGAGAUGGAAGGGCUUUCAAGAUAUGAGAAAUGUUGGAUGUACAAAUAAAAUCAAACAGACAACUUCAUCUUGUUAUACGAUUUUUUUUUUUUUUCUGGUCAUGACAAUGUAUGGGGAACACAAGAUUCUAAGUUACUCCUCUUUGUGCUUCAAGCUUUAAUGUCUUGGUGAAUCAUUUGAUGACCCAAAUUUUAAAGAUUUUCUAGGUGAGUUAAUUAGCCAUCUAACCAUUUUUUUUUCCUCAGUCACAUGACUUAUGCAUGGGGGACUUAAGUAAUGAAACUAAUGGUAAUUUAAUUUGCUGACUCGUCAGUUCGAAAGUUAAAUCCAAUAACUAUGAUAAGAACAGAGACAGAGUAUUGUCGGACUACACAAAUUCUGUUAUUGCUAGGAUUAGAAAAACCCCAGCAUUUAUUCUUUUACACGAAAUAAAAGUUGUCAAAUUUCUUUAUUCACUGGAAUUAUAUGAAUAUUGAAUUAUGUGUUCAAAUAAUCUCAUUAACUUUUGUGAAUUUAUCAUGAUCAUAAGACAUGACUUGAUAAUUUUUCCAUUUAUGUGUGAUCAGAAAUUUGACAUGAGACAUCUGACAUUGUUUAGUCUUAGUGUUUAUCAGGCUGCGGCAAUUUACUUAAUGAUUGCGUUUUAAAUCAACCUGGAGAAACUAUCUAAAUCAUUUGAAGGCUUGUUCUUAUGUUCUUUAGCGCUAUCAUAUGAAAAGGCAUUGAGCAGUAGGCCGUAGCUGUUGGAUUAAUUUGCUUGUAGCCUUAGGAUUAGUUUGACAGCAAUGCAAAUGUACGGAACACAUCUUGCCGAGCAAGAAACAAUGUAUGUAUAGAUUAUUAUGAAUGAUUAAAAGAGUAGUGUUGUUCUCAGAAAUUCUUUGUGUGUAGUAUUAGUCUAAUUCAGAGUUUCAAUCUUUAUACAUAUCGAAUGCCACUGAUUUUAUUAUUCUAUUCCUAUUUAAAUUUUAAGCCCUCAUAAUCCAAUCGCAUUUGUAAUUAGUUGAAAAGUCUAUUUCAAGCUCAGAUCGCAUUUUUUUCUUUUUCCAUUUAACUCUAUCUCGAUGCAAUUUUUACGUGGAUAUCCACACUUGAUCACCGUUCUUUAACUAUUAAUUAAACAUAAUGAUAUUAUCUAGUUUCAAUCUUUAUACAUAUCGAGAGUUAUUCAAUGGGAACCUUAACGAAAAAGGAACCAAAAAGUUAUAGGAAAAUUAAUGGGUAGAAGGUUAAAUGUUGUAAGCUCUUCAAAUGUAUAUAUAUCUAUUUUCAUGUUUAAUUAUUAAUUUAAUCAAUUAUGCAAUAAAUUAUAUUAUAAUAAAUUUAUAUAUCCCGUGUUAAUAUUUAAAUUAAUAUCCGAGCAUUUCAUUUAAUUUUAUUUACUUUCCAAAUAGUUGAAUGGCUAAGUUAAAAUUAAAUAUUCAAUUUCUUCAACCAAACACAAAAUAGCACUACCUGUUUGAUAGCCGUAGUCAAUCAUGGGAUUGAUUGUGGUGGAUCCCAUCUUAGACCCACAAUAUAGUUCCCAAAUAAUGUCUCAACUUAUCCUAUAGGAGGCCAUGGGAUAAGUUGGAAUAAAGUAAUUAAUUUUAAAUUAUAUAUUUAUUUAAUUGUUUUAAUUGUAAAUUAAAAAAUUCAAUUAUUAAAAUUAAAAGAAUAUAUUUUAAUAAAUAAAAAUUAAUUGGUUUAUCGAUAAUAUAAAUUUAAUAUAAAAAAAUUAAUGUAAGAACUUAAUUUUGAUAUUGUGUUUUAGUCACCUCAGAACUGUCUUACCAGCUGUAAAAGUGACGUGGCUGCCUGACUCAGCAAGUGUUGAUGACACGUUCAGAUGACUCAGCACAUAGCAAGUCUAAGAUGAAUCAAGUAAAUAGGACAAAUGAGAGCUAUCAUACGCAAGCACAUUGGGCUGCAGCCGUUGGAUGAAUCAGGCAAUUAGCUUGGAGCGAUGGAUCGGAUUACUUUGAAAACAAUGCAAUGAACCGAACACAUCGGCUGCGACUGAAUUUAUUUUUCUAGUCGUAUUUGAAUUGUAAGACCUUAUAACAUAACAACUUUUUGGAAUUAGCUAAGAGUUUGUGUCAAGCUCAUUCAUAUUAUAAUUUCCCUUGAUGGUUUUUUCAACUUAUUAAUUAAAGAAUGGUUUUUCUACAGAGAAAAUCAUUACAUUCAUUGGUACAUUUAAAAAAUAAAAAAUUAGUUUCUUUAAAUACAAAAUUCAUAUCGACUAUCUGGUUAUUAUUGAAAUUUAAGAAUUAAAUAUGGAAUUAAUUUUGAGCCAUUUUAUGUUUUUUUGAGUAUUGAAAUUACAGAAUUUCAAAAAAGUCUCAACAAAAAAAUUUACCUAAGCUCCUAAAUACUCUAAAGACAAUUUCUUCCACCAAACACCAAAAAAAAAAAAAAAAAAAAAAAAAAAAAACAAAGUUUAUAAUUUAGUCCAAUCUAUCCAAUCUUAUUUCACGCUGUCCAAUUUGGUCCAAUAUAUUCCAAUGUGACAUGGCACAUUUCCGUUACAAUAAUUAGGCAUAAUGUGCUUGCAAUUUUAAUUUCCAGUUGUAUAACUUAAUGCUAUACUGAAGAUUGUUUAAUUUAUACUGACAUAUCUCCCUGAUCAUUUGCUUGAAUCGAAUUAAAUUGGCCUCAAAUGUAAUAUUUUACUAUAAUGGAAGAAAUAGCACAAGAUAGCUUCAAACUUCAAUUUCUUUGUAAACCAUAAACCAUUUUGCUGACCCAAGAGGUAUAAGCAUUAUACCUGAGAACUGAAACCAACUAACAACAGCAGAAACGCUGCGUUUUGCAGCUGCUUUUGGAAUUCACGCUUCCGUCUUGACAACUCGAUCUUUUUAUUUCACUUUCACAAAGGGUUGUUUUGUAAAUUGAAUCUCGAUGACAUCGUGUUGUCAAUAGGGAUGGCAAAAUCCUCCACGGGUUUGGGGCCCCAUGGAGCCCCACCCCAAAUGGAAAAAAUUUUGAAUAAUUUUUGGGGAAUGGGGUGGGGAGUGGGGGGAAAAUAAUCCCCAAAUUCUUAAUGGGGUGGGGUUUGGUUUUGUACUCCCCACCCCAAUCCCCAUUAUAUAUAAAUAUAUUUUUAAUUCUUAUUUAAUAAUUUUUAUUUUAUCAAUUAUAAUGUCAAUUAAUAAUUUUUUUUAAUUUUUAUGCAACAUAAACAAUAUAUGAAUGAAAGAAAAUCCUAUAAUAUUUUUCAACUUUGAAACAUUGUUAUAUUUUCUUUUCUCUUUUAAGGUGCUACGCUCUUUAAAUAUUUUUCACUUUUAAUAUCAUUUUAAGAUAUUGUUUCAAAUUUUUAGAUUUUUUUUAAAAGAAUUUAAAUACUUUAUAAUAUGAUGAUGAUUUUAUUUUAAGUCACUAAUUUUUAACUUACCAAAAUAAUAUAUUUAUAUAUAUUAUAAAAUAGAUAAAUAGGGAAUGGGUUGGGGAUGAGGAAAUCAUUCCCCACAUGGGGAUUCUCCAUCCCCACCCCACUAAAUUUAUUGGGGAAUGGGGUGAGGAAUGGAGGCAAAAAUUUCUAACGGGGUGGGAAAUGGGGUAGGCCUCCCCACCCCCACCCCACCCCAUUGCCAUCCCUAGUUGUCAAGAUGCAAACGUGAAGUUUGUACGGGUGAUGAUAAUUUCCGACCCUUGUUUUCUUUAAAACGACCCCAUUAAAUAACUUACCCCUUUAAAAAAAAAAAAAAAAAAAAAAAAAGGUCGAACCAUUUAAUUUCUUAACAAUAUUCUUUGUACUUACUUCUAAUAAUUUUUAUAUUAAUAAAAAAAUCCUUAUAAUAUUUUACAACUAAGUAUAGAUUUACUAAUUUAAUUAAAUAAAUUAAUAUUAUUUCUCAUUUCUCUACACACUACCGGCCACUAUAGAUCUUAAUCCCUCUUCUCAACAAUUUCAAUAUCAAUAAACAGGAGGAGAAUUUUCAAUGGACUAUAAUCUGGAGGUUGGGAUAGGAAUAAAAAGAAUGAAGAAGAGGGCAGAAAUAAUGAGAAGAUCUGAAGAAAUUACAGGAAAACUGGUUCACAAGAUAAAUACCGAAGUCUAAAUUGAUUUGGUUUUACAUCUACUAUUUAAUUAUGAAACCAUAUCACUAAUAACAAUGGUGCACUUACAGAGUUGUAUUUCAAUUUAGUGCAUGAUGAGAUAAUAAAAUAAACACUAAGGUAAUGUUUGGUUGGGAGGAGAGAAUAGAGGAGAGGAAAGUAAUUUAAAUUCUCUUUUUAUUUCCAUUGUUUGGUUUGACAAAAUAUAUAAGAAUUUAAUUUCCAUUAGAAUUUAAUAUCCAUCAUAAUGUAAAAUUUGAAUUUCACACCAAGUAGUGAAGAAUUUAAAUUCCUCAUAUGUUAGAAACUAAAAUUUCCAAAAUUACCCUUCAACUUUUAGCUUGUUUAAUUCCAUUAAUAAUUAUUAUCUUUAAUUUUAUUUUAUUGAUUUAAUAUUAUAAAUGGACCUCCAUCGGAAAGUCGCCAGACCUCCGUCGGACUUCGCCGGACCGCCGCCGAACCUCGCUGGAAAGUCGCUGGAACUCCGCCGGACUUCGCCGAAAAGUUGCCGGACCUUUGCCGCCGACCACCGGGCUGCCAUUAUAUAUAUAUAUAUAUAGUAGUUUUCUGGUCAGGGAUUUUAAAGUGCGGGAAAGUCUGGGAAAGCUUGAAAACCACACGACUUUAAAGGCUUACAGUUUUUAACCUUUAAAACCAUGCAGUUUUAAAGGUUUUCCGCACUUUCCCGCACUUUAAAAUUCCUGAUUGGAACAUUUUUCUCUCUCUCUCUCUCUCUCUCUAUAUAUAUAUAUAUAUACAAAUAUAAAUAGUUUAAUAUUUAAGGUAAAAGAUAAAUUUGUCUAAAGAAAAAAAUUAUAAUUCCUUUCCUUAUCAAAUUUUAUAUCAAAUCAAAUAACAAAAUCUAAUUUCACUACUCUUCUCCAUUCAUUUCUUCUCCUUUACUCUCCAUUCCACUUUUUUCCUCUCCUCCAUUUUCUUCAAACCAAACAUGACCUAAAGACAUAGUAGGUUGUAGCAAUGCAACGUGAUUGGGUAUACAAAUUUAAACUUUGUAAAUGACUAAAUGUCAACAUGGCAAUAGAAUUUAGAACCAUCACGUUAUUUAUUUAUUUAUAAUUUUUAAAUGACCUCACCUCAUCUACUUGCCUUAUCUGGAAAACUUGAUGUCUGAAGGAUAUUACCGUCUUUUCCAAAUUGUUAAGGGUACGGAAAAUCAUUAAUAUAGUCAAAGAGUGGAAGAUCUUUAGUAAGGUUGAAAGGGCUAAAAUUAUAACGAAAUAAAGUUACAGCUUUUUUUUUUGAAAAGAAAUAAAGUUACAGUUACAAAGUCUAUGUCAAGCACAUAUUUGUUAUUCUUGGUAUGCAUCGUCAACAUCUAAUUUUCUUUCAUCUGUUAGCUAGCUGGCAAACUGAAGGUGGUUUGACAAAUCAUUAAAAUGUCCACAAGAAGACUUGUUGGGAUUUCCAAGAACAUGAAUAAAGAUAUCGAAGGCUUCUUCUUGUUAAAAAAAGAUAAUGAUAACUAAUCCGCAAGAAAGCUCCAAGAAAUCACAGGAAACAAAAGAGACAGAAAGUCAUAAAUCUCUGUUUAUAAAUGUAUUCUCAAAAAUCUCUAUUUUUGCCUCAAAGAGAAGAAAACAUUGCUCUUAUGGCUUCAACUUCCCCAAGCAAAUAUGAUGUCUUCCUCAGUUUCAAAGGAAAGGACACUCGUGACAACUUUACAAGCAAUCUCCAUGCUGGUUUAUGUCGAAAGAAAGUUAAAGUCUUCAUUGAUGAAGAACUUAACAGAGGAGAUGAGAUGACGCCUGCCCUUUUGAGCGCAAUCGAAGGAUCAAAGACUCUAGUAAUCAUUUUCUCUAAGAACUACGCUUCUUCGAAAUGGUGCUUGGAUGAACUUGUCAAGAUUCUUGAAUGCCAUUAAAUGAAUGGCCAAACGGUUGUACCAAUUUUCUACCACGUAGAUCCAUCCGAUGUGCAGAAGCAAACUGGAAGUUUCAAGGAUGUCUUUGUUAAGCAAGGAAAACAGUGCAAGAAAAUGUUAGAAAAAGUUCAAAAUUGGGGGGCUGUUCAUUUAGAUCUUGAUGAAAUAUUUAUUGUUCCGUCCUUUAAAUGGAAUUUGAUUUUUAUUUCUACUUUGGACAAAACUGGUUUUUUUUUUUGUUCAUUCGAGAAUGACAAAUUAUGUUUGUUUCAUGUUUCAAAUUGUUUGGUUUCAGUUCUUUAUCAGGUUAUCAUAAUCUUUGUUUGAUUGAUACGAUUACUUCAUUUAAUGAAUCCCAGCAAUUACGUACACAAAGUAUAAAAAGAAAACAAAACAACAAAAUGAGAUUUGAGGCCAACAGGACUUUGGACAUCUUAGAACUCAUACAUAUGGAUAUUUGUGAGCCAUUCAGUUAGUCUAAAGGGCUACACAUUAUGUAAUUUUAAUGAUAACAAACAUGUGUCUUAAGUGAUUUUAUAAAUAUUGUAUUUCACAUUUCACUAGUUCUUGAAGAUAAUAUUUAUGAUGAGGUAAAUCACGUGAAAUCAAGCUCAAGACACUCAACGGACAACGGCGCGAUCAAGAAUAAAGUUUAGAGCACAACGGACAAAUUAUUGCGAUAAAUUCUUGUAAAGCCGGUAUGAUUUAAUUUAUGCAUGAUUUAGCAGUUGAGAAGCUCAAGAGAUUAAUUUAAAUAAUUACUUUUCAUAAACUAAAAGGUUUUAUUUUUAUGAGAUAGAGUAUUUUGUGGAUUUGAGUAAUUUGGACUUAAAUGAAAAGUUUUGCAGUCUUUGAAUUUAAUAAGUAUUAUUUUAAAUUCCAAAGUUGGACCUUUUUGAAAACAUUUGAAAUGUUUUGGGCCAUACUAUAAUUUAUGAAUGUUUGAGAACCCAUGUAAUUCAAACAUUUAAAAUCUAAAAUUGGACAGAGGGUGAGUAGCUAACCGCCUGAGGAAAAUCUCAUAUUUUCAAAUUUUGGACUGAAGUGAAAGGUUUUGAGAACUUUGAAAAAUAUGGAUAUUAUGUUAAAUUUUGAAAAAGACCUCUUUGAAAAGUACUAAUAUAUUUGUGGCCAUAUCAUAAUUUCAUAAAGUUUUGGUACGACAAGUAUUAUUUAGAAAUUCUGAAAUUGGACAUGUUUGUAAAUAUUUAUGACGUUUUGAGUUAUAGUAUAAUUAUAGAAAGUUUUAGGCUAAAGUGUAAUUCUGGUGAACAGUAUUACUGUAGCAAAUUCAAAAAUAACGGUAAUAUCACUGUUCCUGAUCAGCUAGCCGGAUAAAUCAAGCGACUAACCGCUUGGUUGUGGGAAUUUGCUUAUAACGGCUAGUUUUCAGACUUUUAACUAUAAAAACUCAACUCCAACUUCAUUUUAAAGACUAAUGCAAGCAUAAAUAAGAUCAUAUAACAUAUAUUGAGCUUCCAUUUCACAAAUCAUCAUUUAUUGAAUCAUCAUUGAGCUAUAAUUUGUUUAUCCACUCUUAAAGAAAGUUUCAUUAUUGUAAUUUUCAUUUCUCAUCAAAUUGUGAGUGUACAAGUGUGAGAAAUACUUGGGGUGAAGAGAUUGGGAGAUAAUCUCUUGAUUGUAAAGGUCCAUUGACACCUUGGAAGUCAAUUGUAAACAUUUGAAGCCUUGGGAGGCUUGGAUAGUGAAAUCCUCAAGCCGGGUGAGUUUGGAGGCGUGGACGUAGGCGGGGAUUGCCGAACCACGUAAAAAUCCUUGUGUUUGUUUUCUCUUCCCUUACUCUCUUAAUAUUGUACUUGAUUGAAUUUAUUGUUUUUUAUUUGAUUAAGGCAAUAGAUUAAAUUGCUGUGUGAAUUGUAUUGCAUAAGUUUUAAAAUCUCAAUUUACCCCCCUCUUGGGUUGCAUAACUUGCAUUUCACAUUCCCUAUGGUUGCUUGGAAUGGUCAACAAUAUUUUAUGGUAUUCAUAGAUUAUUUUUCUCAAUAUAGUUGCAUAUAUCUCCUUCAUGAAAAGUCACAGCCCUUGGAUAUGUUUAAAAAUUUUAAGGCUGAAGUUGAGAACCAACUCGGCAAAAGAAUCAAAAGUGUUAGAUCUAACCAUGGUGGUGAAUACUAUAGCAAAUAUGACGGUUCAAGUGAACAACAUUCAGGAUCAUUAGUUAAAUUCCUAGAGCAAUACAAUAUCGUCCCACAGUCACUAUGCUGGGUUUGCCCACUAUAAAUGGUGUUGUUGAAAAAUGAAACAAGACGCUUAAUGAUAUGAUAAAGCGAUUUGUUAUUCUACUUUACUAGAAUCACUUGGCGGAGAAGCGCUUAAAAGUCUAGCAUUUAUCAUUAAUAGUGUUCCAACUAAAGUGACUGCCAAAACCCCUUACGAACUUCUGAAACAAGGCUUUAUAGGCCUAAUGAGAAGAAACUGGACUCAAGGGUGAUGAGUUACUAUUUUAUUGGAUACUCUAAAAGAUCCAAGGGUACAAGUUUUAUGAUCCCACGAUUAAGUCAAUUUUCGAGUAGCGAAAUGUUCGAUUCUUUGAGAAUGUUGAGUUUGUGGGGGAAGAUACAGUUAAGGACUUGGUUUUUGAAGAGGAAUGUGUUGAUAUUCCCAUAGGUAUUAUUAGCAUUGAUUAGGGUCUCAUUCCUGACUUUAUUCAAAACACAACAGAUUAAGACAAUGUUGGAAAACCCCAUAUACAAGAAGUUAUUCUAGAGGAACAAACUCUACCACCUCAAGAACCAAUGUCAUUAAAGAGAUCUACUAGAGAAAGGAGAAGUGGAGUGUCAGAUGACUACAUUGUAUUUCUCCAAAAACAUAAGGUAGACAUUGGAGUGAUGAAAGAUGAUCCGAUCAAUUUUAGUCAAGGUAUGGAAAGUUCUAACUCUUAGAAGUGGAUAGAUGCCAUGAAUGAGGAGGUAAAGUCCAUGAAGGACAAUGACAUAUGGGAUCUUGUCUCAUUGUUAGAAGAUGCGAAGCCUUUGGUUGCAAAUAGAUAUUUAAGAUCAAGAGGGAUUCAAAAGGUAAUAUGGAGAGGUAAUUAAAGUUAAUAAUCAUACUAAUAAAGUAGUAUUGGAAACAAUGAGUUUAGUAUAAUAUUAGAAAAAUAUUGAAGUUUAAGUAAAUUCUUGGUAGUUUACCUUAUAAGGGUAAAAUAGUCAGUUUAAACUUAUGCAUAUACAAUCUUUGUAUCAAAUAUAAUAAAAAAAUUUAAGUCAUGAAAAAAGUAAAUUAAGAAGAUUUAGUUAAUGAAUUCUCCAAAGUUCUUUAUUUAAAAUUUUUAAGAAGUAAAGCCCACAUUCUACUACUCUUUAGAGAAUUCUUAAGUAUGUACAAACAUGGAGAAAGUGCUAGAAAUUACUAAAGCUGAAAUUUUCUAGAAUUGAGUCAAGCUGGCACACCUUGGCUUGUGUAUUUAAUCUCUUUGACAAAGAAAUUUGGAGUGACACUUAUCUCACUUCUAACCAAAAAGUAUUUCUUUAGUGAUGAAGGUAUGAAUAAUUCUUCUUUGUCUAUGCUUUUUUGUGUCUUGCUUGAUUUAAUUUAAAUCUUCUUUAUAUGCUACUUCGAAAAUUUGGUCUGAUCAUCAGUUUUCGAAAAGGAUUUCCUAUGCUGCUUUUAAGAGCGUUGGAUUUUAGUUUUGUGGAGAAAAUGAAAAGCUGAUGCAGAAAGAUAUAGGAUGCGUUUGACAAGUUUAAGAAUAUAGCAAUAAAUUUAUUUAGAUUAAUGUGAUGCAAUCUUGCACUCAGAUUUAGGUUUUAAUGAGAAAUGUGCACUUUAAUAAAGUGCAAAAAAAUUAUUAAGUUAUAUGAUUUAGGAUGUGUUUGGAGCAGUUAUUUACUCUUAUGUUCUUAUUUAAACUCAUAAAAAAUUUAAGGGUGGAGCAGCUGCGCUGUGGUAACACAAUUGUUUAAAAAACACUCUCAGUAAUAUUAUGCCUAUUGAAUUAUUAAAUCAUAUAACUCAAUAACUUUUCCGCAUUAGUAAAAUAUAGAAACUCCCACUAAAUAAUUUCUACAAUGUGAUUGUCCUCUUAAGAUGCGUUUUAUUAGGUGCUUUUGCAUUUUUUUUUCUACGAAAGGACCCAUUGUAUAUUAGUGCUUUAAAUCCUUUUGAAUCCAUCACAUUAUUGUGUUAUCUUAUCCAGCUUUAUGCGUGCUUGACUAGACUUGGGCUUAAGUGGACAAUUUAUUCUAUGUUAGAAAUAACUCUGCUGUUUCCCUAUAGAAAUUUUAACUUCAUUAUAAUUUUCUCAAUAAAGCAGCGAAUUAAUACAAAUAUGAGGUACCUAUCUCACAUUAGCUAAUAGUGAUUUUGAUUAAUACUCACUUGUGGACCACCUUGUCUGUACGUGCUAUCAUAAUUUUUCUUACUUUUGCUUUUUCUUCAUUUUUCUAAAAGAACAAAACAUAUGGCCCAUCAUGCAUCAUGUACAUUACAGCUUUUCUUUUAUUAGUAAAAUUUGCAAAAUAUCCUAGGAAAGCUCCAAGAAAAUUUCAAGGAAAUCGCAUAGAAAGGAGGAAGCAAAGGAUAGUAAGGUCGGAGCAGCGAAGUUUUCCAUUUUGCUUCACAUCUCUACUCUCGAAUUCUUUGCUUCGGUUGUCAAAAAUUUUGCUUCAUGGCUUCAUCUUCUUCUCAAAGAAAAUAUGAGGUCUUCCUCAGUUUCAGAGGGGAGGACACUCGUAAAGGCUUUACCAGCCAUCUAGCUGCAGCUUUAGAUCAGAAACAAAUACAAUUCUUCAUUGAUGAUGAAGAACUUAAGAAAGGCGAUGAGAUUUCCCCGGCACUCGCGAAUGCAAUUGAAACAUCAGAUAUUUCGAUCAUUAUCUUCUCAAAAGACUAUGCUUCUUCCAAAUGGUGCCUCAGUGAACUUGUCAAGAUUCUUGAUUGCAAGAAAAUGAAUGGCCAAAUUGUGAUACCGGUUUUCUACCAUGUAGAUCCAUCUGAUGUGCGAAAACAGAGUGGGAGUUUUGGAGAAGCUUUUGUGGAGUAUGAAAAGAACUUUCCACAUAAGGUUAAAAAAUGGAGGGAUGCACUGACUGAAGCAUCAAGUUUAUCUGGAUACGAUGCCACGGAAUCCAGGUAACUCUUAACUCCAUUUCUUCCUUGUAUUCAAUAUUAUUAGAACCUUUUUCCUUAUUUUUUUUUCCGAUAAUCAUUUGCGAACUCUGUUUUUAUCAAUAAAGAAUAUUAAUGCUUUAUAGCCUAGCUUAGUCCGUUUUGACUCAUCAUUGCUUUAUUUUAUAUCUUAAUAACACUUACUAGAACCGAGGCGGAACUUGUGAAAGAGAUUGCUGCAGAUAUUUCCAAGAAAUUGGAAGAUAUGUCAGACUCAACUGAUUUAGAUGGCUUCGUUGGAUUAAAUUCACGAAUUGAGGAAGUGAAAUCACUGCUAUGUCUCGAAUCUCGUGAUGUUCGAAUUGUAGGAAUUUGGGGCAUGGGCGGUAUCGGUAAAACAACCAUUGCUAGUGCUGUUUUCCACCAAAUUUCUAGGCACUUUCAAGGCAAGUGCUUCAUGGCAAAUGUCAGAGAAGAAUCAAACAAAAUGGAAGCAAUUCAUGUUCGAGACGAGGUUAUUUCUCAAGUAUUAGGAGAUAAAAAUCUUAAAAUAGGAACUCUCGUUAUACACCAAAAUAUUAGGAAAAGGCUUCGACAGGUGAAAAUGUUAAUCGUUCUUGAUGAAGUUCAUGAUGGAUUCACACAAUUAGAAAGUUUAGCUGGAGAGCUAGAUAAAUUUACCACUGGAAGUAGAAUCAUUAUAACUACAAGAGAUAAACAAGUACUUGAUAAAUGUGGAGUGAAUUACGUAUAUGAGGUCGAGGGAUUGGAACAUAAUAAAGCUCUUGAGCUCUUUUAUAGAAAAGCCUUUAGACAAAACAAUUGCCCCCCUGGUUUUCUGGGGCUCUCAUUGGAGGUGGUGCAUUACGCCCGUAACAAUCCGUUGGCUCUUGAAGUUUUGGGUUCUUCCCUUUAUCAAAAGAGCAAACAACAAUGGGAAGAUAGAUUGCACAACUUGAGAUUGAUUUCUGAACCUAAUAUUUAUAAGGUAUUGAAAAUCAGUUAUGAUGAGCUAAAUUCAAAAGAAAAGGAAAUGUUUCUUGACAUCGCAUGUUUCUUCAAAGGAGAAGAUUUAGACCUGGUGACGAGGAUACAAGACAAUCCUAUAUCCGCGCGUCAUGGACUAAACAAUCUUGUUGGUAAGUCACUCAUUAAAAUAUCAAGUUGGAACCGGGCCAACCGGCUACAAAUGCAUGAUUUGCUGCAAGAAAUGGGUCAGACUAUUGUAUGCCAAGAAUCUGUCAAAGAACCAGGCAAACGUAGUCGGUUGUGGGAUCACAUCGACGUCUCUCAUGUCCUAAAGAAAAAUAAGGUAAAAAACUAUUUAUUUGACUUUUACAACGCGAGGCGAGAUGCACCAUUAAUUUUCCUUUAGAAAUAUGAGAUUUCAAUAAAUUAGAUUUAACCAAUUAUGGAAUUUGAAAGCUUGUGAACUAGCAUGGGUUAUGUUGUGGUGUAUGAAUUUGUCUACCUUUUAUGUUCUCAGCUUUUACACUAAACUUUGGAGAAAUAGUUAAUUAAAUAAUGAUUCUAUUAUAGGAACCCACCAAAUAAACACUAUAUAGAUAUGUUGAAUAAAAAAAAUUACCAAAUUCACAUUUUAUCUUCAAUUAGGGCUCUUAAUCAAAUUUUCAAAAGUUUUUGUAGAUUUUCUUCUUAUUCAUUCUUUGUUUGUGUUUGUAAGGGGACCGAUAACAUUGAAGGCAUAUUCCUCAAUCUAUCCAAGAUAAAUGACCUUCAUCUAAGUCCUCAGGCCUUUGCAAAAAUGUCCAAUCUCAGAUUGCUUAAAUUCUAUAUGCCUGAGCAUGAUGGUGUUCCAAUUACGAGUUCUAAAGUGCAUCUUGACCAAGGUCUGGAAUAUCUUCCUGAGGAAUUGAGAUAUCUUCAUUGGCAUGAAUAUCCUUUGAAAACACUACCAUUUGAUUUUGAACCAGAGAAUCUUACUGAACUCAGUUUGCCUUACAGUAAAGUUGAGCAAAGUUGGGGAGGAAAAAGGGUAUGGUGCACAAAUACUAGGACAUUAAUUUUUUCUUUUUUUUAGAUAAUACAUAAUAAAUUUUGAAAUUUAGAGGUACUAAUUUAACGUAGUCUUUAUUUAUCUUUUGUUACAGAAAGCUUUUAAGUUAAAAUUUAUUGAUCUCUCUCAUUCCCAAUACCUCAUUAGAAUGCCAGACCUAUCAGAAGCUCCAAAUCUCGAGAGAAUAAAUCUUUUGAAUUGUACAAACUUGGUCAGCGUUCCCUCAUCCAUCCAGAAUUUCAAUCAUCUCAGUAUGUUGUGUUUCGAGGGCUGCAAAAGUCUGAGGUCCUUUCCAAGCAACCUCCAUUUUGUUUGUCCAGUAACUAUUAAUUGCGGUAGUUGUAUUAAUCUCACAGAGUUUCCACAGAUUUCCGGGAGCGUGACAAAGCUAAUCUUGUGGGAGACUGCAAUAAAAGAAGUUCCCUCAUCAGUAGGGUGCCUAACUAAUCUAAAAGUUUUGGGUUUGAGUCAGUGCCUAAGGCUGAAAAGGAUCUCAACUAGCAUUUUAAAAUUGAAAUCUCUUCAAAAUCUUUACCUUAUUCAGUGCUUUGACCUUGAGAAUUUCCCAGAAAUAUUGGAGAAAAUGGAAUAUUUAAGUUACAAUGCUUUAGGAAGGACAAAAAUCAGAGAGCUGCCUUCUACAUUUGAAAAAGGAGAAGGGACUGAAAGUCAACUACCGUCCUCUGUUGCAGAUACAAAUGAUCUUGAAGGGUUAUCGCUAUAUUUAAGGAACUAUGCUUUAAAUGGCUGUCUAUCCUCACUGGAAUACUUAGAUCUAAGUGGAAAUGACUUUGAGAGUUUACCUGCAAGUAUCAAGCAGCUUUCAAGGUUGAGAAAACUCCACUUGUGCUAUUGCGACAAGCUGCAGUCAAUACCAGAGCUCCCACUAAGUUUGAAAUGGUUAGACGCAAGUAAUUGCGAGCGACUCCAAACUUUUCCAGAGAUAUCAUCAUAUCUGGAAGAAGUAGAUGCAUCCGUACUCGAAAGGCUAUCCAAACACUACCGUCGUUUACAUGACUAUUCGAGAUACUCGCCGCGUGAUUCGUCCAUUGAGUUCUGGUUUAAUAAUUGCUUGAAACUUAAUGAAAAAGCAAAAAACAACAACAAUUUGGCGGAUACACAACUUAGGAUUCGACAUAUGGCAAUUGCAUCAUUGCGACUACCUUAUGAAUUGGAAGUACUGGUACGCUAUUCUCUCUCUUUUGCUCUCUCUCUCCGAUCUAUUACAUCUGAAAUCAUUAUUUUUCAUUUUACAGGAACCCUGUAAACUCAGGGGUUCUGCCAUAAUUAUGCCUGGGAGCAAAAUUCCUGAGUGGUUCAGUAAUCAAAGUUCAGGAUCUGAAAUAACCCUGCAACUGCCCCAUCAUUGUUGUCAAAACUUAAUCGGGUUUGCUGUUUCUUUUGUUCUUGUACCGCAUGAAAAGAUGUGGGAUGGUUUUCACAUUGGUGGUACAUGCGACUUUGAAAUGAAUACUCUCUCUGGAAGGAAACGUGUUCGUGGCUGUUUGUUUAUGAAUAAUUUUAACGAAUUCACAAGUUAUUCAGAUCAUGUCGUGGUUGGAUUUAAUGUCUGCGGGGUUCAUUUUGGGUUUCCAGAUGAUAACCACCAUACAACUGUCUCAUUCCAGUUCAACUCAUUUGUGUACGUGGUGAAACAUUGUGGAGUGUGUCCAGUAUAUGCAAAGCCUAACGACACCAAACCCAACACUUUUACUCUCAAUUUUGCUAGCCAAAUUUCAAAAUUGGAUGAUAUGGCAAGCACAAGUUGAACUUCUGAUGAAGAGGAACUGGUACCAUGUCCCAAGGCAAUUUGAAGAGACGACCAAAUCAACACAACUUAACAAUUGAGUCGCUCGUUUUAUUCAGUAAGUCCAAGGCUCCAAUUGACUCCCUGAUCAUUAUUUAAGGUGCAUUAAUUAAUUACAACUUGUAUUACAUUUUCUUUUUACCUUACCAUUUCUUGUUUAAUUUUCUUUCAGGAUGGUUUUGUAUAUUACAUUUGAUUGGUUUACUCUUUUAUGUACAAGUAUAGAUACCUUAUUAUAAAUAACGGUGUCUACGUUGGGUUCUCCCACAUCUGUUUGUGAAAGGGGCUGGUGGUAACAUUGAGUUAUCUCACAUUGGUUGUGGAAUAGGCUCUUGGUGAGUUCAUAAGUGUGAGGGAAAACCUUACAUCUUCAGCUAGCUUUUAGGGUUGACAGAAGCCGAAGACCACCUGUCAGUCUAUAAGUGGAAUUCAACUCUUCAACAUCUACUACAUGAAAUUGUAAGUGUUUUUACUUGUAUGCUUCUGUUUUAUCAAUUUGAAAACAAAAAAAUUGUGUAAAUUGCUAUGUCAGUGAUACUAUGCCUACUCUUUCUUUUUAGAUUUUAAUCAUGAACCAUAAAAAACUUCCAAAAUGCUUAGGGAGCCGAGGCAUAUAUGAGGGCUGUUUCAAAUGAAUUCAUUUUCCUUUUGUUCUGAGGAAAAUAAGCAUUUAGAAAAUACAUUAAAUUGAAAGCAUUUUCUUAAACAUUUGCAAACAAAAUUUAAGGUCUGAUCGUGAAGUUACUAUGAGUAAGUGGCAGAAGUCAAAGUCAAGCCCAUAUUUUGCAGAACUUUUAGUUGUGCUUAUAAAUGAUGUUUCUUUGAUUUUGUAGCGCCAAAAGUGGAUUUGGAUGAUUAUGAUUUAUUCGGAGCAUCCUGAUGGAACAGCUGAGGUUUGGUUCUUUUGAAUUUCGUUGAUAUGUUAGUUAUCGUCUCAGCUUACUUGGCAGUACUGCUCGUUUUAAGGAUUGUCAGCUAAAUGUUCGAUGAAAUGACUUAUCAGUAAAACUGGUUUUGAAACAUAAAUCAUUUUUAUGGUUUUCAAUGCGCUCAACUAAUUUUUUUUUCCCUCUCUAUGAAAAAAUGAAGGGAAAUCCAGUAGGAGAUUGAUGUUCCUCUUUGAAAAGAAUAAGUAUUUCUCUUUUGUAUAACUAUACACUAAUUUUCUUGGUCAUUUGGUGGUUGCUGGUGGCUUGACAGCUUUUGUUUUUGGGGUUGUAUCUAUACACUAUGAGAGCUGUUUGGUGGCACGGAUGAGCUUCAGUAGCUUCAGAUAAGUUUAAAGAGCAGAAAACCUAGAAAGACUUUUGCGGCAAGCAAUCUAUUGAAGGCUUUUUCUUCUGCUCCUUAGUGUGUGAACAUGCAUGAAUCAAGCUGUUAUUUUGGCAGCUCAGCAAAAUACUGUUUUCGACCUUUGUAUAAGCUGGUGACCAGAGGGUGAAACCUGUGAUUAUCAUCCAGAUUUACUUGGCCACUUUGAGAGUUCUUUGCAGAUUCACAUUCCUUGUAAUAUUAAGAGUAAGCUUUUAUGGUUUCCAGGUCGAGAUAAAGCCAUCUUGAAGUGUUGCUCCUGCGAAAUUAGUUUCGGGCUGAAUCACGUCAAUCCUCUGUUUUGUUGAUGCUGUUAGUCUUGACUCUGAGUCUCUGAUUUCCAAUUGUCUUUGUUAAAAAAAAAAGUCGGGAUGAAUUCAGGCAUUCAAGCUCUAUCACAAUGCGAUUAGAAAAUCAAAUCUUUUAACCCACAUUCUGGUAAAAGGCCAAGCUCUGACUUAUAAUGCUGUUGAGAGUUAUGCAUAUGUUGUAGUUUAACAUCAAUGUUAAUUUGUAGUUCUUUAGAAUUAAAGAUAAUUUAUUUUAGAAUUUAAUGAUAAAUAUCUACUAUAACUGUUCGUUGAAAAAGCAAUUUACUACUCAGAAAACAUAUUAAUUGUAUAGGAGCAAUUCUGAGAGUCAAUUUAAUGAUUCAUUUAGCAUUCAUACUUGAGUCAAGCUUUCGAAACUAAUUUAUUGAAAUAUGAGUCACCUAUUUGAAGCCUUAAGUAAGCAUGCAGAAAACAAAAAUGUGAAUAAAUCACUAAGAAAGAAAUUAUAUUAACUAGCAAUUCCACUCUUAAGAAAAAGAAAAAUACUGUUUGUAUGUCCUCGUUAACCAGCGUCAGAACAGACUUAAAAGAAAACUAAAACCGUUACGACGCGCCAAAAUUAACUGUUUUAACUGAUGUUUGACUAACGCUGACAUAGUAACCAUGUGCGUCUCACGUGCGAUCGGCAUGGCAACUCAAAUAGACCAAAACAAUUAAAUUGAUGAUAAAUUGAUAAUUGAGCAAUUUUCUUGUCUGGGUGAUGAAAUAAUUGAAUUUCUGGGUUAUUAUUUUUUAUUUUAAAAUUUGCACUUUUAUGAUUAAACCUAAAUCAUAAUCUAAAGAUUCUGCAUCCUGGAAAGAUGCUCCACAAAUGAUGAUUGUUUUACAAGUGGGUAUUUGUUAGAAUUAAAUGGUUGCUUUUUCAAGUUUUUGCUGUCUUAGUCACGGUUGUUCUAAAGAUUGUCAUCAAGAUGUUUGAGAAAAUGUCAAAAUGACUCAUUGCCAAAAAAAUUUUUUUUUGGGGUCUUCUCGAUUAUUGGGGCUGUCUUGUCUGAUCUUUUUAUGUGGUUUCUCUGAUCUUACAAACAAUCUAAUGAGAAAGCUCCAAUAAUUUCAUAGAAAAAUUAUUAGAUGGGCAGAAAGAAAAAUGCUGAAGAAUGUAUUACUCCUUUCUCCACAUGCUUUAUUCUAGUUCUGGGGAAGCUUUUGCUUUGCAUGGAAAAUAUUUCAAGGAAAUGUUUGAAAUGGCUCAGAAAUGAAGGGAGGCUGCAUUGACAAAAGCAUCCAAGUCCAAUGGGAUUCCAAGAAAGUUAGGUAACUCUUAUCCAUUUACAAAUGGGAAAUUUAUAUACAUCUCGGGUUAUUAGAAAGUAGAUGUAGAAGGUGCUUAUGGGAUGUAUAGAGUCUCAUUCAAAAAUCUCUGAUGCCACGUCCCUUUAUGUGAAAACUUAGCGGUACUCGAACUUAAUUUUGUCAAUUGCAGAUACAAAAUAUCAUGUUUAUUAUCACCAUUGUUAUAUACUCUGCCAUUACAUAAUUUAAUGGCAACCCCCUUAUCGCAAUAUAAUGAUGUUACUAGACACCACACAACUAACUCAGAGGUAAUUUCUGAACAGUAAAACAACUACAUUUUAUCAAGGAAAGCAGAAAGCUAUUGCAAGGCCACCAUGUGCUAUUGCAUUUCUACUUUGCAAAUUUACCUUUCUUUGCAUCAAUUAUUUCUUUCUUGACAGCUCCAAAUUUUUGGAGAUUUUGUAGACAACAAAAUAAUCACAAUAUACAUGAACCCAUGCUUAUUACUGCUUUUCUUUUAUUGUCUCCCAUCUCUCUCUCUCGUGCUCUUAACGUUACUGUGUUGUCAUUGUUUUGGCAUUAUUUAUGCAUGUGCUUGACUUUACUUUCCAUUUUGGGUAAUUUGUGUCAACGUCAGAAAAGACUUUGUUAUUUGACAAUAAAAAUUUUUACUAGUUUAUAUCACUACUGAUUUAAGUGAUUUUUAAAUUAAUAGUUACAAUUUAAUGAUAUAUUACAAUAUGGAAUCUGUUAGGACUUUAGUCUCUAAAUACAUAUAUUUAUAAUACAACUUCAAAUCUAUGUAGAUUAGCUUUGAAAUAUACUUUAACUAACAAUAUUGUGGAGAAGUUUAACCAUAUAUCACAUUCUUGCAGUAAGGGAAAAGAGUCCGAUAUAUGGGGUCCAAACUAUGACCUCAAUUUUAAGGCAGGCAACAAAAAACUACUGAAAAUUUGAAAAUAGUAAGGUUAGGGAUUCGAAUCCCAAUUAACGUGACAUUCAUUUAUUGGAUAGUAGAAUAUUAAUUUUACCAAUUAUGAAAUUCACUAUCCACUAAAUGACACAUAACAGUUAGAAAUCAACUGUUGGGAUUUUUAACAUUAUUGAUUUGGGGAACUACUAAUACAUAUUAAAAACUCAAGGCCUUAAUUUUUUCCCUAAAAAAGGGGAUUAAUCUCGGUAAAAAAAUUCAUGAAUAAUAGGGAAAUGGGUAGAGUUAUUUGAACCCACCAAAUUACUCAAUUAAAUCCACGUUUGAAUAUAAUUUUUAAUUAUUAAAAAGCCCCUAAAAAAUUUUACAAUUUUGAAUAAUAAAAUGUAUAGAAUAAUAAAUCGAAAAGUAUUAGGUUGUAGGAGUUCAAAUUAUGUUCAUACGAAAAUGUCAAAUCAAAAGAUAUUUGUCUAGAUAAAGAAUACUGAACAAAAUAUAAAUUUGUAGUUUAUUGCAAUUGACAUUUUGAUUAUUAGUUUUCUUAUAUUCUCAAAAUUUGUUAUGCAAAAAAUAUCUGUGCUACAAAAUACAAUAUGAGUCCUAACUAAAGUCCCAAAAAAAAAGAAUAAAAAUUCAUGAUGAGUAACAUCAUUAUCGUGUGAUAGGCAUAUAUGGUAUAAUAGCGUUCAUGUACUUUAAUAAAAUGUGGUAGAGUGAUUAUCUGGUGAGGGUUCUUUCACUUUAUUAAAGUGGAGGAAUGCUAUUACAUCAUACGAUGUACCAAUAUAAUGCCUAUUACAUUGUUGAAAAGUCAGCAACCGCCAGCCAAAGCCAACUUUGCAACAGUUAGCAUGCAAACUUUGGAGAAGCAAAAUCAAAUUGAAUUUGUAAGCCGAAAAGAAAGAAUGGAAAAAGGGGAUGGAUUUGAAAAUAAUAAUAAUUAUUUAUUAUAUUUUCAAUUAUUUUAUUCUUUGCAUAGUAAUUCAUUUCUCCUAUAAAUAGCUAAGGAUUUCAUUCAUUUGAUAUCAUCCCAAAAUUGUUAAGCUUAUAAGUUUCUAAGCUUUUGAGAGAAGUGAGAGAAGUGUGUCUGGGGAAUUUCUCUUUCCUGCAAAGUGUGAGAGUACUGGGUAUAUUUGGGUUUCUAGGAAGUGAGAUUCGUUACUCAAAUAUUGUACUCUAUUAAUUGUUAAAUAAACAAUUAUUCUUUCUUGCCGUCGUGGAUGUAGGUUUAAUUACCGAACCACGUAAAUUCUUGUGUCCUUUAUUUUUCAGUAAUUAUUUGGUGCGCUUGAUUCCGCAUUCCACGCACAACAAGUAAUUAUUUAGUGCGCUUGAUUCCGCAUUCCAUGUACAACAUGUGGUAUCAGAGCCGAUGGUUCGUACUUGGGGGGAUACGGUACUGUACAUGUAUACGGUAAUAUUCCCGUAUAUGGUACUGUUCACAUACGGUACUGUUUACGAAUACGGUGGAGACGGUCAUUUGAACUUAGGAGACAGUCUAUUGUAAGUAGCGUGUAUUUUUGCAUGUCUAGGAAAGUUCUGUCAAAAAAGGCGAUAAGAGUCUAAGGAUUCUGGUUUUUAAUUGGGACUGAGUUCCCGUCCAGUUUCCUGGGAACUUUUCUGGUGCAUUUAUUCACGCGAAAUUAACAUCAUAGAGACUGUUUUUCAAGUGGAAAUAGUUCGUUGAGAAAAUGGUAGAAGGUGAAACUUCCAGAAUUAGGGAGAGAUUUACCGAGACUAUUUCAAGAGACACUUCAGGUGGGAGGCGAGAUUUGUCAAAUCGCUAUUCAGCACCUGUUAUAGAAGGCCAGAAGAUCGAUGUUGAAAAGUUUGAUGGGAAAAUCAACUUCGGCAUGUGGAGGCGCGAAGUUAUGGAUGCCCUUAUUCAAAUCGAUCUCGAUGUUGUUCUGAAAAAUAAAAGACACUUGUGUGAUGAAGAAAUUUGGGAUCGUAUGAACGAAAAAGCUUGUGGUCGGAUCAGAUCUUGUUUGACCAAGGAGGUGAAAUACUUGGUGAAAGAUGAGGAGUGUGCGGUGACUUUGUGGCGUACAUUGGAGGAGAAGUACCUGGAGUCCUGAAAAUCGCCUUCAUGCGAUGAGCCAAGUAUAUGGUUUUCGAAUGAAGCCUGAGGUGUCAAUGCAUGAUCAUGUUUCAAGAUUUGAAAAGUUACUUGCUGAUUUGAAAAAUCUUGAUGAAGAUAUUAAGGAUGAAGUCAAGGCUAUGAUUCUGUUACACUCACUACCAGAGGAAUAUAGCUAUUUUGUGACUACUUUGAUAUAUGGGAAGAGUGUGAUCGUCUUUAAAAAUGUUUGCACAACAUUGACUAGCUUGGAGAUUCGAAAUAAUGAUAAAAAUACUGAACGAGUAUCAUCUGAAGCUUUGGUGAGCAAAGAUUGGGCGAUGGAGAAACAGAAAAAGCGUGGUGGAAAGAAUUCUCGAUCCAAAUCGAGAGGCAGAAAUAUAGCUCGAGAUGAGUGUGCCUUUUGUCAUGAAAAUGGCCAUUGGAGGAAAGAUUGUCCAAAAGCUCAAAAGAGAGAUGGGAAGAAACCAGCAGCAGCAAACAUGGCACGGAAAGAUGAGAGCUCUGAUUAUUCACUAAGUAUUACUCCUGCAGCAUAUGUGGCUAGUUCGAGCGAGUGGAUACUUGAUACUGGAGCAACCUAUCAUUUGUGUCUUAUUAAGGAAUGGUUUACAGAUUUUCAUAAUCUGGAAUCCGGUGCAGUUGUGAUGGGGAAUAAUCAACCUUGUCACACAAUGGGGAUAAGAACAAUUCGGCUCAAAAUAUUUGAUGGAAUGGUCAAAGAACUCAAAAAUGUUAGAUUUGUUCCAGAGAUAAAGAAAAAUAUAAUUUCUGUGGGUGUUUUGGAAGCUAAAGGUUACAAAGUUACCAUUAAAGAUGGCACAAUGAAGUUUACACAUGGGGCUAUGGUGAUUCUGCAAGGGGUUCGGCGUCACAAUCUGUACUAUUUGAAGGGAGGUACAACUGAUGAAGCAAAUGUUGUUGAGGCGCACAGUGACACCACCAAGCUAUGGCAUGUACGACUGGGACAUGCUGGAGAGAAGUCUUUGCAAACUCUGAUGAGACAUGGACUCUUAAAAGGUAUCAAAACCUGUAAAUUAAAUUUCUGUGAGCAUUGUAUAGUAGGCAAGAAAACAAGGGUCAAGUUUGGUACAGCAAAUCACGAUACUCGUGAGAUCCUUGAAUAUGUUCAUAAUGAUGUAUGGGGACCAACCAAGACUGCAUCAAUUGGUAGAAGCCAUUAUUUUGUUAUAUUUAUUGAUGAUUUCUCUAGACGUGUAUGGGUAUACACCAUGCAAGUAAAGGAUGAGGUUCUAGAGAUUUCGUGAAAUGAAAGAAAUUGGUAGAGACUCAAAAUGGCAGAAAGAUCAAAGUAUUACGAUCUGAUAAUGGGGGUGAAUAUGCUUCUGAUCCAUUCUUGCAAGUGUGCCAGAACGAGGGUAUUAAAAGACAUUUAACGGUGAGACAUACUCCGCAACAGAACGGUGUGGCUGAGCGUACGAAUCGUACUUCACUGGAAUUUUACAUGCAUUUUUGAAUUUGAAUGUCACGUGCAUGACUUUUCAACAAUUCUCCACCUCGGCGAAAAUUUGUCUAAAUUUGAGCCGACUACCAACGAACCCUCAUUCCCCCAAAGUGAUCCUUCAAUAAGGAUCCAAAAUGGUUGUGUCGAUUUAACUGCCUACGUACCCAAAAUUUGGGAUCAAGCCAACCAUAGUUCAUAAUUCCCGAAGGACAUAUCUUAACACAAUCGAAGGAUUUGAAUUAAUUUCAAGUAAUGUUGAAAUUUAACUCCAGAAACUACCUUCGUCAACAUAUCUGAUGGAUUAUCUUUGGUAUCGAUCUUCUUCAACAACACUUCACCGCUCUCGAUAAUCUCCCUCACAUAAUGAUAUUUCACAUCUAUGUGCUUCGUCCGAGCGUGAUAUGUUUGAUUCUUCGCAAGGAAUAUCGCACUUUGAUUAUCACAGAAGACCGCAAUGUUCUCCUGGAUUACUCCCAAAUCACCUAACAAGUCUUUCAACCAGAUAGCUUCCUUUACAGUUUCAGUUGCUGCCACGUACUCUGCUUCCGUAGUGGACAGAGCAAUUGUCGAUUGUAGAAUCGACCUCCAACUAACCGGACCUCCACCCAAUGUGAAUACGUAGCCCGUUGUUGAUCUUCGCUUGUCAAGGUCUCCAGCGAAAUCAGAAUCACAAUACCCAACACAUUAUUGACCAAUAUCCUUCUUGAACAAUAACCCAACAUCAACUGUCCUAUACAGAUAUCGAAGAAUUCAUUUUACCACAAGCCAUUGACUUUUACCCGGAUUGUGCAUGUAUCUACUAACCAUGCUCACUGCUUGAGAUAUAUCGGGCCUUGUGCAUACCAUAGCAUACAUAAGACUACCCACAGCACUAGCAUAUGGAACACGAUCCAUGUAAUCGCGCUCCUCUUGAGAUUUAGGACAUGAAGAAGAGCUUAAUUUGAAAUGAGGUGCUAGAGAUGUACAUACCGGUUUAGUUUUGUCAUCCAUACCGAAUCGUUCUAGCACUCUCUUCAAAUAAGACUUUUGAGUCAACCAUACGCUCCCAUUCUUCUUGUCUCUACGAAUCUCCAUCCCAAGUAUUCUCUGUGCAUCACCCAAGUCUUUCAUCUCGAACUCAGAAGCCAAUUGCUUCUUUAAUCUUUCGAUCUCAUCUCUAUUCUUCGAAGGUAUAAGCAUAUCGUCGACAUAGAGUAACAAAUAGAUGAAAGCUCCAUCUGGUAGUCUUUUAAAGUAAACACAAUGAUCGUGUUCACUUCUCCAAAUCUCCAUGUAAGAACGUCGUCUUAACAUUCAAUUGAGUCAACUCUAACUCAUAUUCUGCAACUAAGGCAAGUAGGAUACGAAUGGAAGUAUGUUUUACAACUGGAGAGAAAACUUCAUUGUAGUCAAUACCUUCCUUUUGAGUAAAACCUUUUGCCACGAGUCUUGCCUUGUAUCGAGGAGUUUUUUUAUUUGGAGAUCCUUACUUUUUGGUGUAGACCCAUUUAUUGCCAAUAGCCCUUUUCUCCUUUGGUAACUUUACAAGUUCCCAAGUCUGGUUUUGAUGGAGAGACUUCAUCUCUUCCUCUAUGGCUAACGUCCACUGAUCACUUUCACUGCUGCGUAAUGCUUCACCGAAAGUGUUGGGGAUGUCAUCAUCAAUAACUGGAAGUGCAUAGGCUACCACCAUAUCUUUAGUAAGCCAUUCGGGUUUCUUUAUGUCUCUUCUUGGCCUCCUUGUUGCUAUAAAAUCAUCAUUAUCUACAUCAUCAAUUGUUUCUUCAUUUUGUGGGAUAUUAGGAAAAGCAACAUCUUCUUCAACUCUAGGUGUCACCUCUAUAGUUGAACUAUUCUUUGAUGUAGAACUAACUGGUACAUAUGGAGUUGCAUCAAACUCCACCCGCUGUAAUACCUCUUUGGUCUUGUUCUCCACCUGCUAAGAACUUGAAGCUUUCAUCAUUGAAGCUUCAUCAAAUGUGACAUCUCUGCUACACACAAACUUUUUGUCUUCGAGAUCCCAAAGCUUGAAGCCCUUUACUCCACCUUUGAAUCCCACAAAGAUAGUUUUUCUAGCACAAGGAUCCAGUUUACCAUCUUUGACAUGAUAAUAAGCUAGACACCCGAAUACACGAAGGGAAUCAUAGUCUUGUGCAUACUUUACAGACCACAUUUCCAUAGGAGUUUUACCUCCAAUUGCAAUAGAAGGCAACCGGUUUACCAAGUGACUUGCGUAACUCACAGCUUCAGCCCAAAAUUUUUUAUCUAAACCAGCAUUAGAUAACAUACACCGUACCUUCUCCAGUAAAGUACGAUUCAUACGCUCAGCCACACCGUUCUGUUGCGGAAUAUGUCUCACCGUGAAAUGUCUUUUAAUACCCUCGUUCUAGCAUACUUGCAAGAAUGGAUCAGAAGUAUAUUCACCCCCAUUAUCAGAUCGUAAUACUUUGAUCUUUCUGCCAGUUUGAGUUUCCACCAAUUUCUUCCAUUUCACGAAAAUCUCUAGAACCUCAUCCUUUGCUCGCAUGGUGUACACCCACACACGUCUAGAGAAAUCAUCAACAAAUGUAACAAAAUAAUGCCUUUCACCAAUUGAUGCAGUCUUGGCUGGUCCCCAUACAUCACUAUGAACAUAUUCAAGGAUCUCACGAGUAUCGUGAUUAGCUGUACCAAACUUGACCCUUGUUUUCUUGCCUACUACACAAUGCUCACAGAAAUUUAAUUUACAGGUUUUGGUACUUUUUAAGAGUCCAUGCCUCAUCGGAGUUUGCAAAGACUUUUCUCCAGCAUGUCCUAGUCGUACAUGUCAUAGCUUGGUGGUGUCACUGUGCGCCUCAAUAACAUUUGCUUCAUCAGUUGUACUUCCCUUCAAAUAGUACAGAUUAUGACGCCGAACCCCUUGUAGAAUCACCAUAGCCCCAUGUGUAAACUUCAUUAUACUAUCUUCAAUAGUAACCUUGUAGCCAUUAACUUCUAAAGCACCCACAAAAAUUAGAUUUUUCUUUAAUGUUGGAAUAAAUCUAACCUCUUUGAGUUCUCUGACCAUUCCUUCAAACAUUUUGAACCGAAUUGUUCCUAUCCCCAUUGUGCGACAAAGUUGAUAAUUCCCCAUCACAACUGCACCAGAUUCCAAUACGUUGAAAUCCGUAAACCAUUCCUUAAUGGGACACAAAUGAUAGGUUGCUCUAGUAUCAAGUAUCCACUCGCUCGAACUAGCCACAUAUGCUGCAGGAGUAAUACUUAGUGAAUAAUCAGAGUCUUCAUCUUUCCGUGCCAUGUUUGCUACUGCUGGUUUCUUCCCAUCUCUCUUUUGAGCCUUUGGACAAUCUUUCCUCCAAUGGUCAUUUUCAUGACAAAAGGCACACUCGUCUCGAGCUAUAUUUAUGCUUCUCGAUUUGGAUCGAGAAUUCUUUCCACCACGCUUCUUCUGUUUCUCCAUCACCCAAUCUCUGCUCACCAAAGCUUCAGACGAUACUCGUUCAGAAUUUUUAUCAUUAUUCUGAAUCUCUAAACUAGUCAAUGAUGUGCAAACAUCUUUAAAGACGAUCACACUCUUCCCAUAUAUCAAAGUAGUCAUAAAAUGACUAUAUUCCUCUGGUAGUGAGUGUAACAGAAUCAUAGCCUUGACUUCAUCCUUAAUAUUUUCAUCAAGAUUUUUCAAAUCAGCAAGUAACUUUUCAAAUCUUGAAACAUGAUCCUGCAUUGACACCCCAGGCUGCAUUCGAAAACCAUAUACUUGGCUCAUUGCAUGAAGGCAAUUUUCAGGACUUUUCACCAGGUACUUCUCCUCCAAUGUACGCCACAAAGUCACCGCACACUCCUCAUCUUUCACCAAGUAUUUCACCUCCUUGGUCAAACAAGAUCUGAUCUGACCACACGCUUUCUCGUUCAUACGAUCCCAAAUUUCUUCAUCAUACAAGUGUCUUUUAUUUUUCAGAACAACAUCGAGAUCGAUUUGAAUAAGGGCAUCCAUAACUUCGCGCCUCCACAUGCCGAAGUUGAUUUUCCCAUCAAACUUUUCAACAUCGAUCUUCUGGUCUCCUAUAACAGGUGCUGAAUAGUGAUUUGACAAAUCUCGCCUCCCACCUGAAGUGUCUCUUGAAAUAGUCUCGAUAGAUCUCUCACCAAUUCUGGAAGUUUCACCUUCUACCAUUUUUUCAACGAACUAUUUCCACUUGAAAAACAGUCUCUAUGAUGUUAAUUUCGUGUGAAUAAAUGCACUAGGAAAGUUCCCAGGAAACUGGACGGGAACUCAGUCCCAAUUAAAAACCUGAAUCCUUACACUCUUAUCGCCUUUGUUGACAGAACUUUCCUAUACAUGCAAAAAUACACACUACUUACAAUAGACUGUCUCCCAAGUACAAAUGGCCGUCUCCACCGUAUUCGUAAACAGUACCGUAUGUGAAUAGUACCAUAUACGGGAAUAGUACCGUAUACGUGAACAGUACAAUUAUCCCCCAAGUACGAACCGUCAGCUCUGAUACCACUUAUUGUGCGCGGAAUGCGGAAUCAAGCGCACUAAAUAAUUACAGAAAAAUAAAGGACACAAGAAUUUACGUGGUUCGGUAAUUAAACCUACAUCCACGGAGGCAAGAAAUAAUAAUUGUUUAUUUAACAAUUAAUAGAGUACAAUAUUUGAGUAACGAAUCUCACUUCCCAGAAACCUAAAUAUACCCAGUACUCUCACACUCUGCAGGAAAGAUAAAUUUCCCAGACACAUUUCUCUCACUUAUCUCAAAAGCUCAUAAACUUAUAAGCUUAACAAUUUUGGGAUGAUUUCAAAUGAAUGAAAUCCUUAGCUAUUUAUAGGAGAAAUGAAUUACUAUGCAAAGAAUAAAAUAAUUGAAAAUAUAAUAAAUUAUUAUUAUUAUUUUCAAAUCCAUCCCCUUUUUCCAUUCUUUCUUUUUUGCUUACAAAUUCAAUUUGAUUUUGCUUCUCCAGAGUUUGCAUGCUAACUGUUGCAAAGUUGGCUUUGGCUAGCGGCUGCUGACUUUUCAACAAUUCUCCACCUCGGCGAAGAUUUAUUCAAAUCUGAGCCGAUUGACAAUGAUCCUCCAAACUUCAUCCCUCAAAAUUAUCCACAUUGGCUGCAUCUAUCCGACUGCCUACGUACCCAAAGGUUGGGAUCAAGCCUGCCGUAGUUCCAAUUCCCGAAGGACAUAUCUUAAAACAAUCAAAGGAUUUGAAUUAGUUUCAAGCAAUGUUGAAACUUAACUCCAGAAACUACCUUCGUCAACAUAUCUGAUGGAUUAUCUUUGGUAUCGAUCUUCUUCAACAACACUUCACCGCUCUCAAUAAUCUCCCUCACAUAAUAAUAUUUCACAUCUAUGUGCUUCGUCCGAGCGUGAUAUGUUUGAUUCUUCGCAAGGAAUAUCGCACUUUGAUUAUCAUAGAAGACCGCAAUGUUCUCCUAGAUUACUCCUAAAUCACCUAACAAGCCUUUCAACCAGAUAGCUUCUUUUACAGCUUCAGUUGCUGCCACGUACUCUGCUUCCGUAGUGGACAGAGCAAUUGUCGAUUGUAGAAUCGACUUCCAACUAACCGGACCUCCACCCAAUGUGAAUAUGUAGCCCGUUGUUGAUCUUCGCUUGUCAAGGUCUCCAGCGAAAUCAGAAUCACAAUAUCCAACACAUUGUUGACCACAAUCCUUCUUGAACAAUAACCCAACAUCAACUGUCCCAUACAGAUAUCGAAGAAUCCGCUUUACUGCAAGCUAGUGACUUUUACCUGGAUCGUGCAUGUAUCUACUAACCAUGCUUACUGAUUGAAAUAUAUUGAGCCUUGUACAUACCAUAGCAUACAUAAGACUACCCACAACACUAGAAUAUGGAACACGAGCCAUACCAGAUGGAGCUUUCAUCUAUUUGUUACUCUAUGUCGUCGAUAUGCUUAUAGCUUCGAAGAAUAGAGAUGAGAUCGAAAGAUUAAAGAAGCAACUGGCUUCUGAGUUCGAGAUGAAAGACUUGGGUGAUGCACAGAGAAUACUUGGGAUGGAGAUUCGUAGAGAUAAGAAGAAUGAGAGCGUAUGGUUGACUCAAAAUUCUUAUUUGAAGAGAGUGCUAGAAUGAUUCGGUAUAGAUGACAAAACUAAACCAGUAUGUACAUCUCUAGCUCUUUAUUUCAAAUUAAGCUCUUCUUAAUGUCCUAAAUCUCAAGAGGAGCGCGAUUACAUGGCUCGUGUUCCAUAUGCUAGUGCUGUGGGUAGUCUUAUGUAUGCUAUGGUAUGCACAAGGCCCGAUAUAUCUCAAGCAGUGAGCAUGGUUAGUAGAUACAUGCACAAUCCGGGUAAAAAUCAGUGGCUUGCGGUAAAGUAGAUUCUUCAAUAUCUGUAUAGGACAGUUGAUGUUGGGUUAUUGUUCAAGAAGGAUUGUGGUCAAUAAUGUGUUGGGUAUUGUGAUUCUGAUUUCGCUGGAGACCUUGACAAGCGAAGAUCAACAACGGGCUACGUAUUCACAUUGGGUGGAGGUCCGGUUAGCUGGAGGUCGAUUCUAUAAUCGACAACUGCUCUGUCCACUACGGAAGCAGAGUACGUGGCAGCAACUGAAUCUGUAAAGGAAGCUAUCUGGCUGAAAGGCUUGUUAGGUGAUUUGGGAGUAAUCCAGGAGAACAUUGCGGUCUUCUGUGAUAAUCAAAGUGCGAUAUUCCUUGCAAAGAAUCAAACAUAUCACGCUCGGACGAAGCACAUAGAUGUGAAAUAUCAUUAUGUGAGGAAGAUUAUCGAGAGCAGUGAAGUGUUGUUGAAGAAGAUCGAUACCAAAGAUAAUCCAUCAGAUAUGUUGACGAAGGUAGUUUCUGGAGUUAAGUUUCAACAUUGCUUGAAACUAAUUCAAAUCCUUCGAUUGUUUUAAGAUAUGUCCUUCGGGAAUUGGAAUUACGGUAGGCUUGAUCCCAACCUUUGGGUACGUAGGCAGUCGGAUAGAUGCAGCCAAUGUGGAUCCUUUUGAGGAUCAUGUGAGGGAUGAAGUUUGGAGGAUCAUUGUCAAUUGGCUCAGAUUUGAAUAAAUCUUCGCCGAUGUGGAGAAUUGUUGAAAAGUCAGCAGCCGCCAACCAAAGCCAACUUUGCAACAGUUAGCAUGAAAACUUUGGAGAAGCAAAAUCAAAUUGAAUUUGUAAGUCGAAAAGAAAGAAUGGAAAAAGGGGAUGGAUUUGAAAAUAAUAAUAAUUAUUUAUUAUAUUUUCAAUUAUUUUAUUCUUUGCAUAGUAAUUCAUUUCUCCUAUAAAUAGCUAAGGAUUUCAUUCAUUUGAUAUCAUCCUAAAAUUGUUAAGCUUAUAAGUUUCUAAGCUUUUGAGAGAAGUGAGAGAAGUGAGAGAAGUGUGUCUGGGGAAUUUCUCUUUCCUGCAGAGUGUGAGAGUACUGGGUAUAUUUGGGUUUCUGGGAAGUGAGAUUCGUUACUCAAAUAUUGUACUCUAUUAAUUGUUAAAUAAACAAUUAUUCUUUCUUGCCUCCGUGGAUGUAGGUUUAAUUACCGAACCACGUAAAUUCUUGUGUCCUUUAUUUUUCAGUAAUUAUUUGGUGCGCUUGAUUCCGCAUUCCGCGCACAACAUACACCACAUAGUGUAAUAACGUUCCCACAUUUUAAUAAAUUUUCGGAACCUGAUUAUGAUAUAUAUAUAUCUUCUCGAGUUUACAAACUUCAUUACUGCUUCAGCAUCAAAAGACUUGGAUAAAAAGUGAACAUGAAAAAUCAUUAAAUUUGAGGGCUAUUAACCAUAGCUUUUGCUGUCUCUACUCUCUAUAUAGAAGGCUAUUAUUGGAUCACAACACAUUAAUCAUAAAAGAGUCACUAAAAUUUGAGUUAUUGUCCUUUGUUUAUUUUACUUGACGGGUGGCUGCUGCCUCCUGUAAUCACAUUAUAAUCUAAUCUGUAGACCAGUGAGAUGCAGUUGCAAAUUCAUCAAAAGUCUCAGCUGAACAAAAAUUUUCAUCACUCUUUGUAAGAUUGAAACUGUUAUGAAAUUGACGAACUAAAACGGUGGCAUUUUUUCUUGUGUUUAAGUGCGCCUGUUACGUGAUUCACUUAAGUCAAGUCCUAGUCAAAUUUCUAUUAUGACAGUUAUUUUGGGCGCGUAUGGCUAAGCAGCGAAAAAAACAUAUCCUUCAUCAUUGCCCGUUGUUCUUCGGGUACAAAUCAAGCCGAGCAUUAAGCUGAGCCACAACAAAUCUUUAUUUAUAUAUAUUUUUAGUUACUUUACGAUAUACGGAACUUGAAUUGAAACUGAAAUAGUAAUGCUCCAAUCAGGGACGUAGCCAGAAAUUUAAUUGAUCUGGAGCACAUUAAAAAUGUAAUAUAAUUUUAAGAAUUUAUAUCACAACACAAAAAAUCACAAUAUAAUACAAUUUGAGAAUAAAUUUUGAAAAUUUAGAUAACAGUAAAUAGAAUCACAAGUGUAAUAUAAAUUAAUAAUAAACUAACUUAUUACAAUUGUUCUAAUCAAGAAUUCCUCGACAGGAUUUCAUGUGUUGAAAAUGCUGUAAAAUAGUUUCAUUAUCAAUGCAAUCAAAUCCAUCUUUUUCAAUGUACACAACUAGGUUAUCAACCAUUCAUCUCCCAUUCGACUUCGUAGUCAAUUCUUCACAUAAUUCAUUGUUGAAAAAACUCUUUCAACAGUGGCAGUGGCAACUGGUAGAAGUAAUGAUAAUGUGACUAAUAAAUAGACCAAUGAAAACACCUUGUGCUUGUUAGUCUCAACCAUUUUCUGUGCAAGAUCACCAAUCCCAUUUAAUUCUGAAAACUCAACACUAGACUGCAUAUCCAUUAUGUAAACAUCAAGUUGAGUAUCUAGUGCCAUGAGAUCAACUUGAGAAAAAUCUUUUGGAUAAAGUUGAGCAAGACGCAAUAACUUUUCUUUAUUGAAAGCUGCAAAUGAAUCUUUUGGUCAUAAACAAUCCAAGCAAAGAAGUAAUUCAGUGUUUACCUCAUUAAAACGACUGUUUAACUCUUGAAGUUGCAUAUCCAAAAUAGCACAAAAUAGGUCAAUGCGAUAAGGAUGCAUAUUUGUGAUCUCUUGCGCUCUACACCUUGAUUUUCGAGGAGUUAGAAACAUAUUUUCCAUGACAGGAACACUAAUAAAAUGCUUCUCACAAAAUGAAGAAACUUGACUAAGCAAAGAAUUCCAUCCAUGUUCCCUCAUCCUCUGUAGACCUAGUUUGCAAAUGCUAACUAAUUUCAUGGAAUUCACAAUAUAUUGAUCUUUCCUUUGUAAUGCUUGUGCCAAUUCAUUUGCAAAACCAAGAACAUUUUUCAUCAAGUAUAAAGUAAACACAAAAUCAAAUGUUUGCAUGAACUUCAAGGUUGAAUUUGCUUCAAAUCUUUGCUCAGAAUUUGAUGCAUCAUUUGCAAUAAUCUCAAGCACAUCAAUUAUGGAUGAGAACAUGGUAAUAAUGCUUAUUAAUGUACCGUAAUGUGAGCUCCACCGUGUGUAGCCAGAACGCUUUAAAGUAAUCUCUUUAUUCAUGCCUUGUCCGCUUUUAAGCUCGCCCGUUUUAAGUGCUUCAAUAACUGCAAUAGCAUGCUUCUCUUUAAGGAUUUCAUAUCGUUUAGACGAGGCUGCAACAAUGUUAAUAACUUUAGCAACUAAAUUGAACAGAUCAUUAACUUCUUGGUGCUUUUUUGCCACAGAAACAAGGGCCAACUGUAAUUGAUGGGCAAAACAAUGAAUGUAAUAAGCUGAUUCAUUCUCUUUUAGAAUGAGUGUUUUCAAACCAUUAAGUCCCCCUUGCAUGUUACUAGCACCAUCAUAUCCUUGCCCACGCAUACUAGACAUGCUUAAUCCAUGUCUAGCAAAUACUGUGUCGAGUGAUGCUUUGAGAGAGAUAGCUUUAGUAUCAAUAACAUGUUCAAUACCAAUAAAACGUUCAACCAUAUGUCCUCUUUUAUCCACAUAACGCAACACAAUUGCCAUUUGCUCUUUUUUGGAUAUGUCACGAGAUUUAUCAAUCAUAACAGAAAAUAAAGAGUCGCCAAUUUCUUUAAUGAUAGCUCUAGAAGUUUCAGCUGAACAAACACUUACAAUUUGUUUCUGAAUAUCAGGGGAUGUCAUUUGGAGAUUUGCUGGAGCACUGUUGAAAAUAACACCUUUAAUUUCCUCAUUGUGAUCAGCAAGAAAUUGUAAAAGCUCAAGAAAGUUUCCUCUAUUAUCUGAGCUUUGAGAUUCAUUAUUACCACGAAAUGCAAGGCCUUGUCUCAAAAGAAAUCGAAUGCAAUCGAUUACAGCAGUUAAACAAAGUUAGUACUCCCUUUUAAUUUUUUUUAGAAUGGUUAAAAAAAAAUGUAGCAACAUGUGCCUUUUGAUUCAUCAAUGAUUCACAACGACGCCUAGCUAUAUUAUGAGCAUUAUUUACACCACCAACAUGUUGUCUCAGCAUUUCUUUUUUCUUCCAAUUUAUAAACCCUUCACCAGUAAAGCAUGGACCAGCCCCUUGACUACCAUUUUCUUCUCUGAAAACAUAACAAUAAAGACAAAAAGCUACCUCCUUUAUUAUACUAUAUUCUAACCAAUCAGGAUAAUUAUCAAACCAACUCCGGACAAAUCGUCGUGAUUUUUCUCCUAACAACCUAGUAGGAAAAUCAUGGCUCUGAGGUUGAAAAGGACCCAUUUGCAAAUAAGCUCUCCAAACUUCAUCUUGAAUAUUAGGAUCUAACUUUGAAAUUACUGUUCGUAAACCAGGAUCCCUUGGAAGAUCAUGCAAAUUAAGACUAACUUUUUCUUUUGAAUUGCCACUCAUUUUUCCUAAUGAGGUUGCAGUUGCUGAAUUCUUUCUUAAAUAUUUAUCCAUGACUGUUCAAAGAAAUAUAUUUAUCGAAUAAGUAUGAUAUUUAUCAUUCAAAGAAAAAUUUCUUCAUAAAAAAAUAUACAUGAAAAUUACAGUUACAGAACUAGACAAAAUAUUAUGAGUCUUCAUUAAAAUUUCAUUAUAUAGUGUACUAAUCUUAAUAAAUUAAUUUGUUCUUAAAUCUUUUAAUAAUGGCAAAAAUAUUCAUAUAUGGCAACACAAAAAUCAAACAUGAAUAUAUAAUAAAAUUAGCAAUUUUAAAAUGUAAAAAACAAUGAAAUAAUAAAAACUUAGGAUUAAUAAACUUACAAUUUUAAAACAUCAAGCAAUGCAAAUGAAGAAAGUGAGAAGAAAUUCACGCACUGGUGACAAUUGAUGAGCACAGCACUGGUGACAAUUGCUGAGCACUACAAAUUGCCUAAUCUGCUAUGGAUUCCACCCACCACACUUUAUUUCAUGGAAGAGACGAAAGAAAGAGUAAAGUUGAGAUUUCACUUACUUUAAUUGAUUUUUUAAUAAAUUUUAUUUGAUAAAGGUGGUUUUCCUUUUUGUCUUUGUUGAUUUUUAUGAAAUUAUAAUAACUAAUCAAAUUAUUUAGAUUUAGACAUUUAAGUUAAGGGCAACAUGAAAUUUUUUAAAAUUACAUGUGGCACUUUCAAAAUUUCACAAUUAACUUAGGGCAUUUUUAUAAAUAAUGAAUAAAAUAUUUUUUCUAAGAUAAUCAUCAAAAAAAUAUUUUAAAAGCCAGCUGGGCCUGUGCCCCACCUGGUCCUAUGCUGGGUACGUCCCUGGCUCCAGUCUCUUCGAGAUGUCAUUUAACCAAAGCUUCUGAAAAGAAUUAAUGCUAUAGGAUCCGUUUUAGAACUUCUCUCAUCAAACUUUAAUCGAGCUAAAAUUAAUUUAGAGAUGCAAGAAACUGCUGAAUAGAAAAUUGUUUAGACAUUUUUAUAAUGCUUGAAUUAAUUAAAGAUUUCUCCUUCAAUUUUGGGUUCUUACUGAUUUAGAAGUCCAAAUACUUGGGAAAUUUUUAAUUUGUCCCCAAAAUGUUUUUUGCCUUGUCCUUCGUGGGCUUGGAAUAAAUACUUAACAUACAUCCAAUUUAAAUUUUAGGCAAAUUCUUUAUUAUUAGAUAACAUUUUUUUAUGUAUAAAUGUAAUGUUAAAUUGUAAAAAAAUAAUUUAUCAAAAUAAUUUUUCAUAAAUUAUAAAUCGAAUGCUUACCUUUGAAAUAUUUACAAUAUAUAAAUACAAUUGUACUUGAUAGCAUUGUCAAUAUAUACCUAUUUAAACUUCUAAGUAUAUAUAACACUUCAAGGUCAUAAGUGUAAAAAUAUUAGAUUUAAGAUAUAUUAAGUUUAUAAAAACAAACAAGUUACUAGUUACAUUCGAACAUUAAAAAUUAAAAACAAACAUACUAUUCAGAUAUCUGUAUUUAGAUUUAUUUAGUCUUCAGUAACAUUCUAACAUAUUUAAAUUUCAGACAAAAAAAAAAAAAAAACUAUCAUCUUCUUGACACAAAAGGGUCCUAAUAGUCCCCACUCAAAAAAAAUUUUUUUUUUUUUUUUUAGAAGAACCACUCAAAGUUAAUUUGUCCCAUAACUUCAUUAGUCUAGUGACUUAAGUCUAGCUCCGCCACUUUGGAGGUGAUCAUGAUUAACCUGAAAAAUGACCCACCGAGGCCCAAUAAAAAGCUCGAAGCCCAUAAAGACAACUUCGUAAAUCAGUCAUUGGAAGUGGCGGUAAAAUUCCGAUGUCAAAGCACAAGUGAUGAAACCGGCCUUCGUCGUGUUUUUCAUCCUUUGCAGUUUUUGUUUUAUAAGGCAGUGUCUCUCUUUCUUCAAUUGUCGAUGCAUCUAGUUUUAUGAGAAAAAUGGGUUUGUUGAUUCUGAAAUUUAAUUAAUAUGAUUGGGUUUUGGUUGAUAUUGUUUCUAAAGACUGCCAUCUAAGUGCUCGAUAAACUGACUCAGUGGUAAAACUAGUUGUUUCUUAAUCGGACUAUGUGGUUUCCUCAAUUAUCGGGGUUGUCUCGUCGGACUUUAACGUACUAGACUUCAGGAAAAUGUAGAAAUAUCUGAUAGGAAGAAGUCCAAAAAAGUCAAAGAACAAUUAACGGGCAGAAGUCAGUCUAUUUCAAAGGUUGAAUAUUAAUCAUGUUAAUUUCAAUUUUGAAGAGAAGGAAGAAUAUAGAUUACGGUUUAUGGCUGAAAUAUUUUAUUGUUACACCUUCUCUUAAGAAUCUCUGUUUCUUUUAAAAAAUUUAAUGUGUUUUCCAUCUUCUUCUUCUUCUAGCCUUACUGCUCAUAGCAAAUACGAGGUCUUCCUCAGUUUCUGAGGGGAAGAUACUUGUAAUGGUUUUACUAGCCAUCUAGCUGCAGCUUUACAUCGGAAAAAAUACAAUUCUUCAUUGAUGGUGAAGAACUUAACAAAGGUGAUGAGAUUUCGCCUGCCCUUUUUAUUGCAGUCUAAACAUCAGAUAUUUCGGUAAUUAUCCUCUUCCAAAUGGUGCCUCAAUGAACUUGUCAAUAUUCUUGAUUGCAAGAAAAUGAAUGGCAAAAUUGUUAUACCGGUUUUCUAUCAAGUAGAUCCAUCUGAUGUGGGAAAACAGAGGAGGAGUUCUGGAGAAGCUUUUGUUCACCACGAAAACAACUUUCCAGAUAAGGUUCAGAAAUGGAGGGAUGCAUUGACUGAAGGAUCAAAUUUAUCUGGAUAUGAUUCCACUGAAUCUAGGUAACUCUUCCUGACUCUUCCUUCCUUGUAUCCAAUAGUAUUAGAACUCUUUUUUUUUUUUUUAAAUCAAUAAAAUUUACGGCCUCUGUUUUUGUCAAUGAAAGCACACUUUUGCUUUAUAACCUAGCUUGGUUGUUUUGGCUUUUGACUCAUCGUUUUUUCUCAUCUUAACAAAACUUGGUAGGAAUGAGGCCGAACUUGUCGAAAAGAUUAUUGCAGAUAUUUCCAAGAAAUUGGAAGAUGUCAGACUCAGCUGAUUUAGAUGCUUUGUUGGAUUAAAUUCACAAGUUGGGAAAAUUCAAUCAUUACUAUCUCUUGGAUUGCAUGAUGUUCAAAUUGUAGGAAUUUGGGGCAUGGGCGCUAUUGGUAAAACAACAAUUGCUAGUGCUGUUUCCCACCAAAUUUCCAGAGACUUUCAAGGCAAGUGCUUCAUGAGAAACGUAAGACAAGAAUCAAACAAGAAGGGAGUAAUACAUGAUCAAGAUGAGGUUAUUUCUGAAGUGUUAGGAUAAAAUCUGAAAAUAGGAACUGCUAUCAUCCCUCAAAGAAUCAAAAAGAGGCUCCAACUCAUGAAAGUGUUGAUUGUUCUUGAUGAUGUUCAUGAUGAAUUCACAGAACUAAAAUGCUUAGCUACAGGGUUACAAUUUAGUGGUGGAAGUAGAAUCAUUAUAAGGUCGAGAGAUAAAGGAGUACUUGAUACGUGUGGAGCGAAUAACAUUUAUGGGGUCAAGGGAUUGAAACACAAUAAAGCCCUCGAGCUCUUUUGUAGAAAAGCCUUUAGAGAAAAGAAUUGCUCUCAUGAUCUUUCGUAGCUCUUAGAGGAGGUGGUGCAUUCUGCCGAUGGCAAUCCAUUAGCUCUUGAAGUUUUGGGUUCUUCUCUUUAUCAAAAGAGCAAACAACAAUGGAAGGUUAAAUUGCAAAACUUGAAACUGAUUUCUGUACCUAACAUUUAUAAUGUGUUGAAAAUCAGUUAUGAUGAGCUAAAUUUGGAAGAGAAGAAAACAUUUCCUGACAUUGCCUGUUUCUUCAAAGGAGAAGAUAUAGACUUUGUGAGAAGGAUACAAGAUGAUCAUACAUCACAAGACGCUCUUGUUGAUAAGUCACUCAUUACAAUAUUCUAUAAUGAGCUGCAAAUGCAUGAUUUAUUGCAAGAAAUGGGUCAGACCAUUGUUCGCCAAAACUCUAUCAGCAAAUGUAAUAGGUUGUGGGAUCACAAGGACGUCUAUCAUGUAUUAAAGAAAAAUAAGGUGAGAAUCUAUCUAUUUGAGUUUUAAAUGUUAACAAUAGAUGCACAAUCAAAUUCCUCUCAUACACAUGUUUUCAGUAAAUUUGUUAUUACCAAAGACAUCCUCAGUCAAUGUUACUUUUUUGGACGAAACAACCAAAACAUUUUCUCAUUUAAUUUUUAUAGUGAUUCAGUUUUACAUCAUUUCUUUUAAAACUAAGGAGCAUCUCAGAUUCUUAGUAAUAGAAAAACAUAUCUUUCAAACUAAAAAGCCUAGGCUAGUUAUUUAGGCAAUUAAACAUUUUUGGCUCCUACAGACACUUUUAAAUGAGAGCAUCAUUUGCAAUCACCGAAAAAGUAGAUUAAAUAGAGCAUCUCAUGUACUUCGGUUUAUGAAUUUUUUAAACGUUUAUCUUCUGAACUUUUAGAUAAAGAGAAAUGAAAAAGCCUAUAAAUCAAGGAGAAAGGAAGAGGCUGAUCGCUAGUGAGUUCAAAUGUUGAAUAAAUUAAAAAAAAUUAACAAAUUCACAUUUUAUCUUCAAUUAGGAAGCUUUUAAUCAAUUUUUCAAAAGUUUUUGUAGAUUUUAUAUGCUUAUCAUUCUUUACUUUUGUUUGGAAGGGUACCAAUAAAAUUGAAGGCAUACUCCUUGAUUUGUCAAAAAUAAACAAUAUACAUCUAAGUCCUCAAACCUUUGCAAAUAUGUCCAAUCUUAGAUUGCUUAAAUUCUAUAUGCCCAAGCAUAAUGAUGUUGACUAAAGUGCAUCUUGAUCAAGGUCUAGAAUAUCUUCCUGAAGAAUUGAGAUAUCUCCAUUGACACGAAUAUCCUUUGAAAACACUGCCUUAUGAUUUUGAACCAGAGAAUCUUAUUGAGCUCAGUUUGCCUUACAGUAAAGUUGAGCAAAUUUGGGAAGGAAAAAAGGUAGGUGUACUAAUACUAGAACAUUAAAUUUUUCUUUCUUAAUACAACACAUAAUUAAUUAUGUAAUUCAUUGAUACUAGUUUAGUGGUCUUUGUUUAUUUUUUGUUAUAGAAAGCUUUCGUGUUAAAAUCUGUUGAUCUCCGCCAUUUCCAAUAUCUCCUUAGGAUGCCAGACCUAUCAGAAGCCCCAAAUCUUGAGAGAACAAAUAUUUUGAAUUGUACAGGAUAUUCUUACAUUUCCUCAUCCAUCCAGAAUUUCAACCAUCUUAGUAGGUUGUGUUUCAGGGGCUGCAAAAGUCUUAGGUCUUUCCCAAGCAACCUACAUUUUGUUUCUCCUACAGCUAUGGAUUUCUCAUCUUGCAUUAAUUUCACAGAGUUUCCACAGAUUUCUGGGAAUAUAACAGAUCUGGACUUACACUAAACUGCAAUAGAAGAAGUUUCCUCAUCAAUAGAGUGCCUAACUAAUCUUCAAGUGUUCAGUUUGGAUAGUUGUUCAAGGCUGAAGAGGGUUUCAACUAGAAUUUUUGUAAAUUGAAAUCUCUGAUUUGGCUUUCUCUUUACGAGUGCUUAAACCUUGAGAGCUUCCCAGAAAGCAUGGAGAAAAUAAAACAUUAAAUCAAAUCAAUUUAGGCAGGACUACAAUUACAGAGUAGCUGCCGUCUUCAUUUGAAAAUCUAGAAGAGCUUGAAGUGCUGGGCUUAGGGAGUUGUUCUGAACUAGAUAAUUUGCCAAAUAUCAAUGGCAAUUUAAAAUCUUUUGAGUACAUUGGUUCACAUGGAUCAGCCAUUAGUCAACUACUAUCCUCUGUUGCAGAUUCAAACAAUUUAAAAAACUUUGGUUCAAAGGAUGCAUGGUUUGGUGUCAUUGCCUGCAUUGUUAUUAUCAUUUUUAUCUCCUUUGGGACUGCUAAAUUUAAGUGAUGUGUUUUAACAGCUAUUCUGCAAGAGAUUGGCUGUAUAUACUCAUUGGAAACAUUAGAUCUAUGUGAAAAUAACCUUGAGAGUUUACCUGCAAGUAUCAAGCAAUUUUCACGGUUGAGAUAUCCUUACUUGAGGAAUUGCAAUAUGCUUCAGUCAAUACCAGAGCUCCCAUUACAUCUGAAGAAGAUUAGAUGCAAGUAAUUGCAAGCGGCUAAAAUCUUUGCCAGAUAUUGCGUCAUCUGUGGAAGAUCUAGAUGCUUCCUUACUCAAAAAGCUAUCCAAACUCUCCCAUGAAAAUGAAGAUAAAUUAUGGACGCGAGAGAGAUCGUCCAUUGAGUUCCGGUUUACUAAUUGCUUGAAACUAGAUGAAGAAGCAAACAACAAGAAUUUGGCAGAUUCACAACUAAGGAUUAAGCAUAUGGCAAUCGCAUCAUUGGGACGAUUUUAUGAAUUGGAAGUGGUAUGCAAUUCUCUCUCUUUUAUCAGUCUAUCCCUCUUCAUCACAUCUGAAAUCAUGAAUUUGAUUUUACAGGAAUGCUGUAUACUCUUACCCUGGAGCAAAAUUGCGGAGUGGUCCAGCAAUCAAAGUUCAGGAUCCGAAAUAACUCUUCAACUGGCUCAGCAUUUUCGUCAAAACUUGAUGGGAUUUGCUCUUUGUGCUGUUCUUGGAUCUAAAAGUUCACGUUACUUGUUUGAUGUCCACUAUCAAUACACCUUUGAAAUUAGCACUCUCUCUGAAAGAAAACAUGUUCGUCGCUCGUGUUUGGGAUAGUUUUCAGAUAACUAAAACAGAUCAUGUCAUGCUUGGAUUUAGUCCAUGCGGGAAUGUUAGGUUUCCUGAUGAUAACCACCAUACAACCGUCUCAUUUGAGUUCCUCUCAAAGUCCAAUGUGGUAUUAUGUUGUGGGUUGUGUCCAGUAUAUGCAAAUCCCGACAAGACCAAACCCAACAACCUUACUCUCAACUUUGCUACCCAAAUUUGGAAAUUGGAUGAUAAGACAAGCACAAGUGGAACUUCUGAUGAAGAGGAAUUUGAAGCGAGUUCUCAUCAAGAGGAAGCGGAACCUAGUCCCUAGAGAAUUUGCAGAGACCAAAUCAACAGAGUCACUUGUUUAUUUAUAUUCCUUUUUGUUCAGUAAGUCCAAUGCUCCAAUUGAUUUCUAUUUCUUUAUCCUGUUUAUUAUUAUUCAUAAUAACCUCUCUCUCUUAAGGGAAAAAAAACAGAGAAAAUCUUACACUUUUCAAAAAUUGUGCUGUACAAAUUCAUAUUUCUUCCAUUCAUUCACACAAAUUUUGAUUACAGAAAUGAAGUUUUGAUGUUAUUUAGUGAAUUACAUUGUUUGAAAAUUUAAGAUUUUCAUCAUUUCAAGCCCUUGCUUUAAUGAACCUCCCUAUUCAUUUAAUGUAUAUUUCAUUAUUAAUUUGCUUUCUUAUUUUGGAUUUAUUUAUUUGCAUUAAAGAAUUUUUUUUUUUUUGGCUAAAACUGAAUGUAAUAAGUUGUGGUUUUAAUUAAUUCGGAUUUUUCUUUUGAAUCUCAUGUUUUAAUCCUCCAUUGUUGUUUUCCUUAGUAAGAGUAGGCAAAAAAUAAUCCUUCGGGCUAGACACCCUUUUACGUCAUAUAUAAGCAUUGAGGUGUAAUGUUCUGUUUGGUUAAUGCAAUUUUCAGCGCAAGUAUAUUAAUGAUGUUCUUUUGCAAUUUAUACAUCAAGGUCCCGGCAUUAUAACUAAUUUUAGGUUUUGAUGUUUGUGCAUUAUCUUUUUAUUUACUGUCCUUAAUUAACUAAUAGUGUCAAACUACAAACAUUUAGAAAAUACACUAAUUUGAAUACAUUUUCUUGGUCAGUGCCCAGCUUCAAAUGUAUAACCACCGAGGCAUUCUGUUAUUGCUCACUCCUAAGGCCUAGAAUCUGGUAGUUUUUGGUGGCUUGUCAGCAUGUUGGGUGUGUAUUUAUACACUAUGAGAGCCGUUAGCGGCACGGAUGAGCUUCAAUAGCUUCACAUAAGUAUGAAGAGCAGAAAAUCGAGACAGAUUUUUUGCGUCAAGCAAUCUAUUGAAGGCUUUGUCUUCUGUUCCUUGGUGUGUGAACAUGUCAUUUUGGCAGCUCAGCAAAAUCCUGUUUUAACUUUGUAUAAUUAAGCUGGUGGUUAGAGGGGGCAACACAGUAAUUCUCAUCCAGAUUUUCUUGGCCAUUUUGAGAGUUCUUUCUAGAUUCAAAUUCCUUGACGGAGCAUCAUGAUCUUCACACAGUAAUCUUGAGUGAAGAUCAUGAUGCUUUCCAGGUUGAAAUAAGGCCGUCUCUGAUAUGCUGCCCCUGCGAAUGUCAGUUCGUAUUGAACCAAGUAAAUCCUCUGUUUUGUUUUUGCUGUAUGUCUUUGAUUCUGAUUUCCAGUUGUCUUGUUAGUUCUUGAUUCAAUGCAUCCAAUGAAUCUAGUAUACUAGUCAGUAGAAAUAGAAAACCAAAAGUCUGGACAAAUUGAGAUAUUCAAGAUUUAUGACAAUGCAAUCAGAAAUUCAAACCUUUUAACUCCAAUUCAUGUGAAAAAGAAAACUCUACCUUCUAAUGCAGUUGAGAUUUGUGUGUAUAUGCUAUAGUUUAUACCUCUGUUUGAUUCGAGAGUGAAUUAGCUAAGAGAUUUUUCAAAUGCAUAAACAAGGAAAGAUGCUCCAAGAUUGAAACAGAAAGCAUAUAAAUACUUACCUGAACAAGGACAAGGUCCCAGGAAAAUUAUUGAAUAAUGACUCAGAGUUUGUAUGUGUUCUUUAUCAUUGCUGUAAUUACACUGUAGAAAUUAUUUCAUAAUUGCUAAUCCGAGGAGCAGUGAGACGCUGCUGUGAUUUCAUCACAAGUUCUGAGAAAGGUCAGGUCCAUUCACUCUCAUUAGCUUCUCCAUUUUAUUUGAAUUAAAUAGUUUCCAUAUCUGUCAUUGGCAAACAAGAUGAAUAUUCUGGCUGAUUCACAACUUAGAAUUCAGCAUAUGGCAGUUGUAUCACCGACACUAUCUCUGAGAAAUUGGGAAACUUAAAAUCCUUGGAGUGUCUCUUUGCUAAGAGAUUGGCCAUUAGUAAACUACCAUCGUCUAUUGCAUAUUUAAAUGAAGUUAUAAAGCUUUCAUUUCGUGGAUGCAGAGGUUUGGUAUUGCCUCCAAUAAUGUCAGGUUUAUCUUCGCUUCAAGUAUGGAUCUCACUUAAGUGACUGUGAUGUCAUGGAAAUCCCUGAAGAUAUUGGGCGUGUAACUGGGAAUGACUUUGGUAGUUUCCCUGCAAGUAUUAAGCAACUUUCACGGCUGAGAGAACUUUACUUGAGCAAUUGCAGAAUGUUUCAUUCUUUGCCAGAGCUUCCUUUAUGUGUGCAAUUGUUAGAUACAAAGUCAUUGUGAGCGGCUCCAAUCAUUGCCAGAGCUUCCAUCAUGUCUAGAAGAACUACCUAUAUCCAUACUUGAAACGACAUCCAAACACUCUCUUGGAAGUGCACCCUUCCAGAUUUUAGCAGAUCCACGUAUGGAGCCAAUAUUUACUGAUUGCCUGAAGCCGAAUGAAAAAUUCAGCAAUAUUUUGGCAGAUUUACGACUAAUAACUCUGCAUAUGGCAAUUGCAUCACUGAGAUAAUUCUAUGAAAAGGUACGCAAUUAUUUUUCUCUUUUCGUCUUCUUGUCAAAAUCUGAAAUCAUGGUUUUUAUGUUAUAGGAAUUUAGGAAACUACAUGGAAUCAACAUUUGUUUACCUGGUAGUCGAAUUCCUGAGUGGUUCAGCAGUCAUGGUUCAGGAUCUUCAAUAACUAUGCAGCUGUUUCAACUUUGCUGCAGCACAAACCUAAUCGGAUUUGCUGUUUGUGCUGUGAUUGAAUAUGAGGAUGAUUUCCUUAAUGGUGGUGGAUAUUUCAUUGAAUGUAAUUUAAUUUAUUUUCUAAUCAGUUGAAUGGUUAAGUUAAAUAUACAAUUUCUUCCAAAAAAGUAUAUAUAUAAUCUAGUCUAAUUCAUCCAAUAUUAUUUUGUGCAGUUCAAUCCGGUCCAGUUUUUUUUCUAAUAUGGAGAGACAUGGCAUUUAUAUAUCUGUUAUAAUAAUUUUUCAAGGUGCAUUUUAACUUAAAAUUGUAUUAUUAAAUGCUGAGUUAGGUUUCAUUAAGGAUUCCGUGCUUUAGUUAAAGUGCAAGAUCUAAUUAGAGUGCAGGAUCUAAUAUCAUAAUGAGUAAUUGGAUUCUUUUUUUUUUUUUGAGUUUUAAAAUCUACGAUGGAGCCUAACUCACUAAAUGCUUUACUAAAGAUUGCAUAAUUUGUUGCUGAUGACCGAAAGAUUUCUGCAUGGGUCUGUUUUUUAACUGGCAAUUGGCGAAGAUGGGUUAGUUUGGAGGAUUAAGCAUAAUGCAGAAUAUGAGCAUUGGAGGCUUUUGAAAAGUUUGAAGAACAGAAAACUGGGCAAGACUCAUUGCACAAGCAAGUCUCAUGUUCUUUAGUGCGAAAAUGCAAGAAUCAAGCUGUUAUUUUGGCAGCUCAGUCUCAGCAAAGUGCUGUUGACUAGAGGGGGAACAAUUGUGAUUUCCAUCAGGUUUUCUUGGUUAUUUUAAAGAGUUUUUUUUUUAAGAUUCCCUGUAUUCUGGAGACUAAACAGUCACUGUUUCCAGACUGAGAUAAAUCUAUUUCUUAUCUGUUGCUCCUCUGAAUGUACACACCGCGCUCAACUAACUAAAUCCUCUGUUUUGUUUUGUUCUUGUUGAAUGUAUUUUUUAUUUUUUAUUUGAAGUUAUCUUGUGAGUGCUUGAUUAAAUUAUCAAUUAUUUGUUAUUCAUCGAGUCCAAAAUCACAACAAACAUUGUAGGGAAAUUUUAAUUAAGAAAUAACAACAUUAUUUUCUCACCAAAAUAGCAAUUUUUAUAUAUACUGUGGAUGCUAUUAACUGACACACUUGCAAACAUUAACUCUGUAUUUUAUCAAUUUUAUCUAAUAAAUUAUAGUUAAAUAUGUACCCUAUAUUAAAAUUUAAAUUACUAUGCAAAUAUUUCAUUUCAUUGAAUUUAAUUUAUUUUUUAAUCAAUUGAUUGCUUAAGUCAAAUAUAUAAUUUUUUUCACUAAAUAUAUAAUUUUUUUUAAAGUGCAGAAAUUCUUAUUUUUUUUUAGUGGGACUCACUUUUAAACUUUACAGUUUAAAAAAAAUUAUUUUUAAUAAAUUCUAAAACCAUGUGAUUUAAGGGACUUAUCAAAUUAUUCCCUUAAAUCUCACAAUUUAAAAAUAUGUCCUCGUGAAAAAAAAAAAAAAAAAAAAAAAAAAAAAAGACAUAUGCACUAAGAAGGAUCAUAAAUACAAACGCAAAUCCAAUGUUAUUUCAAGCAGUUCAAUCCGGUCCAUUUUUUUCUAAUAUGGAGAGACAUGGCGUUUAUACAUCUGUUAUAAUAAUUUUGCAUGGUGCAUUUUAAGUUACAAUUGUAUAAUUAAAUGUUGAGCUAGGUUUUAUUAAGAGAUUCCGUGCUUUAGUUAGAGUGCGGGAUCUUAAUAUCAUUUUGCGCAAUUGGAUACUUUUUUUUAGUUUUUUUUUUAAUCUACAAUGGAACCUAACUCAUUAAAUGCUUCGCUAAAGAUUGUAAAAUUUGUUGCUGAUUACUGAAAGAUUUCUGCAUGGGUCUGUUUUUUUACUGGCAAUUGGCAAAGAUGAUCUUAAUAUGAGCACUUGAGCAGUGGGUACUUCUUUUAAUUUUAAAAUCUACAAUGGAACUUAGCUCAUUAAAUGCUUUUACUGGCAAUUGGCAAAGAUGGAUAAGUUUGGAGGAUUAAGCACAAUGGAUCCAUGCCGGAGAUAUAAAAUUAGAGCUGCCGUGGUUUGUAGGUUUUCAAUUAAUUUUAUUUGAUGUGUCACUUUUAGCAGCUGACCAGAGGUAGUAGUUGUUCUAAAGAUUGUAUGAUCUAAGUGUUCGAGAAAAUGACUCAAAGAAAUAUAAGAAAUCAUGAGAAAAUCUUCACAUCAAUGUUAGAAGAAAAAAGGAGAUACUUGAGUGUUUUCAUAAUUGUUGCUCAAAGUCGUGCAAGCACGUAUUUUGUUAUUCAACUUCUAGAUGGUCAUUGGCGUAAAGUCAGAGCUUCUUGAGAUUUAUGCUUUUGAAUUAUUUUAUUUAUUUAUUUUUAUACCUUAGUAGAGGAAACACGAAGGAAAAGUGACAGAAAGUCAAUUAUCUACUCUCAAGAACCUCUGCUGCUUCGGUAACAAAGUUUUGAAGAUCUCAUUUAUGGCUGCAUCUUCAUCUUGCCUUGCUGCUCAAUGCAAGUAUGAUGUUUUCGUCAGUUUCAGAGGGGAGGAUACCCGUGAUAACUUUACUAGCCAUCUUGUUGCCGCUUUGUGUCGGAAAAAAAUAAAAACAUUCAUUGAUGAACAACUUGACAGAGGAGACGAGAUUUCACCCGCCCUUUUGGAUGCAAUUGAAAGAUCAAAGAUUUCGGUAAUCAUCUUUUCAGAAAACUAUGCUUCUUCAAAAUGGUGCCUGGAUGAACUUGUCAAGAUUCUUGAAUGCAAGAAUAAAAAUGCUCAAAUGGUAGUACCAGUUUUCUACCAUGUAGAUCCCUCGGAUGUGCGGAAGCAAACUGGAAGUUUCGGUGAUGCAUUUGUUAAGCAUGAAAAACAAUUCAAGGGGAUACCGGAAAAGGUUCAGAAAUGGAGGGUUGUGUUGACAGAAGCAUCAAAUCUAUCUGGAUGGGACUCCAUGAAUAUCAGGUAUUUCAUAACUAAUUCAUGCUUCAGAGAUUAUUAGAUAAAAAGAGGAAAAAAUUCACCCUUUCUGUCUUCUAUCAAAAUUGGGAAAACAUAUGUUUCACUUUUUCUAAUUCUAAUUUCGUCCAUACCAUUUUCACUCACUCUUGUUCGUUUUAACACCUAUACUAGGCCAGAGGCGAAACUUGUAGAUGAAAUUAUCGAAGAUAUUUUGAAGAAGUUAAAAGAUAAGUCUUUCUCAAGUGAUUUUGAAGGCUUAGUUGGAAUAUAUUCAAGAAUUGAACAAAUUAAAUCAUUGCUAUGUGUUGGAUUGCCGGAUUUUCAAAUUAUAGGAAUUUGGGGCAUGGGCGGUAUAGGUAAAACCACCAUUGCUGGAGCUAUUUUCAACCAGAUUUCCAAUGACUUUGAAGGUAGGUGCUUCAUGGCAAACGUUAGAGAAGAAUCAGAAAGGGGUGGAUUAGUUUAUCUACGAGAGCGACUUUAUUCAGAAAUAUUGGAGGAAACUCUAAAAAUAAGAACGCCUAGUGUUCCUAAAUGCAUUAAGGAAAGGCUCCAGCAAAUGAAGGUUUUUGUGGUUCUCGAUGAUGUAAAUAAACCCGAACAAUUAGAUUAUUUAGCUGGUGGACUUGAUCGAUUUGGUCUUGGAAGUAGAGUCGUUGUGACUAGUAGAGAUAGACAAGUUUUUGAUAAAUGCACAGUGGAUAAAAUAUAUGAGGUUGAGGGAUUGAAUCAAAAUGAAGCACUUGAGCACUUUUCAAAUUAUGCUUUUAGACAAAACAUUUGUCCUAAAGAUUUUUUGGUGCUUUCAGAGAGAAUAGUGUUCUAUGCCAAUGGCAAUCCGCUAGCUCUUAAAGUGUUGGGUUCUUUCCUUCAACGGAAGUGCAAACUGCAGUGGGAAAAUGCAUUAAAAAACCUAACACGGAUUUCUGACCCUGAUAUAUAUGACAUGUUGAAAAUUAGUUACAACGAGCUAAAGCAAGAAGAGAAAAGUAUUUUUUUAGACAUAGCUUGUUUCUUUAAAGGAGAUGAUAAAGAUUUUAUGACAAGGAUUCAAGAUGAUCCUGAAUCUGUGCAUUAUGGACUGAAUGUCCUUGUUGAUAAGUCACUCGUAAUGUUAUCAUGUAACAAUAAGCUUCAAAUACAUGAUUUAUUGCAAGAAUUUGGUCGGGAGAUAGUUCGCCAACAGUCUGUAAAAGAGCCAGGCAAACGUAGCAGGCUGUGGUAUUAUGAGGAUGUCUAUCAAGUACUGAAGAAAAAUAAGGUAAAGGAAUCUAUCUAUUUGAUUUUGUUUUCCAUUCUACAGAUUUUGAAUAAAAGGUAAAUGGAUAACUGAUUAGAAUGAGCUCUUUACAAAUCUUAUGAACUUUUGUACAUUUUUUGUUGUCUCAUUCUUUCUUUUUGCUUAUAAGGGGACUGAGUCAAUUGAAGGCAUGUUCCUAGAUGUGUCACAAAUAGAAGACUUGCAUCUUACUUCAAGAGCCUUUGUGAAAAUGCCUAAUCUUAGAUUGCUUAAAUUCUAUGUGCCUGGGCAAAUCACUGGUUCAGAUAUGUGCACUAAAGUCCAUCUUCAACAAGGCCUACAAUAUCUUCCUGAUGAAUUGAGAUAUUUCCACUGGUAUGGGUAUCCUUUGAAAGCAUUACCAUUCGAUUUCAGUCCUGAGAACCUUAUUGAACUUAACUUACCUCACAGUAAAGUUGAGCAAAUCUGGGAAGGGAAAAAGGUAUCACAUGUAUAACACCUAAUGAAUAGGUUUUAUUAUUGCUUUGUUGAAUAUUAACUGUGAAACUCAUUAUGAUUCUAAUUUAUUAUGGUAAUUAUUUAUUUCUUUUUACAGGAAGCUUUCAAGUUAAAAUUUAUUGACCUACAAUACUCUCAGUAUCUCACAACUAUCCCACACCCAUCUGAGACUCCCAAUCUUGAGAGAAUAAAUCUUUGGAAUUGCACAAACUUACCUUACAUUCCUUCUUACAUCCAGCAUUUCAACAACCUUGUUAUGUUGUGCCUCAGUCACUGUGAAAGUUUGAGGUGCUUUCCACAAAACAUUCAUUUUAGAACUCUUAUAGAGAUUGAUUUCUCCUACUGCAUUAAUCUCACGGAGUUUCCUGAGAUUUCGGGGAAUGUAAUAGAGUUAGAUUUAAAAGGAACAGCAAUAGAAGAAAUUCCAUCAUCAAUAGAGUGCCUAACUAAGCUUGAAGAGUUAGACUUGGCAUAUUGCAGAAGGCUAAAGAGUCUUCCAUCUAGCAUUUGUAAAUUGAAAUCUCUUCAUUUGCUCUGUCUUUAUAAUUGCUCAAACUUUGAGAUUUUUCCGGAAAUCUUAGAGAAAAUGGAAUGUUUAGAAUAUAUUGACUUGGAAUCAACUGCUGUCAAAGAGCUGCCAUCUUCAGUUGAACAAUUAAAAGGGCUUAGAGAGUUGAUCUUGGAGGAUUGCUCUGAACUUAGUAAAUUGCCGGAAAACUUGGGAAAUUUAAAAUCUUUGAAGCGACUCUUUGCUAAGAGAUCGGCCAUUAGUAAACUACCAUCCUCUAUUGCAUAUUUAGAUGAAGUUAUAGAGCUUUCAUUUCAUGGAUGUAGAGGUUUGGUUUUGCCUCCAAUAUUAUCAGGUUUAUCUUCUUUAACGAAGCUAGAUUUAAGUGACUGUGAUGUCAUGGAAAUCCCUCAAGACAUUGGCCGUGCAUCCUCGUUGGAAAUCUUAGAUAUCAGUGGGAAUGACUUUGAUAGUUUACCAGCAAGUAUUAAGCAACUUUCACGGCUGAGAGAACUUUACUUGAGCAAUUGCAGUAUGCUUCAGUCAUUGCCAGAGCUUCCUUUACGUGUGAAAUUGUUAGAUGCAAGUAAUUGCAAGCAGCUCCAAUCUUUGCCAGAGCUUCCAUCAUGUCUAGAAGAACUACCUAUAUCCAUACUUGAAAUGACAUCCAAACACUCCCUAGGAAGUACACAAUUCAAGAUUUUAGCUGAUCCAUGUAUGGAGCUAACGUUUACUGAUUGCCUGAAACUGAAUGAAAAAGGCAACAACAUUUUGGCAGAUUUACGACUAAUAAUUCUGCAUAUGGCAAUUGCAUCACUGAGACUAUUCUCUGAAAAGGUAUGCAAGUAUUUUUCUCUUUUCCUCUCCUUUUUAAAAUCUGAAAUCAUGGUUUUUAUGUUAUAGGAAUUUAAGAAACCACAUGGGAUCAGCAUUUUUUUACCUGGAAGUGGAAUUCCUGACUGGUUCAGCAACCAGGGUUCAGGAUCUUCAAUAACUAUUCAACUGUCUCAACAUUGCUGUAGCACAAACUUAAUCGGAUUUUCUGUUUGUGCUGUGAUUGAAUAUGAGGAUGAUUUCCCUAAUGGUGGUGGAUAUUUCAAUGUUGGAUGUAGCUACUGUUUUGAAAUAACGGCUUUGUCUGAAACCAAACAUGAUGACUUUUGGUAUUUGGGUAAUCAAGUGUCCACUUGCUCAGAUCAUAUCUAUAUUGGAUUUCGUCCUUGUAUCAAUUUUGGGCUACCUGAUGGUAUAUCCGUCUCAUUUCACUUCUUUACUUAUAAUCUCUUCACAAAUAAUGAAAAUGGUCACAAGGUGAAAUCUUGUGGAGUAUGUCCAGUAUAUGCUCAUCCAAAUCAGACCAAACUCAACACUUUUACCAUAAAUAUGCUGCCACCAAGUGAAGAAGAAUGUGAUGAAAUCAGGAAAUGAAGUUAUGAUUUGCACGAUUAAAAUUAGGCCAGACCAGUGAAACUUCUGGAAGACUAGAAGUAUGAGAAUGAGAGCUGUUAGUGGCGCAGGCAAGCUUUGGGGAAGCUAUAGAUAAGUUUGAAGAGCCAAAAACCGAGGCAGAUUCUUGAUGCAAGCAAUCCAUUGAAGGUUUUUUCUUAUGUUCAUUGGUCUAAAAAUGCAGUAAUUAAUUUUUUAUUUUGGACAGCUCUGCAAAUUAAGUACUGUUCUAUCUUCCUGUAAACUGGUGAGUUACUUUGCCAUUCUAGGAGUUCUUUGUUGAUUUAGAUUCUUUGUAAUUUGAGGGUAACCUUGAACAAUUUCCAGAUAGAAAUAAAGCCAUCUCUGAUCUUUUGUCAUUCACCAUGUAAAUCCAGAUUAAACAGUAUGGAACAAUCAUGAGCAAGGACAAGGGAAAAUAUGGAACAGACAUCAUAUGUGACUAUGUGAGUUGAGAGAGAAUUGUUCACAGCAGUCUGGGCAACAACUCGGCAACUUGUUUUGUGGCAGUAGUGAGAGCAUUUUAAGCCAUGAAGAACACAGCACAUGCCGCCUAAAAGUCAUGAGGAAACAGAGCAUCACUUGUAAUAAAAGGCCGCUAAGAGCCAAAAGCGGGGUCCAAUGUCCAUGAAGGCAACUUAUGAGAUCGUAUAAGUUGAUUCGAAGUUGGAAGUGGUGGGAAAAAUCAUGUCAAAAGCACAUCCUGAUUAUUAUUUGUUAUGAUAAAGUUUCUAAAUGUACUUUUUAACUUCCAGUUUUACCAUUUAAAGGUUAUGCUCCAUCAACUUUAAUCUGAAUGCGGAGCCUCUUUCUUUAUGGGUGUGUGCUUUUGAAUUUCUUGAAUAUGAUAAUGGUUUGUGGCUAACUUUUGCACAAAAAGAUUCAAAUGUUAAAACUUGUUGAUUUAACCGAUUUUUGUUGUUAGGUCAAUUCUUGGGCGCGGUCUCGUCAGGGCUGCAAAUGUAGAAAAUAUAUAGUAGAUCCAUCAGUGGUGCGGAAGCAAACCGGAAGUUUUGGGAUGAAAAACACUUUAAAGAAGAUGACACAAAAGGUUCAGAAAUGAACAAACAAAUCGACUCCACCAUGGCAUUAUAUCGGCACAAAAGGUUCUGUCAACAGUGCUUGAUCUUAAUUUAAAUCAACUAAUAAAAACAUGGCCUGACUCAGCAAGUGUUGAUGGCAUGUUCAACAUAUAGUAAAAAUACUCCAGAUGGUAAGGAGAUGAGAUGAGAUCAAGCAAGGAAAUAGGACAAACAAGAGAUAUUGGGCAGUAGCCACUGGAUGAAUUAGCUUGUAGACACAGGAUUAGCUUGACAGCAGUGCAAUGCAUUAAACACGUCUUGCAAAGCAGAGAAAUAGUAUAUGUAUAUAUUAUUAUGUCGUUCCCAGAUUCAUAUUCAAAUUUUAAGAUUUCAUAAUCCAAUCACAUUUCUUAACACACGACAAUUGUUUUGGAAUUGGGUAGCAAAAAGUUGAGCAAUUAUCGACUGACCACCUAUUUUUCAUUAUUUCAAAAAUAUUUUUUUUGUUGAGUUCCACUUAAAGUUAUAUUGUUUUACACAUAUCUACUUCCAUUUGCAAACUGUUAUAACUUUGCUGACGUCAUAAGGGUAAAAUGAUCAUUUCACCUGCGCUCCAAAAAUGACGUCAUUUGGAAUCUAUGAUUAGGAAAAAAAAAAAAAAGGCAUAGUGGUCCAUAGCACAUCAAGUAACGAAAACAGCCAUUGUUUAUUCCCCACCACCAUGCAUGAAAAAGCAACAAAAUCUUGCCAUUUUUCCUGCAAUUUCUUUGCAUUUUCAUCAAUGAACCACACUUAAGUUUUAAAUCUUUUGUUAAUUCGAAGAUUCAGAGGCAUUGAGGAAAAGGGUGAGCUAUUAUGUAACACCCCAAAAAAAUUUACCCAUGAAAGUACAAGGAUAAAAUUGGAAUGAAAGCUCACAUCGAUUAUUCUCAUUAAUGAACCUCAAGAUAGACAAUCAUUAUUCAUACUUCAACUAAAUUCUUACCUAAAACAUCUAAAAUAAAGUCUCCAAAGAAAAGUCUCUAAUACAAAAUAAAAAGUCUAGUCAAAUGUAAUCUUUAAAGCAACUCCAUAGGUCCACUAAAAAAAAUUCUCCAUCUAGAUACCCAAGUCACAUCUCUAAUCAAUCUGUAAAAUAUUGGAGACGCGGGGUAAGUCGUCAAUUUGGUAAGCAAAUCCAUGCACAAUAUUUGAAAACUUUUGUCAUUAUACCUUUAAACAUUUUAUAUCAUCUUAUAAUAACAUCUUCAUUUAGCAUAAGGGAUGGAUUCAUGUAAAAGCAUUAAAAACAUUAAAAUAUCCAUAAAAAUAUUAAAAUAUAAACAUUUGGUAGCUCAUGCAUCGUAAUCAUCAUCAUUCAUCAUUCAUCAUUCAGGGUACUAUACCCCGCAUUUUUCCUCGUUCAGAGUACUAUGCCCCGUAUUGUUCAUAAUAUCAUUGUGCACAAGAUCAUCAUCAUACCAACAAGCUGGCCAUAGCAUUACAUAACAUCAUAACAUCCAUAAUCUUACCUGGGAGCAAAAUUCCAGAGUGGUUCAGCUAUCAAAGUUCAGGAUCUGAGAUAACUCUUCAUCUGCCGCAGCAUUGUUGUCAAAACUUAAUCGGGUUUGCUAUUUGUGCUGUUCUUGUAUCGUUUAAUUCGAAAUGGAAUGGGUUUGACGUCGACUUCGGAUACAGCUUUGAAAUGAGGACCCUCUCUGGAAGGAAACAUGCUCGUCACUGUUGCUUUAAGAUAUUUUGGGAUGGUCGUCAGAUGACUAAAUCAGAUCAUGUCGUGAUUGAUUUAGUCCCAGCUGGAAUGUUAGGUUUCCUUAUGAUAGCCACCACAUGACUGUCUCCUUUGAGUUUCUAUCGGCACUGGACAAGGUGAAAUGUUGUGGGGCGCGUCCAGCAUAUGCGAAUCCAAACGAGACCAAACCCAACACUCUUACUCUCAAUUUUGCCACCGAAAUUUGGAAAUUGGAUGAUAUAGCAAGAACAACUGGAACUUCUGAUGAAGAGAAAUUGGAACCGAGUCCCCAAAGAAUUUGCAGAGACGACCAAAUCAACACUCCUUAACAAAUGAGUGGCUCGUUUUCACACAUUCUUUUUCCUUUGGAUAUGUCCAAAAUGCACCAGUUGAUUUCUACUUCUUUAUCCUUUACAUUAUUAUUCUUAAUAGUAUUUCUCUCUCUGGCUCUCUCAAGAAAAGUGACACAAAACCUUGCACUUGCUGAAAAUUGUAUUAUACAAAUUUGUAUUUGUUCUUCGCUUCAUUCUUUAUUUAAUUCACUCAAAUUUCUAUAAUAGAAAUGAAGUUUCCAUGUUGUUUAGUGAAUUAAAUUGUUUGAACAUUUAAAAUUUUCAUCAUUCCCUGAUUUAAUUUAAAGGACCUCCCUGAUCAUUAUUUAAGGUGUAUCAAUUCCAGUUGUAUCACAUUUUUCAUUUCGCCUUACAAUUACCAUUACUUGCUUAAUAUUAGGAUGAUUAUGUAUAAUACAUUUCUUUUUGCUUUUCUUUCUUGUAUUUAUUUAUUUACAUUAAAGAUGUUUUUGUGUCUUGCUAAAUUUAGUGGUGCGUUUACUUCUCAAAUUAGGGAAUUAAAAUAUGAAACGAAAUGACUGACGGUGUUUACUUGCUAAAGUAGAGGUGGGAAUGAGAAUGAAAUAUGUGGAGCUCAUAUAUUUUUUGGAUUAAAGAAUGUCAACUUGAUUUCUCCCUGAACUCCCAUUUUACCAAACCCAAAUUUUAUAAUUUCACUUUUGCCCUCAAAUAAAAUACUAUUAUUAUAUUGUUAUUGUUAUUGUUAUUAUUCUUAUUUUUGUAAUUGUUGUUGUUAAUAAUAACAAUUAUUAUUAUCAUCAUCAUCAUUAUUAACAAUAAAUUAUUUUGAAUAAUAAUAAUCACAAUUAUUAUAAUAAAUAAUGACAAUAAUCAAUAAGUUCAUUUCAGUAACUUGCAAAAAUCAAUUCCAAUUCUAAAAUAAAGUAAAUAUAUCAAUGGCAAUAUAACUCAUUCUGAUUUUGAUUUAUACAACUAACCUAAAUAACUUAUUUUUAUUCUUUUUUUCCCAAUCCGAUUCCAGCAACGCACCAUAAGUAUAUGAACAGGCUUUUGUUGGGAUUUGAAAUUUUGAUAAUUACUUGCUGGAGAUGAUGACUUCAUAUAAUUGUGGAUGAUUAACUAGUACCAUGUUAAUUUGUAUAUUUUGGUUAUGGAUGAUUACGUCAAAGAAUUUAUUUCAUGGGUUGUAAUUUUAUGGUGCGUUUACUUUAUGGGAAUGAGAAUAUGGUGGAAUGGGAAUGGGCGGGAAUGGGCUGGAAUGAGAAUGAGAUUUCAAUAUUUACUUGGCAAAAAUAAAUGGGAAUGGGAAUGUGUUGGAAUGUCAUUGAUGUAUUUACUUGGCAAAAUAAAUGAGAAUGAGAAUCGAUUUACCAAAAUACCCAUAGUAUUAAUAAUUAAUAAAAAUAAUUAAUUUAUCAUUAUUAACAAUAUUAUCAUUAUUGUUGUUGUUGUUGUUGUUGUUGUUAUUAUUAUUAUUAUUAUUAUUAUUAUUAAAAAUAAUAUUAACAAUAAUUAAUAAUAACUAAAAUAAUAAAGUUAAUAAAAUUUAAUAAUAAUAUUGGCAAAAAUAAAUGGGAAUGAGAAUGUGCUGGAAUGUCAUUGAUGUGUUUACUUGGCAAAAUAAAUGGGAAUGAGAAUCAAUUUACCAAAAUACCCAUAGUAUUAAUAAAUAAUAAAAAUAAUUAAUUUAUCAUUAUUAACAAUAUUAUCAUUAUUGUUGUUGUUGUUGUUGUUAUUAUUAUUAAUAAAAAUAAUAUUAAAAAUAAUUAAUAAUAACUAAAAUAAUAAAGUUAAUAAAAUUUAAUAAUAAUAAUAUUAUUAAAUUUUAUUAACUUUAUUAUUUUAGUUAUUAUUAAUUAUUGUUAUUAUUAUUAUUAUUAUUAUUAUUAUCAUUAUUAACAUUUAUUAUUAUUCUUAUUAUUAUUAUAUUUUAUUAACUUUAUUAUUUUAGUUAUUAUUAAUUACUGUUAAUAUUAUUUUUAUUAAUAUUAUCAUUAUUAACAUUUUAUUAUUAUUAUUAAAUUUUAUUAAAUUUAUUAUUUUAGUUAUUAUUAAUUAUUGUUAUUAUUAUUUUUAUUAAUAUUAUCAUUAUUAACAUUUAUUAUUAUUAUUAUUAGUAUUAUAUUAACUUUAUUAUUUUACUUAUUAUUAAUUACUAUUAAUAUUAUUUUUAUUAAUAUUAUCAUUAUUAACAUUUAUUAUUAUUAUUAUUUUAAUUAAUAUCAUUUUUAUAAUAAUAUUUAUACAUGUAUGUAGAUAAUGAAAAUUACAUUAUUAUUAUUAUUAUUAUUAAAUUUUAUUAACUUUAUUAUUUUAGUUAUUAUUAAUUAUUGUUAUUGUUAUUUUUAUUAAUAAUAAUAUAAUAAUAAUAAUAACAACAAUAAUAAUGAUAAUAUUGUUAAUAAUGAUAAAUUAAUUAUUUUUAUUAAUUAUUAUUUUUAUCAUUAUUUUUAUUGUUAAUAAUGAUAAUAUUAAUAAAAAUAAAAAUAAUUAAUAAUAACUAAAAUAAUAAAGUUAAUAAAAUUUAAUAAUAAUAAUAAUAAUAAUAAUAAUUAUUAUUAUUAUUAUUAAUGACAUUUAAAAUAAUAAAAUUAUUUGUGAUUUGAACAAGGGUAAUUUAGGAAAUAUGAAAAAAUUAGAAGGAUAGAAAAAUAAAUUUAUGUUUCAUCCUAAUUUCCAUAUUUUUAUUCCUAAUCUCCCGGGAAUGAGAUUCUCAUUCUUUAUUCCUAAAUUAUAUGGGACCUACACAAUUUAUUCUCAUUUUUAAAUUUGAUUUUGUGAAGUAAACAUAAUUUUGAUUUACAUUCUUUCAUUUCUAUUUUUUUAUUUUAAGAAGUAAACACACCAUUAAUUAUAUUUAUUAUUUACAGGUAUUUUGAAAGAAUCGUUGGCUUGAAAUUUAAAAAAAUCUAUAUGGAUUAAAUGCCUAAAUCAACCGAACCGAAUUGAACCGGUUUUCAACUUUAGUCAGCCACGAGCGUGUCGCGUGCACCAAUUAAGAUCAAGUCCACGUCAAAUCUCUACUCGUUAUGACAGUUAGUUUGGCGCGCCUGCCUAAGCGGCAAAACCAAUGUUGAUAAGGCUGGCUUAUUUAUGGCCACUUCUUUAUACGUGAGACGGGGUGAGAUUAUUGUAAUACCGAAGAUGGUUUGUUUUGUUGCUCUUUAAUUUAUCUAAAUAUAUGCUGUUUGUUUUUGUGGCCGACUGCGAGCGACUCUUAUAUAUAGAUAUUACUGAUAUUAUAUUAAAUAUUAUAAUUAAUAUUUAUAAUCAUGUUAUAUAAUAUUUAUUCAGAUAUUUUAAAUUUUUUUUAAUAUUCAAAGGGUGCCUACUCUAUUUAUAAUCAUACUAUAUAUAUUUUAAAUUCUCUCUAAUAUUCAAGUGGUGCCUAUUCCAUUUACAAUCAUAUUAUAUAGAUAUUUAUUUAGAUAUUUUAAAUCUUCUUUAAUAUUUAAAGAAUGCUUACUCUACUUAUAUUUUAUAAAUAAGAGACUAACUUCACUUAAUUAUGUUGAUAAUUGAGAUAGUGCUAAAAUUAACCUUCAUAAAACUCUUAUGAAAACUCAAAUUUUUACACUCAAUAUUAUAAGUAUAAAAUUUCUCACGUUGAACCAAAAGCCUAUUGUCAGAGAAAAUGGAGUUAGAAAGUCAAAAUCGGAUAGAUAAUUUGUUAAUAUUUUUUCGUGGUGCGCUUUCAAAUGGUACGUGUAUAAUUAGACCGCCGGUCAUGAAUAAUCUGGAUAUAAAGUCAGAGAUGCUGACAUUUUGCUUUGAACUUUAGCAACCAGCUGAUACUGACUUUUCUGAAAACAGUUGUCAACCAACUGUUUGGUAAAGUGACUGUUUUUAUGUUACGGUAUUCUGAAGAACAUGAUUGAAGAGAUUGAAUCCUCUUUGCAAAGACUGCCUAUUCUCAACAAUUUCUCUUUCUGUGAAAGAGCAUCUUGAAGAAUUUGUUUAUGGCUUCAUUAGUAUCUUCGUGUUCUUCUUGCAUUGCUACUCAAUAUAAAUAUGACGUCUUCCUCAGUUUCAGAGGGGAGGAUACUCGUGAUAACUUCACCAGCCAUCUCUAUGCCGCCUUGUGUCGGAAGAAAGUAGAAACUUUCAUAGAUGAAGAAGAACUUGAGAUAGGAGAUGAGAUUUCGCCUGCCUUGUUGAUGGCAAUCAAUGCAUCAAAGAUUGCAGUAAUCAUUUUCUCAAAGCACUAUGCUUCUUCCAAAUGGUGUCUCAAUGAACUUGUUGAGAUUCUUCAAUCUCAGAAAAUAAAUGGGCAAAUGGUUAUUCCGGUUUUCUACCAUGUAAAUCCAUCCUAUGUGCGGAAGCAGACUGGAAGUUUUGGUGAAGCUUUUGCUGAGCAUGAAAGUCGUUUCAGGGAGAUGCCAGAGAAGGUUCAGAAAUGGAGGGAUGUACUCACAGAAGCUUCCAAUCUAUCUGGCUGGGAUUCCAUGAAUAUCAGGUAACUUAUACUCUUUCAUGUGUCUAUUACUAUUAGUAGAAAAACAAAUAAUUACAGAGGAACUAUUUAUGUGUUAUGAAGAAUGAAAGUAGAAAAACUGAUUUGCUUUUAGCAUUUUUAGUCCUAGUCUAUUUUAUUUGGACUCAUUGUCAGUAAUCUUUUCAACUGGCAGGCCCGAGGCCAAACUUGUUGAUGAAAUUGUCAAAGAUAUAUUGAGGAAAUUGGAACACAUAUCACCCUCAAUUGAUUCUAAAGGCUUAGUUGGAUUAGAUUCACGAAUUGAGCAGAUAAAAUCACUUUUAUGCAUGGGAUUAUCAGAUUUUAGAGUUAUAGGAAUUUGGGGCAUGGGGGGUAUAGGCAAAACAACACUUGCUGGGACUAUUUUCAAUCAAAUUUCAUGUGAAUUUGAGGGUAAGUGUUUUAUGGCAAAUGUAAGAGAAGAAUCAGAAAAAAGUGGUGGAUUAGUACAUUUACGAGAGCAAGUUCUUUCUCAAAUACUGGAAGAAAAUCUUAAAAUAGGAGCUCCCACUAUACCCCUGUACAUUAAGGAGAGACUCAAGCAAACGAAAGUUUUUAUUGUUCUUGAUGAUGUUAAUAGCUUUAGACAAUUAGAAUAUUUAGCCGGGGGGGUUGAUCAAUAUGGUCCAGGAAGUAGAAUAAUUGUAACCACUAGAGAUAAGUAAGUGCUUGAUAAAUUUGGAGUGGACAAUAUAUAUAGUGUUGAUCAUUUCACCCAUGACGAAGCACUUGAGCUCUUUUGUAACCAUGCCUUUAGACAAAAUACUCACCCUCAUGAUCUUAUGGUGCUCUCAACAAGGGUAGUAGAUUAUGCCAAAGGCAAUCCAUUGGCACUUAAAGUGUUGGGUUCCUUCUUCUAUGGAAGGAGAAAAGUAGAUUGGGAAAAUGCAUUGCACAACCUAAAAAGAAUUUCUGACAGAGAUGUAUAUGAAGUGUUGAAAAUCAGUUAUGAUGAAUUAAAUUGGGAAGAGAAGAAUAUAUUUUUAGAUAUAGCGUGUUUUUUCAAAGGGGAGGAUAAAGACUAUGUGACAAGGAUACAAGAUGAUCCUGAUUUUGUGCGUUAUGUAUUGAAUGUCCUCGUUAAUAAGUCACUCAUAACAAUAUCGAGUUACAACAAGCUAGAAAUGCAUGAUUUAUUGGAAGAAAUGGGUCGUGAAAUUGUUCGCUGUGAAUCUGUCAAAGAGCCCGGCAAACGUAGCAGGUUGUGGCAUCAUGAGGAUAUCUAUCAUGUAUUGAAGAAAAAUAAGGUAAGAGCCUAAUCAGUUUGACUUCGUCCUUCAAGACUAUAUACAAUCAAAUUUCCUUUGUUAAGACAAACUCUUUAGAUAGUUUAUGAAGCUCAUGUUGAUUCUAUACUGACUCAUACUUAAUUUUCUUUGAUUUUCAGGGAACUGAUUCAAUUGAAGGCAUAUUCCUAGACAUGUCAAAAAUAAGAGAGAUACAUCUUAGUUCUCGAGCCUUUGCGUGUAUGACUAAUCUUAGAAUGCUCAAGUUCUAUGUGCCCAAGCUUUCCAAACUUUCAGAUGUAAAAGUGCAUCUUCACAAUGGUUUAGACUAUCUUUCUGAUGAGUUGAGAUAUCUCCAUUGGCAUGGAUAUCCUUUGAAAACAUUGCCGUCGAAUUUUAGUCCGGAGAAUCUUAUUGAACUUAAUCUACCUUAUAGUAAGGUUGAACAAAUGUGGGAAGGAAAAAAGGUAUGAUGUCAUACAUAAAAUUUAUUGUUCUCUAUGGAAUUAUAAAACUUAUGAUAGUAAAUCACUGUAGUAUUUGAUUUUUUUUACAGGAGUCUUUCAAGUUAAAAUGGAUUGAUCUUCAUCACUGCCAAUACCUGAUUAGAUUCCCGGACCCCUUAGAAACCCCAAAUCUUGAGAGGAUAUGCCUUUCGGACUGCAUAGACUUGCCUUGCAUUCCCUCAUCCAUCGAGAAUUUCAACAACCUUAGUAUCUUAUGUUUGCAGGGUUGUGAGAGUCUUAGGCGAUUUCCAAGCAACAUUCAUUUCAGAUCUCCCAUUACUCUUGAUUUUUCAGAUUGUCUUAACCUCACAGAGUUCCCACAGUUUUCUGGGAAUAUAAAGCAGCUAUAUUUAUGUGGGACAGCAAUAGAAGAAGUUCCUUCAUCAGUUGAGUGCCUAACUGAGCUUGCUGAGCUAUACAUGAGGCAAUGUACAAGGCUGAAAAGUAUAUCAUCUAGGAUUUGUAAAUUGAAAUCUCUUCAUUUGCUUAGCCUCGACGACUGCUGUAGACUUGAGAGAUUCCCGGAAAUCACGGAGACAAUGGAAUGUCUAGAAUAUUUUUCCUUGGCUUCAACAACAAUUCAGGAGCAGCCAUCUUCAAUUGAAGGCAGGAUUCUACCAUCCUCCAUUGCAAAUUGGAGUUAUGGAUGUAGAGGUUUGAUAUUACCUCCUUUACCAGGUUUAUCCUCUUUAACAUGGCUGAACUUAAGCUUUCGUAAUAUAACAGAAAUCCCUAAGGAUAUUGGGUGUCUAUCCUCAUUGCGAACUUUAGAUCUAAGGGGAAACAAUUUUGCGAGUUUGCCUGCAAGUAUCAAGCAGUUUACACAGAUGGAAGAACUUAAUCCUGAGCAAUUGUAAUUUGCUUCAGUCAUUACCAGAGCUUCCACCAAGUCUAAUAUUGUUAGAAGCAAGGAAUUGCAAGCAGCUCCAGUCUUUACCGGAGCUUUCAUCAUAUUUAGAAGAAUUGGAUGCAUCCAAGCUGGAAACACUGUCUGAGUACUCCGAUGUCUUUGCACAGCCCAGAAUAACGUUCACAUUUACAAAUUGCCUUAAAUUGAACCGAAAAGCAUACAACAUUUUGGCAGAUUCAGAGCUAAGAAUGCAACAUAUGGCAACAGCGUCACUAAGACUAUUCUAUGAAAAGGUAACAUUCUCUCUCACUACCGUCUCUCUAUCACUCUAGAAAUACUUAUUUUCAUGUUGCAGGUAUUUGAUGUACCUCCUCAAUUCAGCAUUUGUUUACCUGGAAACGGAAUUCCUGACUGGUUCAGCUAUCAAAGUUUAGGAACUCAAUAACUAUUCAACUGCCUCAGUGUAAUAGAAGAUUUAUAGGAUUAGCUCUUUCUGUUGUUAUUGAAUUUUGAGGAAGUCUUUUAUGGCGGAUACAGUUUUGGAGUCAGAUGUGAGUACCAAUUUGAACUGAGACACUUUCUGGAAACAAAAGGGCAAUUGGGUUUGCUAUUUGACUUCUGCCAGUGACUAUAAGGUUGAGGACUUGUUAAUUUACUCAAAUCACGUCUUACUUGGAUUUGAUCCUUGUUUGAAUAUUCAGCUACCAGACGGUGACCUCCAUGCAACUGCCACAUUUCACUUCUCUCUUCUCUGUGAUGACUGCAUCACAGAGAACAGAAUUGGUUGCAAGGUCAAAUGUAUUGGGGUGUGUCCACUAACUGCAAACACCAAUGAGACCAAAUCCAAAAUUUUUACAGAGAAUUCUGCUACCUCCAGUGAAGAGGAAUGCACUAAAAUAAGGAAAUUCCACAAUGUCAGUGACUAUCAUAAGGUCCAUGAUUGGGCCAGCGCCAAGGGAAAGUACUGGGAUUAUUUUGCAUAUCUGGAGAGGAGAAAUUGGAGCCAAAUCUGAGAGAAUUUGCAGAGAAAAAGACAAACCUAAUUCUAUUUUCUCAUGUAAGUCCAACGCUAUUUCUCCAGUUUUUAUGUUUUGAUUUGUUUUAUAAAUCUAUAAUUUUCUAUUGAACGUUUAAUCCUAAAUUGUGUUAUAUAUGCACAAUUGUGUUUAGUAUUUAUAUAUCAUUUUCUGUGUCUUAUUACUGAUUCAAAUUAUGUUUUUGCAUUUUCAUUGUAAAACUAAUUAUUUUUGAAAAAUUGUACAUUUGUACUCCGCUUUCAAGGUGCAAAACUUUUUAUUUUGGUUUAGGCUUUGAAAGCUUACAAAUAGAGCAUAUUUGCUCUUUCUUUAACAUGCAAUUUAUUUCAUAGGAAUGAUGCGUUUAUGUCAUUUGGUAAAUGCAGAUGUGUAGAAUUUGUAAGCCUGCAUUGAGGAAACAAUCUUAAUCAUUUUUGUGAGGUGCAUCCAUUUUGAAACUCCAGGUAUCUCAUUUAUCAUUCCUUUUUCCUCCUUUAAUUUCCAUAACUUGUGUAAUAUCUAAGUGAUAUUCCUGACUUCUGCAUGUUUUUCGAUGCAGUUGGGACUGUAUGUCAACGUCAUUUUCAAUCUGAUUCCUGAGAAGAUAUAAGAGAAAAGGGCAACAAAGAAAGCAAAAGUCGGCUCCUAUGUACGUUAGUUAGCAUAUGAUUUGAUUCUCUGUUUGAUUAUCCUGCGAUUUUAGUUGCUAUAAAGAGAAUUGAAUUGAAUGUGCCAACAAUAUGCUAAUGGAGAAGCAUUCAAAUAGCCAUGAAGUUGGAAAUUAGUGGUGUGAGUGCAGUUUCCUAUCUCUAUGUUUUGUAUGACUUUUGCAAAUGUGAAUGAACAUUAUCAUUUACGUCUAUUCAUCAAUCGACACAACCUAAAAUUUUCUAAUUUUGGUUAUUAUCAUACCAAUGCAGAUAGAAAGUGUGUGCCAAGGAGCUGCAUUAAUAAAACUUUAGAAAGUCAGCGGACAAAAUAACUGCAUUGAUACAAUAGACUCAAAAUUGCAUUCUGAUGAAAGGAGUUUCAUUUUAAAUUUAAAAAACAAAAUGAAUGUUCUUGCGGCGUAUGCUUCCUACACCAGACAAAACAAACGGGUUUUUUUUUUAAAUAUACCCCAUUUGUCCUUAAAUGCCGAAUCUAUACCCCAUUACAUACAUAUACCUCCUAAAAGUGUAAAAAGUAAAAAUAACCUAAAAAAAUCAUCUAUUUACGUUUACUUCCUCUCUCAUGACUUCUACAUAAUAACACAACCAAAGUCGAGUAUACUCGACUUUUUACCUGACUUAAUUAAAAGGAAAAUUUCCAUUUCAAUUUAAGUCGAGUAUUCUCAACCAAUUACCGAACUUUAAUGAAAAGUCAAGAAUUUUUGCUGAAUGAAUUUGGGUAAGGUUAAAUUAAAGUCGGAUAUUCUCGACUCUUUACUCGACUUACUUGAAAAAAUCGAGAAUUUUUCAGAUAAUUUUUUAUUUCAAUUGAAGUCGAGUAUUCUCGACUAUUUACCCGACUAAUAUAAAAAAGUCGAGAAUUUAUGCUGAAUUACUAAUUGUGUAUGAUUUGGUUGAAGUCGAGUAUUCUCGACCAUUUAUCCGACUUUGAGGAGUUGGGUUUAGUUUUAUGAGAAUUUAGUUGUGGUUAUUUUGUACUUUCUCUAGUUUUUUAGAGUAUAUAUGUGUAAAAUUUAAGAGUGAUAUAACGUUAGGUAUAUAUUGGGUAUUUUGAAGGGAAUGGGGUACAUCCCACACAAUUCUCCCCAAAACAAACAGGCUCCCUGCAAGCAAUACCAACACUUUACUUCUAGGCCGGUCAAUUGAAGCCGGACANUUGGAACCGAGUCCCAAAAGAAUUUGCAGAGACGACCAAAUCAACACUCCUUAACAAAUGAGUGGCUCGUUUUCACACAUUCUUUUUCCUUUGGAUAUGUCCAAAAUGCACCAGUUGAUUUCUACUUCUUUAUCCUUUACAUUAUUAUUCUUAAUAGUAUUUCUCUCUCUGGCUCUCUCAAGAAAAGUGACACAAAACUUGCACUUGCUGAAAAUUGUAUUAUACAAAUUUGUAUUUGUUCUUCGCUUCAUUCUUUUAUUUAAUUCACUCAAAUUUCUAUAAUAGAAAUGAAGUUUCCAUGUUGUUUAGUGAAUUAAAUUGUUUGAACAUUUAAAAUUUUCAUCAUUCCCUGAUUUAAUUUAAAGGACCUCCCUGAUCAUUAUUUAAGGUGUAUCAAUUCCAGUUGUAUCACAUUUUUCAUUUCGCCUUACAAUUACCAUUACUUGCUUAAUAUUAGGAUGAUUAUGUAUAAUACAUUUCUUUUUGCUUUUCUUUCUUGUAUUUUUUUUUACAUUAAAGAUGUUUUUGUGUCUUGCUAAAUUUAGUGGUGCGUUUACUUCUCAAAUUAGGGAAUUAAAAUAUGAAACGAAAUGACUGACGGUGUUUACUUGCUAAAGUAGAGGUGGGAAUGAGAAUGAAAUAUGUGGAGCUCAUAUAUUUUUUGGAUUAAAGAAUGUCAACUUGAUUUCUCCCUGAACUCCCAUUUUACCAAACCCAAAUUUUAUAAUUUCACUUUUGCCCUCAAAUAAAAUACUAUUAUAUAUUGUUAUUGUUAUUGUUAUUAUUCUUAUUUUGUAAUUGUUGUUGUUAAUAAUAACAAUUAUUAUUAUCAUCAUCAUCAUUAUUAACAAUAAAUUAUUUUGAAUAAUAAUAAUCACAAUUAUUAUAAUAAAUAAUGACAAUAAUCAAUAAGUUCAUUUCAGUAACUUGCAAAAAUCAAUUCCAAUUCUAAAAUAAAGUAAAUAUAUCAAUGGCAAUAUAACUCAUUCUGAUUUUGAUUUAUACAACUAACCUAAAUAACUUAUUUUUAUUCUUUUUUCCCAAUCCGAUUCCAGCAACGCACCAUAAGUAUAUGAAGGCUUUUGUUGGGAUUUGAAAUUUUGAUAAUUACUUGCUGGAGAUGAUGACUUCAUAUAAUUGUGGAUGAUUAACUAGUACCAUGUAAUGUUGUAUAUUUUGGUUAUGAAUGAUUACGUCAAAGAAUUUAUUUCAUGGGUUGUAAUUUUAUGGUGCGUUUACUUUAUGGGAAUGAGAAUAUGGUGGAAUGGGAAUGGGAGGGAAUGGGCUGGAAUGAGAAUGAGAUUUCAAUAUUUACUUGGCAAAAAUAAAUGGGAAUGGGAAUGUGUUGGAAUGUCAUUGAUGUAUUUACUUGGCAAAAUAAAUGAGAAUGAGAAUCGAUUUACCAAAAUACCCAUAGUAUUAAUAAUUAAUAAAAAUAAUUAAUUUAUCAUUAUUAACAAUAUUAUCAUUAUUGUUGUUGUUUGUUGUUGUUGUUAUUAUUAUUAUUAUUAUUAUUAUUAUUAAAAAUAAUAUUAACAAUAAUUAAUAAUAACUAAAAUAAUAAAGUUAAUAAAAUUUAAUAAUAAUAUUGGCAAAAAUAAAUGGGAAUGAGAAUGUGCUGGAAUGUCAUUGAUGUGUUUACUUGGCAAAAUAAAUGGGAAUGAGAAUCAAUUUACCAAAAUACCAUAGUAUUAAAUAAUAAAAAUAAUUAAUUUAUCAUUAUUAACAAUAUUCAUUAUUGUUGUUGUUGUUGUUGUUGUUGUUAUUAUUAAUAAAAAUAAUAUUAAAAAUAAUUAAUAAUAAAAUAAUAAAGUUAAUAAAAUUUAAUAAUAAUAAUAUUAUUAAAUUUUAUAACUUUAUUAUUUUAGUUAUUAUUAAUUAUUAUUAUUAUUAUUAUUAAUUAUUAUCAUUAUUAACAUUUAUUAUUAUUCUUAUUAUUAUUAUAUUUAUUAACUUUAUUAUUUUAGUUAUUAUUAAUUACUGUUAAUAUUAUUUUUAUUAAUAUUAUCAUUAUUAACAUUUUAUUAUUAUUAUUAAAUUUUAUUAAAUUUAUUAUUUUAGUUAUUAUUAAUUAUUGUUAUUAUUAUUUUUAUUAAUAUUAUCAUUAUUAACAUUUAUUAUUAUUAUUAUUAGUAUUAUAUUAACUUUAUUAUUUUACUUAUUAUUAAUUACUAUUAAUAUUAUUUUUAUUAAUAUUAUCAUUAUUAACAUUUAUUAUUAUUAUUAUUUUAAUUAAUAUCAUUUUUAUAAUAAUAUUUAUACAUGUAUGUAGAUAAUGAAAAUUACAUUAUUAUUAUUAUUAUUAAAUUUUAUUAACUUUAUUAUUUUAGUUAUUAUUAAUUAUUGUUAUUUUAUUUUUAUUAAUAAUAAUAUAAUAAUAAUAAUAACAACAAUAAUAAUGAUAAUAUUGUUAAUAAUGAUAAAUUAAUUAUUUUUAUUAAUUAUUAUUUUUAUCAUUAUUUUUAUUGUUAAUAAUGAUAAUAUUAAUAAAAUAAAAAUAAUUAUAAUAACUAAAAUAAUAAAGUUAAUAAAAUUUAAUAAUAAUAAUAAUAAUAAAUAUUAAUUAUUAUUAUAUAAUGACAUUUAAAAUAAUAAAAUUAUUGUGAUUUGAACAAGGGUAAUUUAGGAAAUAUGAAAAAAUUAGAAGGAAUAGAAAAAUAAAUUUAUUUUCAUCCUAAUUUCCAUAUUUUUAUUCCUAAUCUCCCGGGAAUGAGAUUCUCAUUCUUUAUUCCUAAAUUAUAUGGGACCUACACAAUUAUUCUCAUUUUUAAAUUUGAUUUUGUGAAGUAAACAUAAUUUUGAUUUACAUUCUUUCAUUUCUAUUUUUUUAUUUUAAGAAGUAAACACACCAUUAAUUAUAUUUAUUAUUUACAGGUAUUUUGAAAGAAUCGUUGGCUGAAAUUUAAAAAAAUCUAUAUGGAUUAAAUGCCUAAAUCAACCGAACCGAAUUGAACGGUUUUCAACUUUAGUCAGCCACGAGCGUGUCGCGUGCACCAAUUAAGAUCAAGUCCACGUCAAAUCUCUACUCGUUAUGACAGUUAGUUUGGCGCGCCUGCCUAAGCGGCAAAACCAAUGUUGAUAAGGCUGGCUUAUUUAUGGCCACUUCUUUAUACGUGAGACGGGGUGAGAUUAUUGUAAUACCGAAGAUGGUUUGUUUUGUUGCUCUUUAAAUUUAUCUAAAUAUAUGCUGUUUGUUUUUGUGGCCGACUGCGAGCGACUCUUAUAUAUAGAUAUUACUGAUAUUAUAUUAAAUAUUAUAAUUAAUAUUUAUAAUCAUGUUAUAUAAUAUUAUUCAGAUAUUUUAAAUUUUUUUUAAUAUUCAAAGGGUGCCUACUCUAUUUAUAAUCAUACUAUAUAUAUUUUAAAUUCUCUCUAAUAUUCAAGUGGUGCCUAUUCCAUUUACAAUCAUAUUAUAUAGAUAUUUAUUUAGAUAUUUUUAAAUCUUCUUUAAUAUUUAAAGAAUGCUUACUCUACUUAUAUUUUAUAAAUAAGAGACUAACUUCACUUAAUUAUGUUGAUAAUUGAGAUAGUGCUAAAAUUAACCUUCAUAAAACUCUUAUGAAAACUCAAAUUUUUACACUCAAUAUUAUAAGUAUAAAAUUUCUCACGUUGAACCAAAAGCCUAUUGUCAGAGAAAAUGGAGUUAGAAAGUCAAAAUCGGAUAGAUAAUUUGUUAAUAUUUUUUCGUGGUGCGCUUUCAAAUGGUACGUGUAUAAUUAGACCGCCGGUCAUGAAUAAUCUGGAUAUAAAGUCAGAGAUGCUGACAUUUUGCUUUGAACUUUAGCACCAGCUGAUACUGACUUUUCUGAAAACAGUUGUCAACCAACUGUUUGGUAAAGUGACUGUUUUUAUGUUACGGUAUUCUGAAGAACAUGAUUGAAGAGAUUGAAUCCUCUUUGCAAAGACUGCCUAUUCUCAACAAUUUCUCUUUCUGUGAAAGAGCAUCUUGAAGAAUUUGUUUAUGGCUUCAUUAGUAUCUUCGUGUUCUUCUUGCAUUGCUACUCAAUAUAAAUAUGACGUCUUCCUCAGUUUCAGAGGGGAGGAUACUCGUGAUAACUUCACCAGCCAUCUCUAUGCCGCCUUGUGUCGGAAGAAAGUAGAAACUUUCAUAGAUGAAGAAGAACUUGAGAUAGGAGAUGAGAUUUCGCCUGCCUUGUUGAUGGCAAUCAAUGCAUCAAAGAUUGCAGUAAUCAUUUUCUCAAAGCACUAUGCUUCUUCCAAAUGGUGUCUCAAUGAACUUGUUGAGAUUCUUCAAUCUCAGAAAAUAAAUGGGCAAAUGGUUAUUCCGGUUUUCUACCAUGUAAAUCCAUCCUAUGUGCGGAAGCAGACUGGAAGUUUUGGUGAAGCUUUUGCUGAGCAUGAAAGUCGUUUCAGGGAGAUGCCAGAGAAGGUUCAGAAAUGGAGGGAUGUACUCACAGAAGCUUCCAAUCUAUCUGGCUGGGAUUCCAUGAAUAUCAGGUAACUUAUACUCUUUCAUGUGUCUAUUACUAUUAGUAGAAAAACAAAUAAUUACAGAGGAACUAUUUAUGUGUUAUGAAGAAUGAAAGUAGAAAAACUGAUUUGCUUUUAGCAUUUUUAGUCCUAGUCUAUUUUAUUUGGACUCAUUGUCAGUAAUCUUUUCAACUGGCAGGCCCGAGGCCAAACUUGUUGAUGAAAUUGUCAAAGAUAUAUUGAGGAAAUUGGAACACAUAUCACCCUCAAUUGAUUCUAAAGGCUUAGUUGGAUUAGAUUCACGAAUUGAGCAGAUAAAAUCACUUUUAUGCAUGGGAUUAUCAGAUUUUAGAGUUAUAGGAAUUUGGGGCAUGGGGGGUAUAGGCAAAACAACACUUGCUGGGACUAUUUUCAAUCAAAUUUCAUGUGAAUUUGAGGGUAAGUGUUUUAUGGCAAAUGUAAGAGAAGAAUCAGAAAAAAGUGGUGGAUUAGUACAUUUACGAGAGCAAGUUCUUUCUCAAAUACUGGAAGAAAAUCUUAAAAUAGGAGCUCCCACUAUACCCCUGUACAUUAAGGAGAGACUCAAGCAAACGAAAGUUUUUAUUGUUCUUGAUGAUGUUAAUAGCUUUAGACAAUUAGAAUAUUUAGCCGGGGGGUUGAUCAAUAUGGUCCAGGAAGUAGAAUAAUUGUAACCACUAGAGAUAAGUAAGUGCUUGAUAAAUUUGGAGUGGACAAUAUAUAUAGUGUUGAUCAUUUCACCCAUGACGAAGCACUUGAGCUCUUUUGUAACCAUGCCUUUAGACAAAAUACUCACCCUCAUGAUCUUAUGGUGCUCUCAACAAGGGUAGUAGAUUAUGCCAAAGGCAAUCCAUUGGCACUUAAAGUGUUGGGUUCCUUCUUCUAUGGAAGGAGAAAAGUAGAUUGGGAAAAUGCAUUGCACAACCUAAAAAGAAUUUCUGACAGAGAUGUAUAUGAAGUGUUGAAAAUCAGUUAUGAUGAAUUAAAUUGGGAAGAGAAGAAUAUAUUUUUAGAUAUAGCGUGUUUUUUCAAAGGGGAGGAUAAAGACUAUGUGACAAGGAUACAAGAUGAUCCUGAUUUUGUGCGUUAUGUAUUGAAUGUCCUCGUUAAUAAGUCACUCAUAACAAUAUCGAGUUACAACAAGCUAGAAAUGCAUGAUUUAUUGGAAGAAAUGGGUCGUGAAAUUGUUCGCUGUGAAUCUGUCAAAGAGCCCGGCAAACGUAGCAGGUUGUGGCAUCAUGAGGAUAUCUAUCAUGUAUUGAAGAAAAAUAAGGUAAGAGCCUAAUCAGUUUGACUUCGUCCUUCAAGACUAUAUACAAUCAAAUUUCCUUUGUUAAGACAAACUCUUUAGAUAGUUUAUGAAGCUCAUGUUGAUUCUAUACUGACUCAUACUUAAUUUUCUUUGAUUUUCAGGGAACUGAUUCAAUUGAAGGCAUAUUCCUAGACAUGUCAAAAAUAAGAGAGAUACAUCUUAGUUCUCGAGCCUUUGCGUGUAUGACUAAUCUUAGAAUGCUCAAGUUCUAUGUGCCCAAGCUUUCCAAACUUUCAGAUGUAAAAGUGCAUCUUCACAAUGGUUUAGACUAUCUUUCUGAUGAGUUGAGAUAUCUCCAUUGGCAUGGAUAUCCUUUGAAAACAUUGCCGUCGAAUUUUAGUCCGGAGAAUCUUAUUGAACUUAAUCUACCUUAUAGUAAGGUUGAACAAAUGUGGGAAGGAAAAAAGGUAUGAUGUCAUACAUAAAAUUUAUUGUUCUCUAUGGAAUUAUAAAACUUAUGAUAGUAAAUCACUGUAGUAUUUGAUUUUUUUUACAGGAGUCUUUCAAGUUAAAAUGGAUUGAUCUUCAUCACUGCCAAUACCUGAUUAGAUUCCCGGACCCUUAGAAACCCCAAAUCUUGAGAGGAUAUGCCUUUCGGACUGCAUAGACUUGCCUUGCAUUCCCUCAUCCAUCGAGAAUUUCAACAACCUUAGUAUCUUAUGUUUGCAGGGUUGUGAGAGUCUUAGGCGAUUUCCAAGCAACAUUCAUUUCAGAUCUCCCAUUACUCUUGAUUUUUCAGAUUGUCUUAACCUCACAGAGUUCCCACAGUUUUCUGGGAAUAUAAAGCAGCUAUAUUUAUGUGGGACAGCAAUAGAAGAAGUUCCUUCAUCAGUUGAGUGCCUAACUGAGCUUGCUGAGCUAUACAUGAGGCAAUGUACAAGGCUGAAAAGUAUAUCAUCUAGGAUUUGUAAAUUGAAAUCUCUUCAUUUGCUUAGCCUCGACGACUGCUGUAGACUUGAGAGAUUCCCGGAAAUCACGGAGACAAUGGAAUGUCUAGAAUAUUUUUCCUUGGCUUCAACAACAAUUCAGGAGCAGCCAUCUUCAAUUGAAGGCAGGAUUCUACCAUCCUCCAUUGCAAAUUGGAGUUAUGGAUGUAGAGGUUUGAUAUUACCUCCUUUACCAGGUUUAUCCUCUUUAACAUGGCUGAACUUAAGCUUUCGUAAUAUAACAGAAAUCCCUAAGGAUAUUGGGUGUCUAUCCUCAUUGCGAACUUUAGAUCUAAGGGGAAACAAUUUUGCGAGUUUGCCUGCAAGUAUCAAGCAGUUUACACAGAUGGAAGAACUAAUCCUGAGCAAUUGUAAUUUGCUUCAGUCAUUACCAGAGCUUCCACCAAGUCUAAUAUUGUUAGAAGCAAGGAAUUGCAAGCAGCUCCAGUCUUUACCGGAGCUUUCAUCAUAUUUAGAAGAAUUGGAUGCAUCCAAGCUGGAAACACUGUCUGAGUACUCCGAUGUCUUUGCACAGCCCAGAAUAACGUUCACAUUUACAAAUUGCCUUAAAUUGAACCGAAAAGCAUACAACAUUUUGGCAGAUUCAGAGCUAAGAAUGCAACAUAUGGCAACAGCGUCACUAAGACUAUUCUAUGAAAAGGUAACAUUCUCUCUCACUACCGUCUCUCUAUCACUCUAGAAAUACUUAUUUUCAUGUUGCAGGUAUUUGAUGUACCUCCUCAAUUCAGCAUUUGUUUACCUGGAAACGGAAUUCCUGACUGGUUCAGCUAUCAAAGUUUAGGAACCUCAAUAACUAUUCAACUGCCUCAGUGUAAUAGAAGAUUUAUAGGAUUAGCUCUUUCUGUUGUUAUUGAAUUUGAGGAAGUCUUUUAUGGCGGAUACAGUUUUGGAGUCAGAUGUGAGUACCAAUUUGAAACUGAGACACUUUCUGGAAACCAAAAGGGCAAUUGGGUUUGCUAUUUGACUUCUGCCAGUGACUAUAAGGUUGAGGACUUGUUAAUUUACUCAAAUCACGUCUUACUUGGAUUUGAUCCUUGUUUGAAUAUUCAGCUACCAGACGGUGACCUCCAUGCAACUGCCACAUUUCACUUCUCUCUUCUCUGUGAUGACUGCAUCACAGAGAACAGAAUUGGUUGCAAGGUCAAAUGUAUUGGGGUGUGUCCACUAACUGCAAACACCAAUGAGACCAAAUCCAAAAUUUUUACAGAGAAUUCUGCUACCUCCAGUGAAGAAGAAUGCACUAAAAUAAGGAAAUUCCACAAUGUCAGUGACUAUCAUAAGGUCCAUGAUUGGGCCAGCGCCAAGGGAAGUACUGGGAUUAUUUGCAUAUCUGGAGAGGAGAAAUUGGAGCCAAAUCUGAAGAGAAUUUGCAGAGAAAAAGACAAACCUAAUUCUAUUUUCUCAUGUAAGUCCAACGCUAUUUCUCCAGUUUUUAUGUUUUGAUUUGUUUUAUAAAUCUAUAAUUUCUAUUGAACGUUAAUCCUAAAUUGUGUUAUAUAUAGCACAAUUGUGUUUAGUAUUUAUAUAUCAUUUUCUGUGUCUUAUUACUGAUUCAAAUUAUGUUUUUGCAUUUUCAUUGUAAAACUAAUUAUUUUUGAAAAAUUGUACAUUUGUACUCCGCUUUCAAGGUGCAAAACUUUUUAUUUUGGUUAGGCUUUGAAAGCUUACAAAUAGAGCAUAUUUGCUCUUUCUUUAACAUGCAAUUUAUUUCAUAGGAAUGAUGCGUUUAUGUCAUUUGGUAAAUGCAGAUGUGUAGAAUUUGUAAGCCUGCAUUGAGGAAACAAUCUUAAUCAUUUUUGUGAGGUGCAUCCAUUUUGAAACUCCAGGUAUCUCAUUUAUCAUUCCUUUUUCCUCCUUUAAUUUCCAUAACUUGUGUAAUAUCUAAGUAGAUAUUCCUGACUUCUGCAUGUUUUUCGAUGCAGUUGGGACUGUAUGUCAACGUCAUUUUCAAUCUGAUUCCUGAGAAGAUAUAAGAGAAAAGGGCAACAAAGAAAGCAAAAGUCGGCUCCUAUGUACCGUUAGUUAGCAUAUGAUUUGAUUCUCUGUUUGAUUAUCCUGCGAUUUUAGUUGCUAUAAAGAGAAAUUGAAUUGAAUGUGCCAACAAUAUGCUAAUGGAGAAGCAUUCAAAUAGCCAUGAAGUUGGAAAUUAGUGGUGUGAGUGCAGUUUCCUAUCUCUAUGUUUUGUAUGACUUUUGCAAAUGUGAAUGAACAUUAUCAUUUACGUCUAUUCAUCAAUCGACACAACCUAAAAUUUUCUAAUUUUGGUUAUUAUCAUACCAAUGCAGAUAGAAAGUGUGUGCCAAGGAGCUGCAUUAAUAAAACUUUAGAAAGUCAGCGGACAAAAUAACUGCAUUGAUACAAUAGACUCAAAAUUGCAUUCUGAUGAAAGGAGUUUCAUUUUAAAUUUAAAAAACAAAAUGAAUGUUCUUGCGGCGUAUGCUUCCUACACCAGACAAAACAAACGGGUUUUUUAUUUAAAUAUACCCCAUUUGUCCUUAAAUGCCGAAUCUAUACCCCAUUACAUACAUAUACCUCCUAAAAGUGUAAAAAGUCAAAAAUAACCUAAAAAAAUCAUCUAUUUACGUUUACUUCCUCUCUCAUGACUUCUACAUAAUAACACAACCAAAGUCGAGUAUACUCGACUUUUUACCUGACUUAAUUAAAAGGAAAAUUUCCAUUUCAAUUUAAGUCGAGUAUUCUCAACCAAUUACCGAACUUUAAUGAAAAGUCAAGAAUUUUUGCUGAAUGAAUAUUGGGUAAGGUUAAAUUAAAGUCGGAUAUUCUCGACUCUUUACUCGACUUACUUGAAAAAAUCGAGAAUUUUUCAGAUAAUUUUUUAUUUCAAUUGAAGUCGAGUAUUCUCGACUAUUUACCCGACUAAUAUAAAAAAGUCGAGAAUUUAUGCUGAAUUACUAAUUGUGUAUGAUUUGGUUGAAGUCGAGUAUUCUCGACCAUUUAUCCGACUUUGAGGAGUUGGGUUUAGUUUUAUGAGAAUUUAGUUGUGGUUAUUUUUGUACUUUCUCUAGUUUUUUAGAGUAUAUAUGUGUAAAAUUUAAGAGUGAUAUAACGUUAGGUAUAUAUUGGGUAUUUUGAAGGGAAUGGGGUACAUCCCACACAAUUCUCCCCAAAACAAACAGGUAGGCUCCCUGCAAGCAAAUACCAACACUUUACUUCUAGGCCGGUCAAUUGAAGCCGGACAAUCCUCUCCCAUUUGUUGUUAGAUAUGUGGCAUUUUGCAGGUUAGAAGCAAACAACAGAAUACUAAAUUAAAUUUGAAAACAAUACUGUUGAUAAUAUAAAUGGAUACCUGCGAGAAACUGUUAAAUUGACAGGUAUCGAAAACAGCCAGCAGAAGUUCAUGUUCAAUGAAGGUUCUUAAUUAAUUCAAGCCUAAACAGCGUUUAGCACAACCAUUCUAUUAAGAUUCACACUAAGUACUAGCACGAGGCCCUUACCAUAUAACUAAACUGUUAGAUCAUCAAGUUAUUUAACAAACUUCUCUGAUCUCCAGGUGAGCACAUCAACUAAACAUUCUGCAAAGCAAAAUCCAACAGUAGCCCUCUGAGUUGAUAAAACAAAACAGUUUGUACAAAGUGGAUAAAAAACAAAACAACAUCCUAAAGCCAAGAUCAUUAAGAUUAAGCAUGUCAACGAUUGCAGCAUCUAUUAAUGCACUCUAAUGUUUAUUUCAAAUCAUUAAAAUCCUUGUAUUGCCAUCAAAAUAUUCAUGGCAUCCCCCCUCCCAUCUCCUGGACAUAACAUAUAUAACAUAAAUUCAACAGUCAAAAACAAAUAAUAAAGAAAAAAGAAAAAGAAAACGAUCAUAACAAGCUCAAAAGAAAUUAGUUUCUACCAUUUUCAGCACCUCUCUCCUUCUCCAAGGGCAUUAACCACUUUCAUUAAGAUUGCUUCAGUUGAGCAGUGAGAGUUCUCCACAGCCUUGGAAAUUGCUCGCCAUUUCUCACCAUGCUUUGGCUCCGCGGCAAUGCAUCUAUUCAGUACUUCCUUCUGGUUCUCGACACCGCCAUGCUGCAACUCAAACUUGUAGUACAAUGCCCAGAAAUCCCCAGUAUCCGGGUCUAGGCUUACUGCCUUGUUGAACCAAUUCCUUGCUUUAUCAACCUUCCUAUCAUGCCAAAAAAGCUUGGCCACAGCAGCAAAUACGUGGGGAUCACGGUCAGAUUUUACAAGGGCAUCCUUGCCUUUACUUUUGCGAUCGUGAUGGGGAACCAUCUUGAUUAAUUCAGCCCAAAGUAUACCACUAUUGGGACACUUCUGUAAUGCUUUUGCUAUAAAGCUAUCGGCUUCCUUCUUAUUUCCAUGCUUUGAUUCAGCUCGAAUGGUAGCAAGCCAGAUUUCAGGGUUUAAAGGAUUCUUUGACCUAGCAACACUAAGCACUGCCCGAGCUUUACUUAACCCAUUCAGCCCAUUCCUCUUCUCCUCCAAAUUGGCUAGGGAAUACCAGAGUGGUAUACAAUUGGGACACUGAUUACAACCUGACUGAUAAGCUUCUUUAGCUUCUUUCAAGUGACCAAGCCGCUCCUCUAGCUGCCCUAGCAUCAACCACAGAUUGAAAAACGAUGGGAAUCGUUUCAACCCUUCCUCGAUGAAACCCCUCUCCUCUGCAUUGUUUCCCAGUUCUCUCUCAACGAUUGCUGAUUUCAUCCAGACUCUCUCUGUACCUCCCAUAUCUCUUGCCUUAGCAAGAAGCAUCCUGGCUCUCUCAAGUUCACGAUUCUCAAACUCAAGCUUAAAAGCUGCUAGCCAAAUCUCCUCUGAAUUAGGUAUAGUAGCAUAUGCUUCUUGAAGGAUAUCUCUGGCUGCAGGCACAUCUCCUGCAAGCCACUUCUCUUUUGCACCCAUAAGCCAAAGAACCUCCGCUUGCGGGAAGUAAGUGACUGCUUUCCUCAAUAAAGCAAUAAGAGACUCUCUACUCCCAUGGGUCUUCUCAAGUUGAGCUGCCUUAAGCCAAAUGCUCUUUUUAGUCAAAAAUACAGUGCAGGCAUGAGAAAAAAUGGCUCUGGCUGUCUCAAUGGACCCCCUUUUCUUACACUCUUCCGCAUCUGCCACCCAAGUCCUUUUCCUAUCCUCUUCGUCAACACCAAUUUCAAUUGUAUUUGUAAUGAUUGCUUCGCAAGUUACCAGACCCUGCUUUCUCUGCAAUCUCAGCCUCUUUCAUCCAUGUAUCCCUAUCAAUAACAACCUCCUCUCCUUGCAAUGCCCUUAUACCCCUCUCAAUAAUCUUCCCUACCAUAGAAGUAUUCCCAUUAGCCUCCUCCAAUUUAGCAGCUGCUAUCCAAAUUGCCCGUUCUUUAGGCAACUUCUUCCUAGCCUUAUUAAGCACGCUUCUGGCUACACCAUAAGUUUCCAGCCUGGCUAAGGCAAGCCAUAACUCCACAUCUAAAGGACAGCACUCAACUGCUCUAUGUAACAAUAUCCUAGCUUCCUCCUCACUGGAUAUCUCCACUAAAGCCUUCCACAACCUAACCGAAUCAGGUAUUUCAUCCAACGCCAUUCGCAACACUCUACUCUUAUUUGCCUUAUCAUGGUCUAAUUCCGCAGCCUGUAACCACAACCUGACAGACUUCGGAAUCUGUCUCACACCCUUAGCAACAACGCCUUUAGCUUCAUCAGGCCUAGCGAGCCUGCAAGCUUCCAACCAAACAUCCUCAUUUUUUGGACACAUAUUGCAACCUUUUGUUAUCAACUUUCUAGCUGCAGCUUCCUCCUUUGCCAGUUCCUCCAACCUUGCAGCCUGAAUCUAACCCAAUGGUUUUUUUGGGGAAUUUUCAGUGACUGCCCGUACUAUCUUUCUCGCCUUCAGGAUAUCACGAAGUUCAGAGUUAGUAGUAAUCUUCAAAUCAUUCAUCCUAGUCAAGUAUCCACUCAGAUCAACAACUGUUAGUCCAGUUACAGAAUCGGAAAUACCAUCCAACUUUAACGUUAGAAUCUUACCUCUGCCUUCACCGACUGCCGUCAAGUCAGUAACAACAGACUCGGCCCCACCGGCGGCCCUGCUACUGGGGUCCAAAGCAAUCACAUGUUGCUGUUCUUGUCUUGCUUUCUGUAACAAGCUGUCCGGAACUGGCACGAAGCUCUCGAAUCUCUUUCUCUUAUUGCUCCGCGAAUAGUCUCCAAUUUCAGGAAUGCGCUCCCACUCUUUUGCUUUCACAGUGGUUAACUUUCCCUUCAAAUCCACAAAUUCCUCUCUAAUCGUAGGAUUUUUAUAACGGUAGUUCUUAAUCUCUUCCUCCAACCUCGCCUCUCAUCGGCUUUUUCUGCGGGACUCCAUUCGUUUAUCGAUGGAUUCCCACACAGCAUCAGCUUCCUUGUCUUCAUCAUCGUACUCCGAAUUCGCAAACAAUCCGGCGUCGUUUCCCUCGAAGUGAUCGAAAUUCUGUUGGUACCCAUUAUUACCAUCAUCAUCAUUAUCAUCUUCUCCGUCGUCGUCUCUGGGUUUUGGUCUCGGAAGACCAAUAAUAGUGGAAGGUGGGGCUGUGCGGGCCGGGCCAAUGUCGGAGCGGGUAGUGAAGCCGCUGGCUCCACGGCCCGCACCAGCAAUAUAGUUAGCCGGUGGCUUGGAGUUUAAGAAAUCUAACCUUCCCCUGCUGCCGAGCAUCACCAUUGAUGAAGAAACCGGAGAAACGAAAUAUUGAAAUUGUGAUAUGAAUGAACGCACAAUGAUAAAAAUCUGAACUUUAAAAUCUUUUUCUAAAAAAAAAAACUUCUCUUAUAUUCAGUCUGAUUUCCUUGAUACACAAGAAUAACAAAUCAGAAUUCGUAUAGCAUUAGGAACUCUUAUAAUGUUAAGAAAAGAAACGGCCACCAAAUGGUCGUGGCACAGUUGGCAACAUAUGUUGGGUUUGUGGAAAAAACUCUCGGGUUUGAUUAGGGAUGAUAAAUACUCAGUUGGAUAUGGAUAUUGUUCACCCAUGUGUAAAUCCAUGAUUAAAUAAAUUUGUUCAUAUCCAUAUCCAAUGCAAAUAUCCAGUUGGAUAUGGAUAUUGCCCACCCGUGUGUAAAUUCAUAAUUUAAUGGAUUUGUUCAUAUCCAUAUCUAAUAUCUAAAAAGAUAUUAUUCACUCGUGUGUAAAUUCAUGAUUUAAUGGAUUUGUCCAUAUCCAUAUCUAAAGAUAUUAGUCAUAUAGAUAUGAAUUUUAUCCACACAAAUAUGGAUGUUCAUGGAUAUUAAAUUAGUAUUUCUAAAUUUUAAAAAUAAUAUAAUAUAUUAAUAAAGUAAAAGUUAAUUAAUGAUGUAUUAUAUUAAAAAUUUCUUUUUUAUUUUCUAUUUCCUAAAAUCAUUAAUUUUAAAAGCUAAUUAAAAUUAUUUUAGAAAUUUUGAAAAAAAUUGCAGCACGGUUCCGUCGCCGGUGCCUCCGUCUCUUCCGGCGCCAUCACCCCAAAAUCACUCGUAGUCAACAAAUCCCAUACCAACAUAUCAGAAAUUCAACAAUCUAUUUAAAAGUAGUUUUUGAUUUAGAAAAUAACAAAUGAUGGAGGCGCACGCGCAUCACAAAGAGCCCCGACCACCACAUGGUCGUCGUACGUUUAAGGCGCGUGCACCUUCAUUCUCUGUGAUUGCUGCUGAUCGCUUUUAUAUUUGUAUAGAUCAUGUAGUUUCCAAUAUAUUUAUGUCAGUGGUGUCAACAUUGGAUGAAGUUUCGCUGCCGGCAACGAAAUAGCCAUGGUUUUGGCGAUGGAAUAGUGUCAAUGGUGAAUUUUUCUAAAUUUUCAAAACUUAAAAUAUUUUUCUAUAAUUUUGUUGUGGGGGUAUAUUUGACAAUAAAUAUUUUAGUUGAGGACAGUUUUGAAUUUAUUUAUUUUUAGUAUUUUUAAAAUUGUUUGUUUAUUACAUUUUUCAUUUUUAAUUUUAUAAAAUUAAAACUUUUUAAACUUGUGUUGGGUUAAAUGGAUAUCCAUUAGGUAAAAUUAAUUAUCAAUAUCCAUCCAUAUCCAUUGGAUAUAAUUUUAAAAUAUCAAUUUCAAGAUCCAAAAAGUUUUGGAUGGAUAUUAUCCAAUAUAAUUAGAUGGAUAUUAUGGAUAUCCAUUAUGGAGCAAUUCAGUUGACAUCCCUAAAUUCGAUCUCCACUAAACACACCAUUUGAGAGUUGUAAGGAGCAUUAAUUGUGACUAUACUCUGAAUCCGGAUUAGUCGGGGCCCAAUGCAGUCGCCGGAAACCAGAUGGUUUAAAAACCAAAAAAAAAAAAAAGAAACGGCCAAACGGGAGGAAAUUGGACUAUUUUCGCCCACGUGAUGGAGCACGUGACUUCACUUAAAGACCGAGUUCGUCAAACACCGGUUAUAUAGUUCGUUUUGGCGCGCUUUUUGUACUUGGCAAACACCAUAAGUGGGGUUAUUUUGCCAGUGAUUCACAGAGAUCACUGAGAGGGAAAGGUUUCUGUUCCUUCUACUUUCGAGAUAGUAAACUUAUGUUGAGAGCCACGUGUGUUGGUUGUUGUUUCAAGGAUUGUCAUCUACAUGUUCGAGAGAAUGACUGACUCAUUGGCAAAACCGUGUUAUUUUGGAAAAAUUAGCAUUUUAUGGUUGCAUCAAUUAUUCUGUUGUUCUUGGGAGAUGAAUGGGCAGAAAGUAACUUCAUGAGAUAGAAGCUCCAUCUAAGAAUUCUGCAUAUAGCAAUUGCAUCACUGAGACUAUUGCAUGAUAAGGUAUGCAGUUCUCUCUCUUGUAACAGGAAUUUGCUGAACCGCCUGAAUUCACCCUUUGUUGAUCUGGAAGUGAAAUUCCUGAGCGGUUCAGCAAUCAAAGUUCUGAAUCUUCUACAAGGAUUCCACUUCAACAGCAUUUUUCUAGACAGAAGCUUCAUGAGAUUUGCUCUUUUUGCUGUUAUUGAAUUCGACCAAGUCCUUGAUUCUAGUAGAUAAUACUUUUCGGUCAAAUUUAGCUUCCAUUUUGAAAAACAGGCUCCCUCUGAAUCCAUUGAUUCAUAUCAUGUCAUACUCGGAUUUCUUCACUGUUGCGAUGCGGAUUUCAUCGCUAUCUCAUUUGACUAAUCCCUUGUCUCUCACCACACAGGGAACGAAAACAAAAAAUUUUACAGGUUAAAGCUUUCUCCAGUAUUAGAACAACAUAAUGAGACAGGAUCGCACUCUGAAUGUAAAUUUUGGUGCCAACUGUGAUGAAGAAUUCACUCCAAUUAGGAAGCUGCAUGAUAAGGCCGUCACAAAGUGGAACUAUUAGAAUUGUUGGCAGAUCUGAUGAAGAGGAAUUGGAACAGAGUCCCAAGAGACUUUGCAGAGAUCAAACCAGCACUCGUAAGAAAUAAAGUUUCUUGUUUUCUCAAAUUCUGCUUUCUUUUGUAAGUCCAAUGCUCCAAAUAAUUUCUAUUGUUUGUCUUCUUUAUAUGAUUGUGUGAAAAGUGAUGAUAUAAAUAACUCCAUGAUAAUAUUAUUUGAAAAUUUUUGCCCGGAAAUUAUCUCUUUCUUUUACAUUUUUGCUACAUUAAGUGCUAUGAAAAACACAGGAUUUCCCUAUACCGCUGCGAGCAAUCCCUCUGUUCAUUUAAAGUGCAUUAAUCAAAGUCAAUAUCAUGUAUUCCUUUGUUUCUUCCCCUUACCAUUUUCUCCUUAAGUUUCAGAGGAUAUUUAUUAGAAUCAAUAGGUUUAAUCCGUUACUGCAAAAACUUGUGGUGAUUUUAUCAUUACUUUAUAGAUUUCAUCUGCUAUAUUUUUGUAUUUUGUCUUUAUGCACAUGUAUAGUUAUAAGACUUUUGAUAUAAGUUAGUCCGGGAGCCUUCAGAAUAUCUUUUGUUGUCAAAUGGAAAGAUUUGCGAAAUAGACUAGUCCUUCUAGGCUUGUCUGAAGAUUUGAAAAACAUAGAUGUGGUUUUGAGAUAUGAGAAUUGUUGGAGGUACACGUAAAUUCUUCAUAUUCUUAUUCAAUUAGUUUUGCUUUGACAUUUGGAACAGACUAAUAUUGCAUGACACUUUGUCACUCCUAUUUGUGCUUCAAACAUUUUUAUUUUUAACAAUUUGAUUUCAACUUGUUUCGUAAGAGCCUAACACUAGUACUGAAGUCUUCUUCUCUUCUUAUUUUCAUAGGCCUCACAUGUAAACUGUGGAUCCUAUUACACCAUAAGCUUGGAUUAAGAAUUCCCCUAGUAAAUUCAUCUCGAUAAGAAGCAUUCUGAAAAGUUUGUGCAAUUGUUCUGUCAAUUUCUCUUCUUUUCUUCGCCCUAUACUGUUACAUACCAUUCUGUCUAGCAAUGGGAGGACUGUCUUAGCUUCAGUUCACCCCACUAGAAAAAGAAAAGGUUCUUUUAGCAAUUUCAUAAAAUGUACUUGCUUUCAUGCUACCAACAUGUUUGUUUUGGUGUGGCAUUGGAAGCUGGUAUAAGUGGCAAGAAUAAUCAUCCUUUAUUUGAUCACAAUUUAAUUUAUUCCAAGGCAAUUUUGAUGUUAAUUUGGUGAAUGAUGUUCUUUGCACAAGCAGGAUUUCCUUGCCCUGCUAUGAGGAGGAUUGCUUCAAAUUCAAAACUAUAUAUAUAUAUAUAUAUGUAUAUAUCCUUGGAAUUUCUUGGUUGAUAUGUAGUGGGAUAUUUAUUGAAACUGAUUUGUUUGCGUCCAGAUUUUGAAUUGAACUCUACUGUGCAAGAAAGUGUAGAGGUAAAAAUCCUGGAUCUUACAACUGAUGGAAAUGAUGAUGUUUUUGACCAAUUACACCUACAUAUUACUUCGACAAAUUUCAGAUGAACUCACCAGCACAAGAGGAGCCUCAUAGAUAUGGUAUGUAGGUAUUAAUUUGUAGUAAAAAUGCAAGCAUUAUGAUUCAAGAUUAUUAGAAAAAUAUUAACUGUUUCUAUAAUUAAUUAUAUUAUAUCAUCAUUUAACCAGAUGUUUGCCUACCCGACAUAUGGGGCUGUUAAUAGAUUAUAUAUAUAUAUAUAUAUAUAUAUAUAUAUAUAUAUAUAUAGCCCAGAGAUCGGUUAUGACUUAUGUGUGAAACAGAAGCCAAUUAAGAAUAUUCAAGUUCUAGGUUGGCAGAGACAGCACUAUCGUAAUUUUGAUGAAGUCCACAAAGUAAAAGUAGUGAGAACCUUUAUAAAUCAUUCGUGAUGCAUUUGAUUGCAUCAAAUUUUAAUUAAAUCAACUGAGAUAAGAUAUUAAAUUAGACUAGACUAAGAUAGUUUGAGCUAAGCAAUAUCACCAUAUGACACAAUAUUAAUUUACGUUUUAAGAUGGGGGAGGAGUUUAAUAUUUCAUCAAGGGGAUUUGGCCAACGAGGAAGACCCAAUAGAAAGGAAUAAAAUCAGAGAGAAAUUGAGACUGUAGUAGAAGGUAAGAUUGUUUAAUGCGAGUUGGAUUUGGCACUAUUCAUAGACAGUUAAUUGAUUUGCACUAUUUAAAGAUUUUAUUGCUCUUUUCUACAAUUUUAGUUAAGAAUAUAUAUGUAACUCUAUUAAAAAUAGUAGUAAGGAAGAGAUAAAUGAAAGGGUUGUGAAUAGCUCCACUCUACAAUACACACAGUAAAACACAAGCAUUAAUUAUUGUAUACAUUUGACCACUGUUCUCGUAUCUGAUUCGUUGACUGUGGUAAACUUAAUUCGAAACAAGCGCGGUAGCUGAAAGGAGAACCUUUUUGUGUAAUUCAUUGUAUCCAUCAACGUCUAAUUCUUGGUAAUGCUUUUAAAGCUUGUCAUGUUUCUAGGAAUUAAAAUCAAGCGGCUCAUGUUUUGGCCAAGCCCUGCUCUUAGGUUGCAUAAAUUUCAUGUUUGGUUGGAAGAUUUCCCAACUGAAUUAGGAGAUUGCUUGUGAUUCUGAGUUCUUAAUAUAAGUUUCCUUUUGAAUAACAUUUAAAAUACAAUUAUGAUUACCGCCAGUUCAUUUUUUAAGAAGUUGAGGGAGUGUAUAAAGAAAAUAAACUUUGCUCAGAGUCUUUAGUUUCUAAUAGUCCUAUUUUAAAAAAUUACUAAAAAUAUCCAUGUCUUAUUAUUCCCAUUUAAAAAGACAAAUUUUAACGAGGGUCGGUAUAGCAACAGGGACGUUAUAGCUGGGGUAGUUAAGACUUUUUCAAAAGAGAAAAUAUCAAAGAAUCGAGGUGAAAAGGAUUGCACAGAGAGCUUUUUUUAUGAGGCCAAAAGAUUAAAGCAUAAAGUAAUGGGACUUUAUUAUCAUACAUGAUUUUGCUUUUAACUAUAGUUGAUUUCAUCAAAUAUGAAAUCGAUAGAUAUUAUUAUUUAAAUUACACAAGACUAAGAUAGAUUGAGAUAAUCAAGAGUGUCUUCAAAUAUUCCUUGUUUUCUUCUUUGAUCUGUAGACUUAGAACUACAAAGCAUUUGUGUUGUCCCCCAAAAAAAGGCAAUCUAAUGCUCAAAUCAAGUGUUUAGUUGAUAAAAGAAGAUAUAGGCUCUGUUUGGGAUUGAGGUUGAAAUUCAAUAAGCUGUUUAUUUCAUAAUUUUUGACGAAAAUAGUGUUUGGUAAACUUUGUAAAGUCUACUUAUUUUAUAAUUUUUUCUAUUUUAACAGCAGCUUUUAAAAGCAGGUAGAAGGUUAUUUUUCAUGAGCAGCUUAUUACAUAAGUCACCACUCCUUUUUAAAUUAAAUUCUUUUUAUAACCUUAAUAUUUCAACAAAAAGAUAAUUAUGUCUUAUUUUUCCAUACACCUAAUAUAUAAACCACAAGAUAUCAUAUUACCAAUAUAAUCAAAUUACCCUUACAAUUAUCAAGUUUUGAUCCAGUAAAUUUAUAUUUUUCAUACUUUACUUUUAUUUUCUAUUAUAAAAUUUAAUAAAACUUGCGUAUGAUGACAUAAAUUUUAUUUGAACUAUGAACAAUUUCACAUGGAAUUUAACCAUGACUUUUAAAAUAAUUUCAUAAUUAUUGAUUUUAACAUUCAAUUAUAUAUAUAUUUUUCUAUAUACAAGGUGCUUAUUGCAAUAACUUUAAUAUGAAUGUAAUGUAUAUUACUUUUGUAUUUUAUUUGGAUUAUGUAUUAGUAUAAAUUUUUAUUAUAUUUUAUGUAACAAAUUAUGAAGUUCAUUAGAUUCUAUAUGAGUUUUUUUUUUACUUUAUGCAAUUUUAUGUAUUUUAAAAAGAAAAAGGCAUGUCUAAACAUUAUAAAUGUACCCUAAAAAAUAAAAGGUAAUCUAAGAAAAUGUCUACUUUUUUAUUAUAUAAUAAAACAAUACUUUCGUAAUAAAAAUUUACCAACGCAUGUACACUACUUUUUAAACUCAAGCAACCGCAACAACACAAUUUACCAAAUACCAAGCUGCUUUUUUAAUCAGCAGUUUACUUCAUUCGCACAACAGAAGCAACUUAUUUAAUCAGUCACCGCAACCCUAAACUGGCACAUAACAUGAGAGCAAUUUGGAAAAAAAUGUGAAAUUGUUAUCGAAUAUAGAAUGAAUGAAAAUGAAAAUGAAUUGCUUAUAGGCAGUUACUUUAAGCAUGAAAAUGAAUUGCUUCUCUUGAGUGGAUGUGAGUCGUCUUUUUAUAUAUAUAUUUUUGGAUUUUGGUUUUCUCUUCUUUUUUUCUUUCAUUGGGGAAUUUUUAUGCAUAUAACCAUGGAGAGACUCGAAAGUCGAACCCUUCACCAUAUGGAUAAGGAGUUAUUGGCAUCUUACUUGUUCUAGUAUUUCUAAAAGUUUUAUUUUGUCAAUUUUACUUGUCCUCUCUGUUUUUGAACAAGCACGUGAGUGCGUUUGUUGUGACAAUCCCAGAUUGUCUGGCAAUAUUAAUGAGGUGAUAGAGAAAAAUAGAAAUAAUCAAACAAACUGCACAAUGAUAUAUAUGGUUCGGCUUUUUAUCCUAUGUCAAUGGGUAAGGACAAAGAAGAAUAUUUUACUAUAAAAAUAGAGAAUAUAAGUAUUAUAAUAUUUAUCUCACAAUCCAAAACUCAAAUAGACCCAAACUCGGAAAUCACUCAAGAACACUUUAACUCUCUCAAAUGCUAAAGAAUUACUUCUCAAAAAACACUCAAAGUUCUCAAAUUGUUAGAGAACUUCACUCACGCUCCAAUGCCCCUUUCUUCCAAGACCUCUAUAUAUUUGUAGUGAAAGUGAGCCUUCAAUUUUAAAAAAAUUCGGCAAUUUUCAAAAAAUUCGGGACCAACUCCCCUGAAAUAGCCUCCAUUUGAGCUUGAUAAUCUUGACUUUUAUAAGCCAUCAAAUGAACACGAUAGUGGCCAACGUGAUGAAUAAUGGAGCCGAAUUUUGCAUGCCAUCAUGCAUGAAAUUAAGUCAGGGAGCAUUUACGGAAGGCUUAACUAUUGCUUCCAAAUGGCAAAAUGGCCAUUUGAAAAAUGCGAAGAAAGUGGCCUAGAGAGCUCGUGGUGAAAUGGCCGGUUACUUAUCAAUCUAUUCAAGCCAAUAAAUCAACAGUAUCAUCUUUGUCUGAUGGUAAGAAACCUAACACCUACAACAAAGCAAAAACAAAGAACAUGCAAUAGUUUCCCAUAACUGUUUCAACAGAAUUGUUGUUUAUCUUUUAGAAGAAUCCCUUAUUAGUUAGUAACCAUAUAUAAUUUUUCUGAAGGAGAGAACACGUACACUAAGUUCAUAUCUAAUAAAAUUAACUCGAUAUCGUAAUUUUUUUAAUCAAAAAUUUUUUUAUUAAAAAAAAUAAUGAUUCCUAUCCAAAAUCAAUUUGGGAUGCUAUACAACUUUAACUUUUGAUUUGUUUUUUUACUUUUUUUUUGUCGGUGGUGGGACUCGACUUUCACUACUAUCAUUCUGUGUUUCCACUGUCAAAAGUUCCUUCCUGUAAAUAUUUAAAUUAUUGUCUAUCUUUUUAUAAGGAUCACAAAAAUUUAUAGUUUAUGAUGUGUUUAACAUAAACAAGAUUUUUCAAUUGCAUUGGAGACCAUGGCUGGCUUGAUAACAACAACAAUACUGAAUUAAGUAGUCAAUAAUUUUCAUUCAUGGCUGGUAUUAAUUGCAUAAAAUAUUUAGUCAUUUUCUAGAUGUUUAUAAAUUCAUCUUGACUUAGACUCCAAUUUUAUGUGUGAAAAGUUACAGGAAAGUUUUAAAAAGAUCUUGACUUGACUUGACUGCUUAAUUUGUAUUGCCAUUUCAACGCUCUAUAUAUUCAAACUUGGGCAUAUUUUAUUCGUACAACUGCACUCUGAAGAAUCUAUUUUUUGUCAUAACAUCUGAAAAAUUUUCCUUCAUGGCUUCUUCUUCGAUUGCCACAAAAGGCAGAUAUGAUGUCUUCUUAAGCUUCAGAGGAGAGGAUACCGGGGAUAACUUCACUAGCCAUCUAUUUGCUGCUUUGCGUCGGAAAAAAAAUUAAAAUCUUCAUUGACGACGAAGCUAAUAGGGGAGACGAGAUUUCGCUUGCUCUUUUGAAUGCAAUUGAAGCCUCAAAGAUUUCCAUAGUCAUUUUCUCAAAGAACUAUGCUUCAUCGAAAUGGUGCUUGGACGAACUUGUCAAGAUUCUUGAAUGUAAGAACUGUAAUGGCCAAAUGGUUGUUCCAGUUUUUUAUCAUGUCCAUCCAUCGGAUGUUCGGAACCAAACUGGAAGUUUUGCUAAGCUUGAAAAGAAGCUCAAGAUGCUGCCAGAAAAGUUCUUAAAUGGAGCUGUGCUUUGACUGAAGCAUCCAAUCUAUCCGGAUGGGAUUCCACAAAGAUCAGGUAGCUCUUAACAUGACGUGACAGUUACUGAUAAGUAGCCAUACUAAUAAGCUGGAACUCAAAUGUUGAAAUUUCUACUGUUAAUAUCAUUUAUAUAGCCAAGACUAGUAAUUAUAUGGAUAUAAACUCUUUGUACCAAACUCAGGGUACAAAAAAAUAUUGGUUAGAUAAAAAAAUAUAAAAUCAAGUUUAAUCAGUAAGUGGAACCACGUUAUGAAAAUUAUUCGACGAAUAUUGUGUUUAAAAAUUACAAAUCAAUUAGAGAAAAUGUUUGUAUCCCUUUCAUUAUUGAUCUAGUUGGAAGAGGUACGCAAUUCUUUCUCUUUUGCUCUCUCUCUCUCUUCCCCCCCGAUCCUCUCUCUCUUUUCGUUACAUUUGAAAUCAUGACUUUAAUUUUACAGAAACGUUUUAAUCUCUUGAGAAAACUCGGAGAUCCCACUAUAACUUUACCUGGGAGAGAAAUUCCGGACUGGGUCAGCAAUCAAAGUUCAGGAUCUGACAUAACUCCUAACUGCCGCAGCAGUGUCGUAAGAACUUAAUCGGAUUUUCCUUUUGUGCUGUCCUUGAAUCGGGUUAUUAUAACCCUAAUUUUCAUGAUUUUCGUUCUUCUGAGCCUCUUCACAUCCACUGUGCAUGCAGCAUUGAAAUGAAUAUUCUCUCUGAAAGGAAACGAGUUCAUCGCCGUUGCAAUUUUAUUGGUUAUGAUUGCACUAAAACAGAUCAUGUCAUGCUUGGAUUUAGUCCCUUCGGAGAUGUUGGGUUCCGUGAUGGUAACCACCAUACAACUGUCUCGUUUGAGUUCUUAGAAUUUUCCAGAGACAAGGUGGUUCGUUGUGGGGUGUGUCCAGUAUAUGCAAAUCCCAACGAGACCAAGCCUAACACUUCUAGACUCACUUUUGUACCCAAAAUUGGAAUUAAAGUGUUAUCGCAGUUGGAAGUUCGGAUGAGGCAUUGGAACCUAGUCCCAAGAGAAUUUGCAGAGACCAAAUCAACACUCACUCCUUAACAUUUGAGUCGCUUGUUUUCUUCAGUAAGUCCAACGCUCUAAUUAAUUUUGUUUUCGCGAUCUUUUUUAUGCGUUUAUUCUUAAUAAUAUCUGUCUCUUUCUCUCUAAUUUUUUAGUAGAAAAAAAAAACAGAGAAAAUCUUACACUUGCUAAUUAUUACCUUUUCAAGGGUUAAUGAAUAAUUGAAAGCUGUAACAAACAACAAAUGUAUCUUAGGCGCGUCCUAUACAAUACGCUAUAUGCUAUAGUUCAAGUUGAUAUAAUGUCUUCGCUCUCUUCUUUGGUUUUAAUCAAAUUAGUACCAAUUAGUACCAUAAGAUUGAUUAUUAAUGCAAUUCUAGAUGAUGAUUUGUUUAAGAUUGAUUUUUUAUCCAUGCGUUCCUUAUCAAUUUUGAAAAUAAAUUUUCUAUUUAAUUAACUUAGUUGCAGAAUUAAUAUGUCAAAGCAUCAAUUACUAAUACAGUGCAAUAUUACCAUGUGUGUUAUAUCUCACUUUCUACGCUGAAUUUGAAGUGAGCGAGGAUAAAUUGACAAUGUCCUUUUUUUAUCAGAGCAUUGUUGAUUUAUUAAUCAUUUAAAUUUUUUUCUGUCUUUUUAAAUAACUGUUAUUAUUUUUUUUGUCCUUUUUACCUGAUGCUUAUUUGAUGUUUAUCUUUUAUCUUUCUCGGACUUCUCAGAUGGAUCCAGGAUAUGAUGAAAUGAUAGAGCCAAAUACGGCCGAAUCGAGGCAAUGUAGCAAAACUCUUAGCACUCAAGUAUAAUUAGGACAAGCUUUUGUUGGAAUUUGAAGUUUUUUAUUGCGUUGAUGUUAACUAGUACGAUGUUAGUUUGUGUAUUUCGGUUAUGGAUGAUUAUUUCAAAGAAUUUAUUUGAUGGUUGUGCUCUUGUAAUUUUAACUUAUUUUUCAUUUACAUGUAUUUAGAAGAAUUGUUGGGUUGAAAUUUAAGAAAUAAAAAAGAAAAUAUUGAAUGCCUAAAAUUGAACCGAAUUGAACCAAGUCGGUUUUAAAUUUAUUGUUGAAAAGAGAAUUAGGAAUUGUUGAAAAAAAUAAAAAAAAUAAAAAGACAAUUGUUGGAAAGAAUAUGAGACACAUUUUGGAAGCAACUAAAGACUUUUGUAUGAAUGAUAAGAGCACGAAAAUAUUUUCUAUAAUUAUAAGAGUCAUGAGAAUUUGCAGAGACGACCAAAUCAACACUCCUCAACAACCGAGUCACUUGUUUUCUUAUAUUCCUUUUUCUUUAGUAAGUCCAAAGCUCCAAUUGGUUUCUAUUUCAUUAUCCUUUAUUCUUGUUCUUAAUAAUAUCUCUCUUAAGAAGAACAAUAGAGAAAAUCUUACACUUGCUGUAAUUAUGCUAUUCAAAUUCGUAUUUCUUCUAUUGAUUCACACUUUAUUUAAUUCUUACAAAUUUCAAUAACAGAAAUGAAGUUUUGAUGUUGUUAGUGGAUUAAAUUGUCUGAACAUUUAAUAUUUUCAUCAUUUCAUGCCCUGCUUUUAUUUGAGGCACCUCCUGAUCAUUAUUUAAGGUGUAUCAAUUCCAACUAUCGCACCACAUUUUCUUUCUACCUCACUAUUUCUUGCAUAAUAUUAGGAUAGUUUUUUUUUUUUUUUGAAUACUGAUUAAUCAUCAGAUUACUGCAUUACACAGAUAUUUACAACAACUGUUAUUAUAGCAGAGAUAUUACACUGAUAUUUACAAUCAGAUAUACAUGAUUGGGACUUACAUUAUUACAUUGAAUUCUAUGAAGUAUAUGCCCAGAUAAAUAACCCCUCACAGGGGAGGGAUGUCCAUACUCCACUCGCAUUUCGCAAGGGAGAAGGAUUUUAAAUAUGAAGAACAUUUAGCCCCCACAAUACUUUUGUGGGGGCUAGAACCGCUGCCUUCACAAUGCUUGUGAGGGCAGCAGCCCACCACUUCGACCAAGGCCGAAGUGGCAAUAUUAGGAUAGUUAUGUACAUUACAUUUGAUUGGUUUACUAUUUUAUGUAAAUGUCAAAGGCAUUAUGUCUUCUCUUUCUUCUUUGAUUUUAGUCAUGUUGAUGAACCAUAUAAGAAACCUCCAAAAUUGUGAAAUGAAUGAUAAAAAGCACAAUUACUCUCUUAUAUAAAUUGUGAAAUUGUUUACUCUUUUGUGUACAAAAACAGAGUAUUGCAGUGCAGGACUACUUAACCCAAUUAAAGGAAAUAAAAAAUUGUGAAAUUUCUGUAUUCACUGAAAUUAUUGUAUUGUCUUGUUUGAUUGGGAAUGGCUUCGACAUCAUCUUCCUGUCUCUGCUCCUCAAGCAUUUUAUGAAUACAAGAGACAUUGUUUUAAGAUUGUCGUCUAACUGUUUGACAAAAAGACUCACUGGUAAAACUGGUCUAUUUAAUCGAAUUAUUAUUUUGAUGUGUUGAAUUUUAACAACUGCUGGAAACAGAUUUGUAUUACUUGUGUUCAUUUUGAGUCCGAUGUCAUGUUGUAGGAAAAGGGAAGUGGAUCUUCAAGGAAGAAAAGGAAGUUCAGCUUUAUAUCACACAACUUAGUUCCUGCUUAGAAUUGAGGUUGGGUAACUCCAACUUAAAAGUUACAGUAACAAAAUAUUUGGUAAACACUAGAUGCUAUAGUUUGAAAAAUAUGUUGAUUUGAUUUUACACUUAUAUGAUAAAAAAUCUAAUACAUCAUUACUAAUUUUUUCAAAAUCAUUAUUUAAAAUUAUAUUUACUGCAUAUGAUUAAUUUUUAUUUCAUAGUUAUACUUUUUUUUUUAAUCACAAUAGCUAUAGCAUAUUAAAAGCAAACGAGGCAAGAACAUUCGCUCUUUAAUGAUUUUAUACACACUAAUUGUUUAAUAGAAUGAGCUUCAUUGUUGCUUGCUGAAUAUAAGUUAUUUUAUUUUAUUACAAACCUUUCCUAAGAUACCCCAAAAUGAGGAAGGAAUUUAAAAAUUUACCACUCUAUAAACAAUUUUCAGCAUCAAAUAUUCAGAUGAAAUGCAUAACUAGAAAAAGUAAUUCCCACUGAACAUAAAAUAAUUUCAUUAAACAUUUAUCUAUCCAUUGAAAUGAAUAACAUUUAGCUGUCAUGCCGUUGAUCAUUAAAUCAAGCAAAAGAGAAGGGCCGUGAGACUACAUAUUUACAUCAUAUAAGCCAUGAACUAAACAUAUAAUGCCAUAAUAGUACACAUUCUUUUGGAUCUAAUUUAAUCACUUUGACGUUAUAAAAGUAAACAGUUUGGGAUUUAUAUAUGGACAAAGGACCCAACUGAUAAGAAAAUAAAUUAUUUAUGAGGGACCUUGUUGAUUCAUUACGAGAACUAUUAAUUUAUUUAAAUUUAUAGAAACUACAAGCACUUUUCCGUAAAAUAAUGGGGUGUGUCACUAAACGAGGGGAGUGGUCGGUGGGAAUAUCUCCAAGUCUGUAACCCUUCAAGGCCCAACGUCCAUAAAAUGUACUAAUAGGGGUCCAAUUAACGUUCAUAAAAUGUACUAAUAGGGGUCCAAUUAACUUGACUAAAACCAAAUAAACGUUGUAGAAUUCAAGUGAUUAGGGGGUGCAAACCGCAUUCACAGUUAACUGAGCUAUGUCCAAGAGUCUAAUUAGCAUUCUCCCCUUUAACAUGAUGUUAUUCAAUUCCCAAAACUUCUCUUAGUUGCUGGAAUUUCACUCUUAAGCAAUGCUUCAGCUGAAUUUCUCCAUUACAAAUUGCUUCUCGUCUGAAAUGAUACUCGAUUUCUACGUGUCUUGUUUGGUUGUGGACUUGUGGUAAACUGCAUUCUUAGUAAUGUUAUGAUUUAUAAUGGUACAAAACGAGUUAUUGCUGGAAAUUAAUCAAAUUGAAACAAUAUAGAUAUAUACUAAAAAUAUUAUGUCAACAACUCUGUUUUGUCACAAAAUAGAUAGGCGCUACAGGACUAAUUCCGAAGUAAUUUUGAACGACAACAUUACAUUUUUUUUUUUUAGGGGAGAUGAAUAUGAUGGCGUCUACGAAUAAAUUUGCAGAUUGUUUCAAUCAAAUCUUAAGAUUCCCAGCUCGUGGUACGUUGUGGUGUGUGUGCAGUUUUUGUAAAUGCCAACAAGACCAAGCCCAACAGUUUUACUCUCAAAUUUGUUACCGAAAUUUGGAAAUUGGAUGAUAUGCCAAGAGCUACUGGAACUCCUGCAAGUGAAUCUGAGCCGAGUUCUGACGAAGACGAAUUGGAACCAAGUUCUGAUGACGAGGAAUUGGAACCGGCUCCCAAGAGAACUUGCAGAGACCAAAUUCACACUCCUUAACAACUGAAUCACUCGUUUUCUUAUUUUCCUCUUCAGCAAGUCCAGUGCUCCAAUUAAUUCCUAUUUCUUGAUCUUUUUAUGCGUUAAUCCCAACAAUGUUUCUCCCUUUCUCUCUUUCUUUUUUUAAAGAAAAAACAAGAGAGAAAUUCCUACAUUUGCGGAAAUUGUCUUAUACAAGUUUAUAUUUCUCCUCUUCAUUCACUCUUUUUUAUAAUUGUCACAAUUUUUCAUGAUAGAAAUGAAGAAUUGAUGUUGUUUAGUGAAUUAAAUUGUUUGAACAUUUAAGGUUUUAUUCAUUUCAAGUCCUUGUUUUAAUGGACCUCCCUGUUCAUUAAGGUGUUUCACACUGAAUUCAUUUUUUUUUUUUUUCACCAAAAAAGCAUUCAGAAAAUGCAAUAAAAUUGAAAACAUUUUCUUGGCUAGUGCACAGCUUGGUCAGUAUUAACUACAUAGACAUUCAAUUUUAUAGUAUUCUCGUGAGGUUAUUAUAAGAUGUUCUUUCCAUAUUUCAUACUCCGUAGAACACAUGUUCUUUCCAUAUUUCAUACUCCGUAGAACACUGAGACAAAGUUGCAAAUUCAUCAAAAGUCUUAUGUGAACAACAAUUUCAUCGUCGUGGAUAGUUGAAGAUGGAAACUGCUGAAGUCGAUGAACCAAAAAUUCUGGUUUCUGGUUUGGUUAAUAGAGCUGGUUUCUGGGUUUCUUUGUUAGAUCUAAUACAUUUGUGAUAACGAAAAAGAUAAUCGUAUGAAGAUUGUUCACUGCAAUCAGGGAAACAACUCUGUAACUUGUUUUUCAUUCUCUAUUCUUUGUGUGGAUAUAUAUGUGCCCCAUCGGGCUGAACCAUAACAAAUCCUGUACAUGGUACUUCACCGUUUUGAUUCUGGUUUUGCUUUAAUUCUUGAUUGAUUGGUUGCUGUUUUUAAAUCUUUAAGGUUUUUACCUUGACCAUAUAUGGGUUGAUUUAAUAAACAUAAUUGCUGAUAUGAGCUGGAAAAAUCUGUUGCGUUCCCUUGGGUUAUUCGAGGCCCACAUACUUUGUGAAUAUAGUGGAACCUGAAAUGGAAUUGAAACUAUGUCAGUAACAUUCUCUAUGAGGGUAUCAUUUAAUUAACCAAUAAAGGUUCUCAAAAGAAUGCAUUAGAUUUUGAUCAGCAGAGUAAAUGUGCAACACUAAACUUUUACCAGGCUAGAAUUAACACAGAGAUAAAGUUAAAGAAGAUGCAAGAGAGAAAUUUGUUUUGCCAUUUCGUCUAUGAAUAAUGCUACUAUGACAUGCUGACCAACAAAGUCCUCGUAGGUGUCCAGUAGGAAGCCGGUCUUCUUGUUGAUUGACCGAGAUUAUCGCUUGAGAUUUUGUUCUACGACCGACAACCAACCCAGCAAGAAGCUGUUGUCUAUGCUUUAUAAAAUCGUGCAAAUCUGAAUUCAUUAAGAUCAAACCGACAUGUCUUGCCUACGUUUUUAGUAAAUCACGUGCACAGUGCACGGUCAAAUGUGUCAAAAGGGUUGUUGGGUUAGUUAGAAAAAGCGGGAAACAGCUUUUAUUUUAAGGCUGAGUAACUGGCUAUAUAUUUGUGAGCCGAGAGAAAGUUUUAUACAUUUUUUUUCCCUCGGUAAUUCCCUAGGCUCUGUAGUUUUUGUUCCCAAAUUAGUGAGAACAAUUGGUCUUGUUUGUCAGUGGAUAUAGCACUUUUGGUGCUGAACCUCUUAAUUCAUUUUUGUUGUGAUUCUUGAUUUUGUUUUGUUUCAAUUCUUUGUUUUAGAGUCCUUACUGGUUCUUGGGGUUAAUAUCAAGAUCUUGGGGCAUUUGAUUCUCGGGAAACUUGUUCAAGAUGUGUUGUUAAUAGAUAGAAAUAAUGUGCGAAUAAAUUGCAACCACACACUACUAUAACACUAAAUAGCACACAACACCUUCUUUAAAAGCUCAUGAGAGCUCAAAUCUUUGUUCCUGAAGAGUCAGAGGCUGACGGUAUUCAUGGAAAUUAAAUGUAAAAUUUGUUUUCCUUGUAAACUUUCAGAAAAGCCGCAGGUAGAACACUUGGUAGAGAGACUCAAUCUUGAGUUAAAUCAAUGCUAGCUUUGAUCUUUCUCAACAAAAUCAUAACGUUCUGAAUCAACAAAUCUCAAAGUUAUGUCUCUUUCCCCCUUAAGUUUACUUAUUACUGCACCGGAGUGAAUAUGAUCUCCACCAGACGUAGGUAAAGCUUUAGAACUUUACCCAAUUUUUCCCAAUAAAUUUGAUGGGUGCUUUCGUCUCUUCCCAUCUCAUUUUAGCAUAUGCAUGUGAUAUGAUUUGCUGCUGUAUAUCGUUUGCAUUUUGAGAGUGUUGUUGGUAUAUUUAAUUAAAAAUCCAAAUUUUGUGGUCUUCUUUCUCUUGAGCCUAUUAUGAGUAAGUGGUAGUUGUCAAAGUCUUGCCAAGCCCAUAUUUUGCAUAACGUUUCUUUCCGCGCUUUUUUUUUUUUUGUUUUUUCCCUUUUGCUUUCCUUGCUUUAUAAUUAAAUGAUGUCUCUUUGGUUUUGUAGUGCCAAAAGUACAUUUGGAUGAUUACGAUUUAUGCCGGGCGUCGUGAUGGAACAGCUGAGGUUUGUUUGUAUUGAAUUUCUUUGAUAUGUUAGUUAGCGCGGCUGAGCUCACUAUUAACGGUCCUUUAAUGAUUGCCAUCUAAGUGUUCGACGAGAUGACUCUUAAGCAAAACUGGCUUUUUGAAACAAAUUCCUUUUUAUGGUUUUCCAAGUUAUUGGGGCUGUCUUGUCAGGGUUUGAAUGUCCUUAACAUAUAUAUUUUUUUUAAUGGAAAAUUUAAGGUCUACCCAAUGCAAGAUUGACGAUCCUCUUUGGAACCCAAAAACAAAAAAAAAGUUUGAGAAAAUAUCUAUCGACAAUAGCUUACGAAUUACUUGAAUAGAGCUUCGCAGGUUAAAUACUUUGUCCAACUUGAUUUGCCUUUACAUCUACUCUAAAGAAACAGUGUCACUUCCUAGAACACGAUGUCACUUGGAGUAAUGUUACACUAACAAAGUUUGCAUCUCAACUGAUGCUGCAUACACGUGACCCUCAUAUAAUCCAUUAUGCGGUGUAGUAUAGUGUGGUGAUAAAAUAUCCAUUAUGUGGUGUAGUAUAGUGAGGUGUUAAAAUAAGUAACCGCAAAGCUCAUGAUAAUUUGUAACAGUGCCAAAUCAGUUGGCAUACAAACUUUGUAUUAUGGCUUUCUAAAUUUUUUUUUUUUUGAAAAUCCACCAAGGUGGGGGUUAGGCCGGACCCCUACCUGUAAAUAAAUCAAUCAAUGAUAGAACAUAAGAAGGGGGAUAUAAACCAAACCUCCUAGGAAAGGAAAAUAAUUUAGUAAUCAAAUAAAACCAAUACAAAUCAAGGUGAUUAAUGCCGAAUGUAUGGAAUUACAAGAGUAUCUAAAUGAAGAAUGCCUGAUAAACCGGUUGGAAGAUCACUAGGAUUGAAAAAUCGUUGACAAGUCUGAUGAGAACAAGCCCAAUUGGCCAUAAAGUCAGCAGCAGAUGUAGCUUCUCGAAAAACAUGCCUGAUACUAAUGGAUGACCUAGAAGCCAAUGCCCAAACAUGCCCAAGGAUAUAAGUAAAAUCCCAUCGCACCAAAAUACUUGAAAUGGCCCAAGAAACUACCGUGGCUGCAUCAGAUUCUACCUCAAGAUCAGAAAAACCAAGCUGAGCGGCAAGAUCUAAACCUUCUAACAAAGCCAUUAAUUCAGCAAAAAAAAUAGAUUAGUGCCCCAAAAAGGAACCAAAAGCAGCUAAUAUCACGCCUUGAUGAUCUCGCAGAACACCACCAGUAGCAGCCAUGCCUUGGUUUCCCCUAGAACAACCAUCCACACUCAACUUCACCACCCUGGUGGCGGUUUCACUACUAGAAAAAUGGUCUUUACUGACUUUAAAAUAAUGUCAGAAAUUACUUUUACUGACACUUGUUAAUUGUGUCAGUAAUCUGGGAGUCAGAAAAAUAGUGACACUUGUAAGUGGUGUCAGUAAUUACUAUUACUAUAGUAUCACUAAAAUAAUAACACCAUGGUAUCAAAAUAUUACAAUACUAUAUUAGUAUUUGUGAUUAUUGUUACUAUAGUCUCACUACUUUAUUUAUUAUUAAAAAAAAUAAUUAUAUAAAAUGACAUGUUGCCCAUUGAUUUGUUGAUAGAAUUAAAAGGCUGUGAGAAAUAAGAACAAAAAUCUAUUUAUAUAUCAAAACCUUUCAUAACAUUUAAAUAUUAUCAAUAUAUAUUACACAAUCCAAAUACUUCAAUACACAAAGACGUCUUAUUACAAGACAUCUUAUAAUUCCUUCUACUUGUAGCUGAAUUUAAGGGCUAAAUUUACCAAAUCUAAAAGCUAAAUUUAGAAGGAUUAUUAUUUUUCUCUCCAUGAACAUAAGUACUGCGAUCAUGCAUUAUCACAGACAGCUUCUUCAUUCGAUGAAUUUGAUCAAACAAGUAAGUACUUCUCUAAUCUUUGAAAAAAAAAAAAGCUUUUGAUUAUUCCAGCAAACACCAUAGUCCAUAAUCACCCAAAAAAAAAAAACCAAAGCGAAUGACAAUAUAUUAUUAUUUAUUUCUAUUUUUCCUUCAUAUAUAUUAAUAAAAUAUGUCAUUAAGAAAAGAAAAUAAACUAUCAAUGAAAUUCCAGCACUUGCUUAACAAUGAAAUUCGUAACAUAAACAAUCAUGCAGGUAAUAAGAACUGACCUUAUAAAAAAGUUUACAGCUUGUUGAGUCACCCGAAUGGCGUCCUCUGUGUGUGGAAUUGCUUUUGGCCCCCAUUCAAAAGCAUUUUUCUGCAGCAUAUUUGGUCAGUCUUUUCCUCUAAACAGAAUCAGUUGCAUUACUAAGAAAUUUGUUUAGGAAAUACCUGACUUGGAGAUACAGGAUGAAUACAAAAAAAUAUUUUCUCAUAGACCACACAGAAACAGAGCUUGACCAGAAAGAUGUAACACAUGACAUGAAUACCAAAAAAAAAUUGUAGCUUGGCCUGAAAUCAAAUCAUCUUGAGAGAAAUAAAUAGUGUUGCCAGACAGCUUGUCCACAACAUCACACACAUCUAGAGUUUAGCACACAAAUGUCGCUCAAAAGGUUUGAUUAACCAGAUCAGUCUGCCAUAUUAAACUUAUCAAUUUUGUAAAUGGGGUGCAGCUAAAAUCAUUGUUAAGAGCAUUGAAGUUAAUACCUCUGGAUGCCAUUGGAAGGCGGUCACAGGAUAGUUAUAAGCUUGCACUGUCGAGACAUAGACCUGAUAAUGAUUAAUAACAGAAGUUAGAAUUGAUAACACUGGAUAAAUUGCCAUUAAAAUAUCAAGCAUUCAGGCAUAUAUCCUGAGUCUGUGUUUAUAUAUAAAAUAAAUUCAACAAAGGAAUAUUUACUUUUGUACCUUAUUAUAUUCAUCCCCGCUUGUUGUCAAGAUCUUAAAAAACUUAGCUAGCUCCUGGUUUGCUUGCUUUCUUUCAGGUGAAAUGCCAUACUGUUGUAAUGGUACAACAUAUAAAAUUUCAGAUCAACCAAAUUAUUUACUCAAUCAUCCAUAAUAAUUUAAUAAAUCUAAACAUUUUUAGAGUCCAUUGUCUCCCAAAAUUGAAGUGCACUGAUCUAAGGAAUCAAUUGUACAAGAAGUCCAUAUAAAUGGAAUUCUUCCAUGAAUCAAAGAGGCUCACGACAAAGCAGGAUUUCCAAAAAAGCUCGCUUAUUAGACCCAACACUUUCAUAGAGCUAGAUAUUCAUGAGUGACUAGCAUUAUUACAGAAGAUGAAGGAAAUUAAAACAGAGAAUUGAAUCUAACAAUAAAUGCCACGCUAACUGCCAUUUAUUGCAUAAAAUAUAAAUGCCACGCUAACUUGACUAAUUUUACAAAUUUGGUGAUGAUGCAUUUAAGAUUAUGGUUUAAAAGAAUAAUUCAAAGACAACAGUUUCAAUUGCCAGAUUAACAAUUCUUUUAUUUCUAUUAAACAUAAAAAAAAGGAAAGAAAAAGAAAUGCAAAGAAGUAAGGGAGAUAGAGGAAUACGGGAACUGAGGUCUACCACACAAACAUCUUGAAGCAUUUCGGGAUCACUUUACUUGAGCUCAGUUUCUCCACGUAUCAUAUCCUUUUCAGCAAGGGCUGCCCUUUCAAGUAGUGUUUUGCUCUCUUUCUUCAUUAGCUCACCAGAAAGGUUCAGCUCAUUUACAUUUUUCUCAGCUCUAACAAACAUUGCCUGUGUAUAUAUUCGAACAAUUACUGAAUCACACAAAAUUUUGAACCUGAGAGUUUACCUCAGUUGAAAUGAACAUGUUAAAAAAGAAUUUUAUGCAACUGUUACUUCUAUUAGUAGGUUGAUAGGGUAAAAAUAGCAUCUAUAAAUUAAAAGAGGUACAUGCCUCCUCACUUCGAAGUCGACCAAAGGUAUGACGAAACAAAAAUCUUCUAGGCCCUGCAGUGAAAUCCUCGAGGAAUCAAAUCUUAUAGGAUUUUGGAAUGGCACAUACUGAUACAUUUAAUGCAGCCAAGAAGUAUAAAAUGCAAGAAAAAAGUGUGCAAAGAUGGCCAGGGCAGAACACGUCCAAGGGAUUCCAUAUUCAAAAAUACGCUAGAGAGGCUUAUUUAAAUGGUUGAAACCUAAGAGUGGAUAUAUCUCACUACCAGCACUAGUGACGGGAAAGCUGAACAUAUUCAUCUUUGGACUUCAAAACAGGACAGCAUAAACAAAUAAGGAAACAGUCAUACAAUAUGGUUGAAAUUAUCAAAUUAAACUGAAGUCAAGAGUAACAACCUGCUGCCCAUUGAUGACCAACAUUAAGCAUGCUUAACAUUCUGUUAGACUAAUCAGCAGCAGUAGUGUUCAAGAUCACAGCAAAAGUGACAACAAAAAGUGUCAAAGCACUAGCAGCAGCAGCAGCAGCCAUGGUUACAAAAGUUCAAUUAUGAUCUUGUUAUUGCUGCAGGCAAAUAGAAAGAAAGAAUAAAAGAAAUGCUGAGAGUCUCCUCAUCCUUGCCAUUUUCUUUCUUCUCUCAACAGUACCACUGCCGAUGAUGACAAGACCGUCGACGACGACACGGUCAUCGCCAAGUUAUUUAUUUCAUGAUUUCUCUCUUACGCACUCAUACAUAGUUUCCAUGUACUAUGAAAGAAAGACACGUAAACCAUUAGAUUAUCAUUUUCUACUUGUGCUAAUUGACAUCACUGAUCUCAGGCUUUCUUCUAAAACAAAAUCAAAGCAGAAGUAUCUCAUCACAAAGAGUAAGUACACAGCAAAAGUAAGAAUUUUUAUUCAUAAAAGCUUAAACCUUUUUCCGUUUAAUGUAUAUAAUAAAAACAGAGGUACUUCGUUCUCAAAACAACGAGUCAAUCAAAAGCUAACAAACUUUUUCCCCCUAGUGAACCAGUUGCUUAUCUCCUCCAAUAACAUUUUGUUCAUCCAUUCAAAAGAGUAGAUAAGCAAGAUCAUAAAAGAAACACAAAACCCACAAAAACAGAAAUCUUGUACACAUUAAUAUAGAACAAUGACAUAUCUACAAAAAAUAAUGAGGAGAGUGUAAACAGAGGAAGAAGAAAUGUAGGGAAUUACCCUGAAGAGAAGGGGCAAGAUUGAGAGGGAAAAAUUGAGUUGGAUCGAGAGCAGGCUCAACCGCAAGGGAGAGGAAGCGAAACCUGUAUUGUUGAGCUGAGCCAGCGAGAUGAUGGAAUGCAAUGGGAUGGAUGGUAGAGGGUUGCUUGCGCCCAAAAGCGAUGAUUCACUGCGGUUCCCUCCAGUCCGUUCCAUUCCCGGGUUGGGUUAGGGGAACAUUCGAGCGAUUGCCUUCGCGGAUCCAAACGCGCUCGUCGGUACGCUUUCCGGCUCGCAACGACUCAAAUGGGUGAGUCUUCUUCGUUUUCCUUUCUCCUUCGGGUAGUUGAAGAGAGACAAGAUUGAGAGGGAAAAAUUGAGUUAGAUAGUAAAAGAUUGUGUUGGAUUGUAAGAGAAAGAUAAGAGAGGAGUGGCUGAGAGAAGAGUCGGGGUUGAUAAGACGACGCAGUAAGAUUAGAGUUUUGUGAAUUUGGUGAAGUUAGGGUUUUUUAGAUUUGGGGAGUUUAGGAGGGACAAGAUAGAUUAAAAAUUUUGUCUAAAUUAAAAGUUUAAAAAAUAAUGUUUGGUUUAGUAGUUAGUUUUCUAAACUAGAAAAUUUGAGAUUUGGACGUCCUGGUCUUUUGUUCGGAACUUAAACGCCUCGGUUCGAGUUUUAUUUGGAACUUAAUUAGAAUUACUUUAUUUUUAUUACUGAUACUUUAAUGUCAGAAAUCUCUGAUGUUUAAGUUACAGACACUAUAGUAUCAGUAAUUUGUGAUAUUUUUAUGUUAAACACGAAAAAUGGUUCAUAUGUGUGAACAUACUGAUACUUUUUAAAAAUUGUCACAAACUGAGUGUCAAUAAAGACCAUUUUUCUAGUAGUGUUUCUUCCAAGAAACCAAAUGAGGUGGUCUAUGGGAAGGCAUGAUAAUCUUCAAUCCCUCCCGAAUUUGAGUGUCCAAGAUGCCCCUCAAUUGAGAUGUCUUGAAACCAAAUGCGUCACUGACUAGCCUAAUAUCCAGGAGCACUUUAAAAAUAACAGUGUUCACAUUAAAGGCAACUGAAUCAUACCUGAAAGUGUUUCGAGCCUUCCAAACAUGCCAUAGAAUGAAACAUGGGAGAAUGACUCGAAUGUGUUUUGAAGAACGGCAACUCCGUCGCCAAUGACUAAGCAAAGCAUGAGGAGAUAAAAAAGGAAGAUACGGACGACCAAUCAUUGAGUAAAACCGCCGCCAAACCUGUUGAACCACUGGGCAAUCCAAAAAUAAGUGUCUGAUAGUCUCAACAUCCCGAUUACAAAGACACCGAGAAAUCAUGUGAAAACCCCUAAGGCACAAAGCAUCAUUCGUGGCCAAGAAACCAUUCAAUAAACGCCACAAGAAAAAAGAAACCCUCGAAGGAAUAUGUCGUUGCCAAAUUAAAGAAAAAACCUCAUUCUGGCUACGAGACCCACGUACAAAUUCCCAACUACUCCUUAGAGAAAAAUUCCCAUCCCUAGAUAUGGCCCAACGGAGAAUAUCUAGCCCAGUACCAGAAAUAGGUACUAAUACAAUUUGUUCAACAACUGAUAUAAAGCAUUGCAUUAUAACGGAGAAUAUCUAGCCCAGUACCAGAAAUAGGUAUUAUGGCUUUCUAAAUAUAAGCAUUGCAUUAUAACGGUCACAAAGUCAAAAAGUAGCCAUAGCUUCGCCUUCAUCUUCUUGCAUUAUUGUGAAAAUCUAAUGUAUAAGAAUAUUAUAGUCUUUUCCAAAUUGUCAAGGGGACAGAAAAAGCUGGAUUUAGAAUUGCAUUAGGUUAGUUAGGUUGAAAUGGCUAACAUUUUUAAUUAGUGGAAGUUGCAGUUAUAUAGUCUAUGUCAAUCACACAUUUGUGAUUCCUAUUGCAACUUCAACUUCUAAAGACUAAUUAUAUAAUUAAUUGAUAUUUUAGAGGGUCGUCAUAUAAAGUCAGAGCUGCUAGAGGUUUAAUCCUUGCCUUUUUAAUUUUCUUUUAAAUGUUGGUCUGGCAAACUAAUGGUGGUUUGUUUAAAAUAUUGUCAUAAAAAUGUCCUGAUACAUGACUGAUGACCUCUUGGUAUUUCAUGGCUUUCCAAGAACAUAAAUAUAGAAAUCGAAGAAUUGGAAUAGAAUAUUAAUAUUAAUAUUAAAUAAAAUAAUCAAUAAGAAACCUGGAGAAGAAAGCUCCCAGCACUGGCAUAUAUUAUAUAUUUCCUAGAAUCUCUGUUUCUGUCCCAAUGAGCCUGAAAUUUCCGUUAUGGCGUCUUCUUCUUUUGGCCUAACUUCUCAAAGCAAAUAUGAUGUCUUCCUCAGUUUCAGAGGGGAGGACACCCGUGACAAUUUUACUAGCCAUCUCCAUGCUGCUUUGUGUCGAAAGAAAAUUAAAACCUUUAUUGAUGAAGAACUUAACAGAGGAGAUGAGAUUUCGCCUGCCAUUUUGAAAGCAAUUGAAGGAUCAAAGAUUACAGUUAUCAUUUUCUCAAAAAACUACGCUUCUUCGAAAUGGUGCUUGGAUGAACUUGUCAAGAUUCUUGAAUGCCAUAAAAUGAAUAGCCAAAUGGUUGUACCAGUGUUUUACCGUAUAGAUCCAUCUGACGUGCGGAAACAAAGUGGAAGAUUCAAGGAUGCCUUUGUUAAGCAUGAAAAACAGUUCAAGGAUAUGCCAGAAAAAAUUCAAAUUUGGAGGGCUGUAUGGACAGAAGCAUCCAAUUUAUCUGGAUGGGAUUCCAUGACAAUCAGGUAGGUCUUAACCCGUUUAACUUUUUAUUAUUUACGAUUAAUGGGGAAAAAAUGAAGGAACAGUUUAUGGCCUCCAUUAAAAACAUGAAAAAAUAUCUCCUGUCCUAUUAUUUUGAUUUUGUCAUGGUCCAAAGUAAUUUGAGUCAUUGAUUUUCAUCUUCACAUCUGCUAGGUCUGAGGCACAGCUUGUAGAAGUAAUUGUUAAAGACAUUUUGGAGAAAUUGGAAAAAAUAACAAUACCAAAGGACUUUGAUGGUCUAAUUGGUUUAAAUUCACGAAUUCAGAAAAUUAAAUCACUGCUGUGUAUUGGAUUGCCGGUUUUUCGAAUUAUUGGGAUUUGGGGUAUGGGCGGUAUGGGUAAAACAACCAUUGCUGGAGCUAUUUUCAACCUAAUUUCUAGUGAAUUUGAAGGCAAGUGCUUCAUGGCAAAUGUUAGGGAAGAAUCCGAGAAAGUAGGUGGAUUGGUUCAUCUAAGGGAGCAAGUUCUUUCUGAAGUAUUAGAAGAAAAUAUCACAAUAAGAACUCCUGAUCUUCCUGAAUAUAUUAGGGAAAGGCUCAAGCGGAUGAAGAUAUUUAUAGUUCUCGAUGAUGUAAACAAAGUUAGGCAAUUAGAGUAUUUAACUGGAGGGCUUGAUCGAUUAGAGACAAACGGGUUCUUGAUAAUUUUGGAGUACCUAACACUAACAUAUAUAAAGUUAAGGGAUUAAACUACAGUGAAGCACUUGAGCUCUUCUGCAACUUCGCUUUUAAACAAAGCAAUUGCCCUGAUGAUCUAUCUACGCUCUCAAAGCACAUAGUUGGUUAUUGCAAAGGCAAUCAAUUAGCACUCAGAGUGUUGGGUUCUUUCCUCCAUCGGAAAAGCAAACUUGAUUGGGAAAACGCAUUGGAGAACUUAAAACGGAGUUCUGAUUUUGAAAUCUAUGACGUGUUGAAAAUCAGUUACAAUGAAUUAAAUCCAGAAGAGAAGAGCUUAUUUUUGGACAUUGCGUGCUUUUUUGUAGGAGAGGAUAAAAAUCUUGUGACAAAGAUACUAGAUGACUCUAAUUAUGUAAUGAAUGUCCUUGUUGAUAAGUCACUCUUAAGAAUAUCACGUUAUAACAAGCUCCAAAUGCAUUCCAUACUCAUAGUUAGUUUAAAAAGUAUAUUUGUAUAGUCAAAAAAAAAAAAAAAAAUUGAAAUUAAAAAAAAAAUCAAACAGGAUAAAAAUUUUUAGUGAUACAAAAAUUGCUUUUAUGAUUGUCUAUAUGAGUGCAAUCGGAGUUCAAAUGUUCAAACUUUAAUACAUAGACCAGGACACUUUGGCUCCCAGAUAUGCCCUAUUAAGCACCAUUGUCAAUGAAUAUUAGAUUAACUAAUGAUGCGAUUUAAAACCUUAUGAUGGUUAAAAAUCGUGGUUUAUGAAUUUGCUAAAAUGUUAUCUUCUCAAAGUUUUAGAGAAGUAGAGAUGAGGAUGACCGUGGGUGUCGAGAACAAGCUUUUAUCUAUCAAUUUUGGGAUAUUAGAUGGUGUCGACUACAAUUUUUUAUUCUUCAAAUAAAUAACCUCACACAUUAAUGAACGCAGAUUUUGUCUUCAAUUAAUGAGCUCUUUACAAAAUUUACCGAAGUCUUUUUGUAUUUUUAUGCUAACUUAUUGUUUACUUUUGUUUAUAAGGGGACGGAUGUCAUUGCAGGUAUAUUCUUGGAUUUGUCCAAAAUAAGUGUAACGCCACAAAUUUCCAUAAUAUUAAAUUAUGGAAAUUGGGCUUUCAUUGAUAAUUAUGGGUGGCCUAUAACUCUUAUUAAGAAAUGGAUACUAAAGUAUAAAUAGAGGUUAUUUAUGAGAUAGUUUUGAAAAAGGGUUAUUUUUCCUUAUUAAGUAGGGUUUCUUAAGAUUCCCUAUAAAUGCAUAUUUUUUCCCCUUCCAUAACCCUAAGUUCACGAUGUUUAUUCUUCUUCUCUGCUGCUCUUUACGCUCCUACCCAAAUCUUAGGAUUCAAACAUUUGUUUAGGAGAGAAUCAAAGCGACGGGUAAGUUAUUCUCCAUGUUCUCAACAGAUUUCUAAUCACUCUAUCUAGGGUUUAUAUUGGCACGAUUCUAGAUGGUUAUAGAUCAUAAUGCAUGAUUUAGAAUGUAUUUAGGCUUUGUUUAGGGUUUUGAUUUAUUAUGAGUUUAGUUAAUCAAUCUUUGACGUAUUAAGCACAAGAUAAUUCUGGACAGUAUGAGUAUCUCGAAUUUAAACCUAUAUUUUCUGAACGAUUUUUCUUAUAAAAUUUAUAUUUCUGGAAACUAGACAUGUAGGGCUUCUUGAGUAAAUUUUAUUCCAUUAAAUUCGACUUCGUUUUCAAUUUUAUAUGUAUUUUCGAAAUAGAAGCCACUGCACUGGAAAACUGCGAUUCCAGCAUUGUGAUCGGAUUCACAAGAUUAUUUGUACUACCAAAUGAACUCGGAAAAUUCUGAAAGUUUAUAUGUGGGUUAAUAUAUGUGUUUAGGAUUUCCAGUUUUAAUUUCAUAAUUUUCUGAUUAGUAUUUUAUUUUAUAAAAAUCACAGAACCCGUUCUAUUUGGUUUAGGUUAUGUGAAAACAGUUUCGAAUUUGUUCAGAAAUAAAUAGUUUUGAAAACGUUUUUGAUGUCGGAUCAUCUUGCAAAUUUUAUAUGGGGUACUCAUGGAUGUCCAGAAUAGUUCCAUAGAAUAUUAUAUCAUUCUGAGUUUUGGAUUAAGAGUUAAAUUCUGAGAAUCAGACCUGUACGGAUAUGAAUUAGAAAAUCAGAUUCUUAGAAUAAGUUAUUAAUUGUCAUAUCUUGUAUUUUUUUAAGGUGUUGAAGGUGAUUGAGGCUCUUAGAAGCUUAGAGGUGUGUUAAUUCAAGUUCAUUUGUUGAGGUAAGUAACUUCAUUCCUAGUAUACUGGAUAUGUAUAAGUAUUUUGAUAUUAUUAUUAUAAGUAUAAAUAUUUUUAUACUACUUAAAGGAUUAAUUGAUUUUGAUAACAAAAUUAGUUUUAUGUAAAUGUUUUCAAACAUAAAUUCUUUUUAGCAAAGUAUUUUAUAAAUGCUUUUUAAUAUGUAAACGAUUUUAUAACAUGACAACCUUUUAUGAUUUUAUCUUUAAAAUGUUAUGCAAGCCUAAAUUAUUGAUAUGGACUUUUAUGAAUUUGAUACGAAUGUUUUGUGCCCAUAUUUAAUUUCAAUUAUUGAUGAUUGUAUGAGAUUCCUAAUGUUUUGGCUCAUUGUCCAUAGUUAUUCUAAUUCUGAUUUUGAUCGUAAUAUACGAUAUAUUUGUCUGGACCAGUACUGGGUUUCUGUUCUGAGUGUGCACACGAUAUUCUGAUUUUGUUUCUGGCCGGGUCACCGGGACUAUAGGUGACACUAUGUGACAUGAGCUAACCUUUUGUUUUAUGUAUACGUAUUAUAUGAUUUACUUCAUAAGUAAAUAUGCUUUUGGAUAUUCUGAAUUAUUAAGAAUUUAUGUUAUGUUAUCGUGAUAUAUCGUUUUAUGAAAUUUAUGGAUUAUGAUACAUGUUUUAAACAAAAGAAGGCUUGCAAUAUUUUUGUAUUGAUAGGCCUAGUAUGUUAGAAAUGGUUUUACUUAUCGAGUUGACGGCUCACCCCUCGUCAUUACUUUUUGCAGAUUAAGUUUCUUUUGAGAGGUGCACUUAGCUUUGGAGUUAGUAAUUUUCCGUUUCCGUUUGCCAUUUGAAUAAGAGGAGGAAUAGACUCGUGUUUCUAUUUAGUUAUUUCUAUUAUGAACGUGUAAUUUGGAGUUUGAGACUUUUGUUAUUAUUUUUAUGUCCUCGGGAGAGAUUAUUUAGUAUUAGACGUUUGAAUUUGUGGAUUUAUUUGAAUAAGAAUUGGAGGUAUUUCAGUUUGAAACUUAUGAGUAAAGAUUAUGAUUUGUGAGUAACCUCCUUCUUCACGUGCUCUGCACGUGUUAGAUUUGGGGUGUUACAAUAAGAGACAUACAUCUAGGUUCUAGAGCCUUUGAAAAUAUGACUAAUCUUAGAUUGUUGAAAUUUUAUUUGCAUAAUCUUCGUGGUGAUCCAAUUAUGAGCUCUAAAGUGCAUCUUGACCAAGGUUUGGAUUAUCUGCCCGAGGAAUUGAGAUAUCUCCAUUGGCAUGGAUAUCCAUUGAGAACGUUGCCAACAAAUUUAAGUACAGAUAAACUUGUCGUACUUAACUUGCCUUGCAGUAACGUUGAGCUACUUUGGGAAGAAAAAAAGGUAUAAAAUAGUGCAUAGAUGUGUUUAUAUACACUUUCGAAAAGUAAGGACAUGCUUACUUAGGAGAUAUACUGUGUGAAAAUUAAUUGUGCAAGUCCUUGACUAGCAAUCAUUUAUCUUUUGUUACAGGAAGCUUUCAAGCUAAAAUCUGUGGACCUUUGCAAUUCUCAAAAUCUCACUCGGAUGCCGGACCUAUCAGAAACCCCAAAUCUUGAGAGAAUGUAUCUUUUGAACUGCACAAACUUACCUUUCAUUUCCUCAUCAAUUGAAAAUUUAAACAAUCUCAGUAUGUUGCGUUUGGAGGGCUGCAAAAUCUUAGGACCUUUCCCCGCAUUCAUUUCACUUGUUCU